rnacentral:lncRNA from 1 species
UUAAAUUGAUUGCUUUCUUUCCCGUGUGCUAAAUCAGGAGAGGAAUAAGAUGAGAUGGCCAACCCAGGAGGCGAACCCCAGCCUCUUACUCCAAUUAAGGUGUGUCCAACUGACAAAUUGAAGAUACGAGUAUUCAAACAAACAUAUCAGGUACGCCGACGUCUGAUCGCAUAUCAGAACUGCCUUUCGCGCUUUUUCUGUUCCAUACACUUACAGUACCAGAUCGAUCAGUGUGCAAACAUUGGCCCUCUCCCGCCCAGGCACUCUGCUCGACAGUAAAAAUAAUUCAGGGCGUCGAAGGCCCGUCAGGCAGCUUUGUCUUCCUCUUCCUUCCAAGAAUGGACGCCUUCUGCAGCCUCGCACCCCCGACACGCCACUUCCUGAAGGCGGACAUAGAUUCCCUAGCAGAUUCGAACACUUCACGGCGAAAAGAACCAAAGUUAACCCGACUUGGAGUGGUUGAUAUGGUACCGGAAAACAAACAGGGGAAUGAGUAGAUGCACGAGGGAGAUGUUUGUACCUUGAGCUUCUUCUUUUGUAAGGCGUGUUGCGAACUUGGGCACUGUCAUCGUCGAAGAGCUGUGUGCCUUGCUUAGUAUCUCCUUGUACCUACUGGUGAACGCGUAGCGCAAGAACUGGCCAAUGCUCUUGUCACCCACCCUGUUGAUGCAGCCAUGCAAACUUCAUAAAUCGGUGAGCAAAAUAAUUUAGUCUGGCCAUUAUAGUAGGGAAGUAAUAACUCAAGUGUGGGGUUAAAGAUCGAACUCCCCCUCUAUUACACCACUUAUUACCUUUCAAAGUUUUGUGCUAGACACAUAGUCUAGUCCAUACAAAUUAAUGGGAUUGGGAACAGACAAAAGGGAGAAAUGGUGUACAGUUACCUCAAAUAGUAGAAUGAUAUGCAUUUAGAAACAAACUUUGAAGGCUACAGNNNNNNNNNNNNNNNNNNNNNNNNNNNNNNNNNNNNNNNNNNNNNNNNNNNNNNNNNNNNNNNNNNNNNNNNNNNNNNNNNNNNNNNNNNNNNNNNNNNNNNNNNNNNNNNNNNNNNNNNNNNNNNNNNNNNNNNNNNNNNNNNNNNNNNNNNNNNNNNNNNNNNNNNNNNNNNNNNNNNNNNNNNNNNNNNNNNNNNNNNNNNNNNNNNNNNNNNNNNNNNNNNNNNNNNNNNNNNNNNNNNNNNNNNNNNNNNNNNNNNNNNNNNNNNNNNNNNNNNNNNNNNNNNNNNNNNNNNNNNNNNNNNNNNNNNNNNNNNNNNNNNNNNNNNNNNNNNNNNNNNNNNNNNNNNNUACAUAAUAACUUCAUGGGAUCCCUAGCUCAUUGUACGAACUACAAAGGCAACACCUAACAAUAUUUCACAGAACUGACAAAAUUGGAACAGCAGUGACGACUCCCUCCUGCAGGGGGGUCUUUCAAACUGAAUGUGGACAGUAACCAGAUGGGUUGGGUGACUUGGGUCAAUUUUAUCACCUGCAUAUAGAAGGUGAGCAAUUCAGAGCCUUUCCUGGUCUGCUUACAGGGAAAUUCAGAGCUCUAAACUGACCACAAAAGAAUGUGCCACACAAUGCAUGUCAUGAAAUGACACGUUGGCACUGUGAUUGACAUAGAUCAUAUCUAAUCUGAGAAUAGUUACACCGUUUCAAACUAAUCACCUGAACCAUCAGGAGAAACUCAAACCCCAAUUAGGAUCACUCAGAGUAUAACCACUGCACUGUCAAGUGGCACCUCUAUAUGUUCACCCAGUUUCUCACAACAUGUGCUAUAGCCUACAGGCGGCUAGCCGGCUACUAAACAUUCAAUUAUUUGUGUUCUAGUGCACACUAAAGUUGAAAGCAAACCACCAUUGAGAUCUAUAUCUGGGUCCUUGAAAACUUCAAGAUUACGAUGAUUACAGUCAGCUCGUGUCCUAAUGGUAGAAACUAGGGUUCUACCGGGUCUAGGCCGGAGGUUGUAGGCGAAGGAGGGAGCUGGUCGUGGGCGAACUCACGGCCGCCGGCGGCUGGGCGCCGUCGUGCGCGAGGAGGCGGCGGCUGAGAGGGAGAUGGCGCAGGGAAGGAAGCGGCUAGGGUUAGGUCUCCCGGCUCCCUAAGGAAGCCGAGCAAAUAUGAUUGCUUCUUUGCUUGAUUAGAUUGAUACAUCUCCUCUCCUUAUAUAGAGAGGUUUACUUGACUCCCAAGCCCCUAAUAACGAUAAUUGGGCUAAGCCCCUAAUAACGAUAAGAUAGACUAGGCCACAACUAACUGGGCUAAGCCCCUAACAUGCCGGUCAUAACAUUUCUCCCCGCCUGCACAAACAGCUCGUCCUCGAGCUGGAAGGCGGGAAAGCGCUUGCCGAACUCCUUGAGGUGAUCAACCGUCGCCAAACACCUCCGCGACAGCUGGGGCGGGCAGGUCGACGAGCCCGGCUGCGGCGGCGUCCUCCUCAAUGUAGUCCGCAGCCUCCAGGUAGAAGAGUCGCGGAUAGACGUGGCCGGGCGCGUAGGGCUCGUCGCAGUUGAAGCACAACCCUUGGCGGCGACGCUCGAGUUGGUCGGCCGGUGUGAGCCGGCGGAACAGGCACGCUGCGGUCGCAGCGAGGGGUGCCGCGGACGCCUGAACAGGACGACCCUGCGCUGGAACGUCUGGCCAGGGUGGCGGCCCAGCGGCCGGGGCGGUGACGCCUACUGGAUGGCCACCGCGCGGCGCUCGAACGCGUGGGCGUAGUACAUGGCCGUCUGGAGGUCCUGGGGUCCCCGCAGCUCCACGUCCACGCGGAUAUGAUCCGGCAGACCCGCCGACGAAGAGGUCAGCCCGCUGGCGAGCCGUCACGCCGGGUGCGUGGCACGCCAGGGCCUGAAAGCGGCCGGUGAAGUCCUGCACCGUAGAGGUGAAGGGAAGACGGCCCAACUCCGCCAGCCGGCUCCGGCGUAUCGGCCCCGAAGCGAAGGAGGCAGAGCUCGUGAAAACGCUCCCAUGGAGGCAUGCCACCCUCGUCCUGCUCGAGAGCGUAAUACCAAGUCUGUGCGGCGCCUCGGAGGUGAUAGGAAGCGAGCCAGGUGCGGUCCGACGCGACCGUACAUUGCCCCCGGAAGAACUGGUCACACUGAUUAAGCCAGUUGAGGGGGUCCUCGGUGCCGCCGUAGGUGGCGAAGUGCGGCGCCGUCUGGGUAUGACCGCCGUGGGGGUAUGGCGCCGUCUCGGUAUGACCGCCGCGGGGGUACGGCUCGGCGGUGCGGAGCAGCGGCGCUGGGUCGAUGAUCACAGGGGGGGCCCCCGUGGAACUGCGUCGCGUCGAGGCCAACGUAGGGACCCGCGGCACUGGAGGACCCGCCGUACUGCGCCUGCUGUGACGGCACAUGCGGCAGCCCCGAGGCCAUCGUGUAGACCGGCUGAGACAACGACUCGGUCAACCAAGCCGGUAGCGGGGACGGCGAGGACGGGAACCAGACUUGGUGGAGCGGAACUCCCCACCAGCGCGAUCGAUGCGGGGCCGGAGCUGACCGGCGGUGGCUGCUGCAGCUGCAGCGGCUGCUGCGGUGUUGCGUCGGGCAGCGACUACUGCGGCGGAGGCUGCCAGGAGCGGCGGCUGCCACUGCAGCCAGGGCUGGGCGGUGGUGGCGAGGGAUGGCAGCCGCAGCGGCUGCUGCAGUGGCUCGGCGAGCGCGGCGAAGGCCGCCUGGUGCGGCGGCUGCCACGACAGCCACAGCGUCGCGGAGGCGGCGAUGGGCGCUGGAGGCGCGUCGGAAUCCGGCGCCGGCCACUGCGGGGCGGCAGCGGGCAGUGUCCCAGCGAACACCGCGGAGGCCCCUGGAUGCGGCGAGUACCACGGUAGGGCCGGCGGCCUAGUGGCGGCGGUCGGCGGCGGCCCGUAGGGGCUAGUCAGGUACAGCCGGAUUUCCUGGACGGCUAUGACGAGGUCGUUGAGGACCCCGGUGAUCUCCUCCAGGGUGUAGGCGGCGGCCGGUGGUGCGGUGGAAGGCGCCAGCAUCUGGACGGUGGCGGCGCCGGAGGAUGCGACCAGCGGCGCGGUAGAGAUUGGCAGUGGCGCAGUGGUGCCGGUCGGCAGCGGAAGCGACGGGGUGGGCGGCGGCGAAGACAUGAUCGGAACUGAGCUACCUGAUAUCAAACUGGUAGAAACUAGGGUUCUACCGGGUCUAGGCCGGAGGUUGUAGGGGAAGGAGGGAGCUGGUCAUGGGCGAACUCGCGGCCGCCGGCGGCUGGGCGCCGUCGUGCGCGAGGAGGCGGCGGCUGAGAGGGAGAUGGCGCAAGGAAGGAGGCGGCUAGGGUUAGGUCUCCCGGCUCCCUAAGGAAGCCGAGCAAAUAUGAUUGCUUCUUUGCUUGAUUAGAUUGAUACAUCUCCUCUCCUUAUAUAGAGAGGUUUACUUGACUCCCAAGCCCCUAAUAACGAUAAUUGGGCUAAGCCCCUAAUAAGCCACAACUAACUGGGCUAAGCCCCUAACAUGCCGGUCAUAACACCUAAUUAAGUACAUCGUCCAGAGUAUGCCUUUGAAAAGGGACAAACCUCAAAUAACCACAACUUGUUUAUUUGGGAAAACUUAGUUACACCGUCGCAAUGCAGCAAAACUAUCCUAACGCUGGUGGCCAGUGAAUUUUUUCAGCUGAGGCAGGGGGUCCAAUGGUCCUACGUAUUGAAGGUGCCUCGGGAGUGAGCAAUGCAGUAGAAGCACCUGAGUGUGGCUCCUUUUAGCUGCAAUAUUUUGAACUGGUUCAUGUUCUGUUCUAGUGUUUUUCUGGUGACCUGAUUGUAAGUAGUUUCUGUGCUGGGAGCUGUGUUUCCAAGUUGAACCAUUGCAUCUUAGUCCUUGCAAUAGAUGUGCUACCUUACUGUGGUUGCAUGGCUGGUUUUGGCCAUGGCCGUCUUGUGUGACUCAUUCGGCUGAUGUAUUUUCAAUUUCAUUUCUGAAAUUGGGGGACUGGAGCUCUUGAAUAAAAAAAAGACUUAGUUAUGGUGUACUCUGUUUGUAUCAUCAUAUGCACAGAAUCAACGCAUGUCCAGAGCACAAAUUGACCUGGUGGCAUCAGAGGUUAUUUGUCACGUGUAUGAUUAAAUUUCCUAGAAUGAUGAUUUGAUCUUGGCAACAAUGGUAGAAUCAGCAAGGAAUAUAUUUGAUCAUUUCAAAGCGACCAUAUACUGCCUUAUUUGGAAUAAAAUGAAAGAACAAGAAGAACAAUCAAUCACAUUUCAAGAAGGUGCAGUUUAUUUGAAUCUUGUUAGAAGCAAAACUACGAAGCUAAAGCAAAAAGGCAUGUCUCCCUAUGACUUAUUAAAUCAUUUGUUGGAGCAGACAAAGGGGAGCUUGCUGCCAAGUGCCAAAUUGGAACAAGAGAACAUGCUCAGACCAUGAGGCUGGAAGUUAUAAUCAUUUGGAUUAAACACCAAUUUGAACAUAGUUUGGUUAAAUUGAGAUGGGAGAUAACAUUGUGCGUGUGGUUAAAAGCAUGUGUUAGUCUGAGCCCUCAGUAAAGAAAACCAUAUGAUUGCAUUUCUGUUCGCAGGCAGUCAACUUACCUAUGCACAAUUCACAUUAUUAACUGCAUCUUUUCCCCAAGAUUACAGCUACUUGAACUUACAGAAGUUCCUCCUAUUUUAACUUAAUAUGCGACUGCAAUUAUCUUUUUUAUGGGAAUGUAAGCAUUUAAAUUUUUACAAAAUCAGAAUACAUGUAGAAAGGAUAAUGCAUUGUAGUGUUGUAUGCCUACACAAUUACCCGGUUAUUGUAACUGAGAAUAUAACAUGUCUAAGGCUCAUGAAAGUUCUGCAAAGCAGUGGAGUGGGUAAUCUAUUUCUAACAAAGAUCGUAUAGAAACAUUUUAAUGAGAAUUUGCGAAUUUAAGAUUGCACAGAGAAAGGUAAAGGGAUAGAAAAAAAUGGAAAUAAAAUAGAAUGUGUAACUGAGGUCGUUCAGAACUUACAGAGGAACAAUCUUGCAUCCAAGCUCAUAAAAGUAAGGGCGCCGAACCCUCAAAUCAACACAGGCUGCAUCAGCUUGGAUCUCCUUCCGAGUUCUGCAUGCCAAUUACGUCACACAAGCCACAAAACUCAACCAAUGGGUAUUUCAUUCAGUUAAAAAGGGUAUUUUACUGAAAGCAUCAUUAAGUUGACAAGUGGAACUUCCAUGUAAAUUUGUUGAAAUGAGAACAACCAUACUACUGCAUCCAGUAUAUAUUGGUGACCCUCUCAAGACUUUCUACAAAUACAAAAAAAUAGAUUACGAAGAAACCUACUUCCUUCUUUUAGAAGAAGAAACCUACUUCUGGGUGAAGCAAGGAGGUACAUUUAUUGACACCGCUUGUUCCAGAGACAGCAUUCCAUGCGCAAGCCAAAAUGGAAGGUCUAAUUUAGCACCCUUUUCAACCUGAACAUAAAGAAUAUAAGCGAUUAAGCAUUGGAACCAGAUAAUAUGCCAUUUCAUUGUCCAUAGUAGCAAGAAAAGGUGCUAAAAAACCAAAGCAUCUAACUCCAAGUUGGUGUUCGCUAACAAAUAUGGCAGAGGAAGAAUUGGCAGCAGUUGCCCAUCAGCAGGUUUAACAUAGCAGUUAAACAUAAAUACACAAAUAUCAUUGGACAGAUGCUUACACUUAGCGUAAAAAAAAUGCUUACACUGUUUCUCUCGGCGCCAGGAUCUAGCAGACCAACGCCAUUUGCAGUUACUUGGAAAACAACCGAAAUAAGCUGCGAUUACAGUAGGGUAUUCAUGCCAUCUGCACAAGCAUAAAUGAAGCAAAGGAUAACGCGAGCACGGUCACCUCCUCCUCCAUGAGGAUGUCGGCAACGUCGUAGUAACAAGGCAUUUCGCCCAAGUAGGAAAGAUCACUGUUUCUUAUUCUCAACCCUGCAUGAACAAUUUGCAGUAUGUCGAUGAGAGAAAGUCCAACUCACUCACCAAAUUUGGCCUCCUAUAUCCUCAUGUGUAGUAGUAAUAUUCUAAGGCUCCAUUUGGAUGUUGAUGUUGAUAUUGAGGGCCAUGGAAUUGAAUUGGUCCCAACAUCAAACCUCGCAGACAUUGAUAUUGAAAUUGAACCUGAAUAAUGUUGUUUGGAUGUGUUCAAGAAUAGACACUUGGAAUUCACAUGAGAGACUCAAUUCUGAAUAUUAUUUGGAUGAUCAUUGUCCAAAAUGGAAUUGCUCAUUUGUAAUAGGAUGAACAUUGUACUUUGAAUAUAGGGAAACGCUCUUAUAUUUCUCUACAGAGGGAGUAAUGUUUAAAACUAACUUGUGUGCAACAUGUGAAUAUCUGUGGAAGGUUAUAUGUCAAGAAUACAACAGCAGCACUUGUACAGAAAUAACAGCACCUACACAGCAGCGCUUACACAAGAGCAGCCGCCAUGGGGUGACGGCCAUGGGGGCGAGGGGAAAAGGCUCGGUCGCCAUGGGGUCCCGGCGGUGGUGGGUGACGCGGCGGUCGCCAUGAGUGGCAGGAGGCAGCGGCCGGCAUGGACUGCUGGCCGUGGUGGCCGAGCCGCAUCCGACAUGGAGGACGCCGUCGUGAGGGGCAGAUGGGCCGACGCGUAACGCCGCAGAGAGAAAGGAGGGGGGUGGGCGGGGAGAUAAGAGGAGGAUGAGGGCUGACCUGCGGCGUCGAGGCCUGCUGUGCUUCCCAGCGCCGCUCCUCGUGUCCUCCCGCGCGCGCUUCGCUUCUGAUUUUCGGGGAGCGCGGGCGAAGCAGCAGCACUAUCAGAGCAUCUACAGGGAAAUACUACCUCUUGGAGUCUUGGUUCCUACAGCUUAUAUGGGGAAAAAUAUUUAAUAAUUACAAAAAAAAAGUCAAAAUAGUUCAGAAGUUUUUUACAAUAAACUUAAUUUUCUUUUGCACUAGUAUAUAAAUUUUCAUGGAAAAUAAGCCCAGAGUUGACUUCAAGGCAAAAAACAGAAUUUAUUUAUUUAAUGGCAGUACAACGAACACAAGAAAUAAUGAAAACCACCUAACGACAACUACAAGCACUGAAGCGAGUUGAAAUUUAUUUGCUAUUAUAGGGUCAUUAUUCAAACUAUUUUGACCAAAAAUUCGUAUCUUUUUAAAAACAGUCAAGGUUUUUUUUUACUUUUUCACAAGUAUUAUCUCCAUCUCAAAAUUCUUAUCUAAGACAAGAAUUUCGAGACGGAGGCGGUACAAUGGAAGGUCAGGUUUAUUUAAAAAUAUUUUCAGACACAGAACAUCCACGCAUCUAUUUCCAGCCCACAUCGAAGAACCAUCAGUAGUCACACAGCUAACAGCAGAGCAAUUGCAAACACCUCUGUUCCAGAUGAUUUCGGCAAAACAGCAGGCGCGGAAAUCAAACGUGGAGCCAAACAUUAGUAGGCAUGCCUUCUGUUUCUGCUGCUUCGUCGAGCUAGAGACAAACAGGAAGAGAGGAAACAAAAAAGGUCCUACAUGUUAGCGAACCUUUUUAAGAAAAUCAAUUCAAUAAUAUUACGUGCAGCGUACCUGUUUAUGCAUCAGAGUGAGCUCUUCUAGUCUUGGUGAAAGCUGGAGGAAGCGAAGCAAAACAUAGAAGUCCUUGGUCAAGUGCCAUUUGCCAAUUUCAAGAGUUACAAGGUUCUCAAACACUGAACAUGUAGGCAGCUCAUUUUCCAACAUAACCUUGAUUAAGUGAGUAGGCAAGCGAGUUAUGACUAUUCCGAAGCAGAAACAAGCAUGAUAAUGUAUAAUAAUUGAACAAAAUGGGAAAAGACCAAAUGACCAUUGCCACACAAGACAUCAUGAAAAUGUAGCACUACCACUACAAGACUUUCGCACCACAGUUGACAACUAAUGUUGAAAGCUAUAAGAAGCCAGCAGACAAAAUGUCUCACUAUGAAAACAAACAAAUGAAACAUUGCCCAAUGUUUCUACAAUAGCUGCACCUUGAACUUAUCAAACACAAUCUCUAAAGUUCAUGUUUUUUCUGCCAUUUGCUUACGCACAGCAAAUCAGUAAGUGCUUAAAAUAUCAUUAUCAAACAGAAUGACGUUGAUAUCUUAGCUUUCAUAUUCUGAAUGUUUCCUUCAUAUCUGAUGCACUUUUACUAAAAUUGAAAGUUUGCUCUGUUCUAGUGUAAACGACUGGUAGAAGAAAAGUAAAUCACAAAAACAGAUCAGUAUAGAAAAAUAUUAUGAAUCCAACAGUUGUUUGUUAGAACUUAGACCAACAUGAAUUAUCAGAACUAGUUCAGCAUUAAUGGAUAAACUCAUGGUCUCGUAUAUAUUGCUUUGCACAUUCACAUCCAUUUCAGCAGCAAAAAAUUUGAAAAGGGUACACACGCAAAAUUAAGCCUACCACGCUAGAAUUAAACUUCAAUAAACAUAACUUGCGAAGAACCUCCUAGAAAGGAAACAGAGAACUUCUGAUUUCAAAUACACCUCAGUAAAUGACCAUGACUGCGCACCGGCAAUGUAAAGGCAACCAACAUUCAAUCAUCACCAAUCUCAACAAACAUAACACAUGAAGAGCCUUUAAGAAAGAAAACUAAAAGCUAUUGAUCUCAAAUAGACAAAUACGCCUUGAAAUAGGGCAAAAUCCAUUGCUGCACUUUGAAAAUGUAAGGGCACCAAUAUUCAAUCCAUCAGGAUAGGAAAAUUAAGCAAUACAUGUGAUACACAAGUUUAUCUUGCAGGCAUUUCCCCAUAUAUAUAUCUUAAUAUCUUCAGAACAUCAUCAGCAAAAAAGUCAAAUAACCAAUAUUGAGAACUUACAGGAGGUAAAUUAAGCAAAGCAUGAAAAAAAAAUGUACAUUGACAAAUUAGUCAAUCGCAUUAUAUUUGCCUUUUAGUUGCAGCAGAAGUGUUUAACUUUUAAGUAAAACCACUUUAUUGACUUCCAUUUUGCUUUCUGGAAAUAUGGCAAUACACGCUGACAUGCUACUAUCAACUACAAGCAACAGCAACCACGCGCCACAGCUCUAGAUACAGAGCAGAGAGCAUAUAGUUUUAUUAAUCCCUUUUCGAUAUAGAAUUCAUGACAAAAGAGAAUUCAUAUUUUCGCAAGAAAACAAAGUACUCCCUCUGGAAAGAUUUAUAAGACGUUGAGGGAUUUUCAGACACAGCCGACAAAAGUGCAAAUAGACCAUUAUGCCCUUAUUUUGAAUUUCGAACCAGUCGUCUUCUUCCUCGCGUCGUCCCCGUAUCCACGCCCCCAGCCUUGCCGUCGCCGUCGCCUGGCUGUGUCCAGGAGCUGGUCCCCGUCGUCACCCGCUCGUCCCCAUCGCCUGGCUGCGCCCAGCCUUGUCGCCGCCGGGCCCCUCCACGCGCCCAGCCUGGCCGUUGCCGUGCCCUGGUCCUCCUCCUCGCGCCCAGCCUUGCCGUCGCCGCGCCCAGGCCCUCCUCCUCGCGCGCCCAGGUCCUCCUCGCGCCCUGGCCCUCCUGCUCGCGCGCCCAGGUCCUCCUCCUCGCGCCCUAGCCCUCCUCCUCGCGCCCAGGUGCUCCUCGCCCAGGUACUCCUCGCGUCGCCCAGAGCAAGGAGAAGCAAUACAUUAGCAAGAUACGAGAUCAAAAUCAAUUCCACUAUAGUGGAGUACAAGAUCCAUGUGCUUGACAGUGGAGUAUAAGAUCAAGAGGAGUAGCUUCGAGAGCAGCAAUAAAUCACAGUAGCAAUAAUUUCUCAUCAUAGCACAACACCAGAUCAGGAGAUCUUCAAAUUACUCCAGAUCAAGGAAUCAGGUGUGCUCCAGAUCAAGAUCAAGAGUACAGGAGUAGGACAACAAAAGAGAUCUUCAAAUUACUCCACAUCAAGAGAUCGAUAGCUCAGGAUUAGGACAACAAAAGCAUUAAGAGCAUCAUUAACACAACAGCUGAUCAAGAGGAGCAGUUGAUCAAGAGGACCAGCAACAACAACAGCAUUAUCAGCAGUAUCAAUAGCAGGCGGCAUUAUUAGCAGCAUUAUCAGCAAGAGCAGCACCAGCACAACAACAGUAGCAAGUGGAGCAACAACACAGGAUCAGUAGCAAGAGGAGAAGCAGUAUCACAUCAACAGUACCGGAACAUAGCAGCAGCAGCACAAAAUGCUCCCAGACCUGAACUGCUCACCACCUUCAGGAGAAGAAGAAGCUGAUGUGAAUAUGGUCCAAGAAGAAGAAGUAGCAGAUGUCCAAGAAGAAACAUUAAAUGUCCAAGAAGAAGCAACAGGUACUACAUACACAUACUCCUUGUAUAGAAGUACAUCUGCUUUUAGUUGUGCACCGGAUGUUGGCAUAUGCAUAGGCAUCCUACUCCUAGUGCUUUAAUAGCAAUUCCUUUGCUUGUUGUUAACAAGAUUUGGUGUUUUUGAGUAUGCACUAGCCGAUGCUAUACAAAUAUCAGGUUUAACAUACUCUAAAGUGUUCAUGAAAACUGAAUAUAUGUUCAUCUACACAUACUAUACACAUACUCCAAAAUGUUCAUGAAAACUGAAUAUAUGUUCAUAGAACUUAACAUAUGUUUAACAACAAGUUUAACUUGGUCAAAUUCAUUUAACUUGCUGAAAUUUGCAUAUGCCUACUCCUAGUGCUUUAAAUAAGAGUAAUUUUCAGUUUUCUUAUUCUAACACAAUUUCCCUAAUUUUCCUAUUUUUCUUUUGUUGCUGUAGGUGUUCAGCAAAUACGAAGGCAAAGAAAGUCACUAACAGAUGAGCAGAGAUAUGCUGCUUACAUGGCAAUGCUUACGCUGAAUAUGAGUAGGGGUGGCAAGUUCAAAAGAACUGACAAGAAGGAUGUUGCUCGAAUUUUUCAAGCUGAUAUUCAAGUUAUUCAGAGAAUCUGAAGGACAGCAGAGCGACAAAAAGAGCUUGGUAAGGAGGUGGAUGUGUCCUAUGUUUUUAAGGCGGUAAGGCGAGGCGAGGCGCUGGGGGGGCGCCUCACUGCCUAAGCGCUGAGGCAUAAGGCGAGGCGACGCCUUAGAGACUUGUAAGCAACAGAAUUAAGUAGAAUUUGGUAGGCAUACAGCCAUACACACCUUGCAACUGAUUGUUGUAGAGCCCCCAUCCUCUUUGCACUUGCUUUUCUCCCCAACAGAAUUCUGCAUCAACAUGAAGUCAUGAACAAAUAUGUUAGAAUAAUGUAUCACUUACCAGUGCACAUUCCACAAAAAAUAGAAAUAAAAGUGAGGCAGACAAAAGUGGAAAGAAAGAUAGCAAGUAUGAGUGCAACUGCAAUCUGCAAUGGUCCACAUAAGACAAACAGAAUAAUAGAUAAUUCCACAUAAGACAAACAGAAUAAUAGAUAAUUCCAGCAUAGCAAAAGGGAUAAAGGUGGCCAGCUCAGCUCUCUCAUGUCUCUCCACUCUCAAAGUCUCAAUCAAAAGUCAUCAUCAUCAAACUCAUUGGCAUUGGUGUUAUCUUCACCAUCUUGGUCAACAUUAGUUGGCUCUUGAUCGUCAUUGCUCACAUCAUCAUCAUCCUCAACGUAGUCUGAAUCCUCCCCCUCCGCAUUGGGCAUACUUGAGUGUUGCUCUUGCUCCAAGUCCUCCUCUACCUCAUCUUCUUCAGGAAUUAUAGGUCGUGUUGUAGUAGGUCUCUUGCGUGCGUACUGCAGACGGACAUUUGUCUGGCCCCUACGAAGUGUAGUUGCUGUCCUAUGCAGAUUGCGGCCUCGAAGGUUUGAAGAUGCACCAAUAGCCACAUCAACAUCCUCCCAUGUAAUGUCUUGAUUGUCUUCAGGACAACCUCGAGCACCUUGAGGUUGUGAUAGUGAUGGGUCCACCCACUCAUUGCCCCAAUCAAAAUCCUCAAUGACCAAAGCCUCAAAGCUAUUCUCGCCCACCUUCUCACGCCUCUUUUGAAACCGUUGCAUAUUCUUCCGGUUGUAUGAAACAAAGACAAGAUCAUUCAACCUUUUCCAUUGUAAUCUGUUCCUUUUCUUUGUAUGGAUCUACAAAGUAGAAACAACAAGUGAAAUAAGUAAAUAACUUGCUGAAAUCAUCAUUGAACAAACACAAAUACUGCUUUACUAGUUGACUUACAAAUUCAAACGUGCUCCAAUUCCUCUCACAACCAGAUGAUGAAGCACAAAGACUAACAAUGCGCUUUGCAAACCUUUGUAGGUCAAUGGCCCGACCACCAAAUGAACUCCACCAAUCAACUAAAAUGAUAAAAACUGACACAUAUUAAGAGUUUGUACAGAAAUUACAUUGCUGGAACUGGAACUAACAUGCUGAAAUUAACAUGAUGCAUUUAAUAUGACUUACGAGGGUUUCUUGUGCUCAUGGUCUCGAGUGCCAAUGGAUUAGAAAAGCUUUCUCGCUGUUGCUCAUAGAGCACAGAUUGUUGAUCAAUCUUUUUUUGAACAUUGGCAUCCGGUACCAUUUUUGCAAGCACAUCAUUAAAGCAGCUCCUAAGCUCCCCAACUAAGGCAUCAUCAUUUCUGCUUACAAUAGGAAAGAACUUUCCUCGGUUCAAAAAUAGAGCAGCCCCAUACAAUGGAUGAUCCAUUUGAUUCUCCCAACGCUUAUCAACAAUGGCCAAGAUCUUCUUGAGCAAUGGUUGCUUGUUUUGUUGAGGGAAACCUAGAUUGAUCCUCUCCUUUGCAUAAAUCAUAAGUGCUUUAAUCUCUGGCAUGGCAGGCUUCUCAUCACCAUCUGCUACUCUAAGAACUCUAAGAAGUGGAGUUGAAGCUCUAAGGCAGUCCUCAAUUGCGCUCCACCACUCCGUUGAAAGUAUAAUCUCUUGCACAUUCAAGCCAACUUGUGUUUUUGCUAACUUGUUUCCAACCCAUUCUUCAGAUGUAAAUAAACUCCUCAAUGCAGCCUUGUUCUUGACCAAACUCCUAAGUGUGAGGAUGGCUGUGGCAAAACGAGUGGCUGCUGGUCUCACAAGAUCCCCACCCGUGGCCUUCCUCAUUAGACUAAGAAGUCUUCCAUGUCUAUAGAUGAAAGUUGUGACACGUCUAGCCCCUGCAAUAGGCUUCUUAAAUGCCUUUAACUUUCCUAUAUCUUCCAACAUUAGGUCCAAGCAAUGACAUGCACAUGGGCUCCAAUAUAGAGUAGGCAUCCUCUCCAUUAGAAGGUGGCCAGCUUUCUUGUAAUUAGCACCAUUAUCGGUGAUAACUUGUACCACAUUCUCUUUUCCAACAUCCAGAAUUCUCUUCUCAAGCAAAUCAGCUAUCAUAUCACCAUCAUGACAUACACUUGAGGCAUCAACCGACUCCAAGAAGAAAGUGCCCUCUGGACUAUUAAUAAGGAAGUUAAUCAAAUGGCGUCCUCUUUUAUCCGACCAGCCAUCCGACAUGAGUGUGCAUCCAUAUUUUUUCCAUGCUGCCUCGUGUUGCCUCCUCAAAAGUCCUGUUUCCUUCACACAAUCAUUAAGCAAUUUCUCUCUCAGCUCAUGUGCACUAGGAGGCUUGUAACCUGACCCAUAUUGACAAGAGGCUUCAAUUGCAACCUCAAACUGCCUACUACUUGCAGCGUUGAAUGGAAUGCCACACUCGUAAAAGAACAAUGCCCACUGCAUAUUGACAUACUGCCUCUCUUCUGGAGUCUUUGUGCUGGACUCCAUGGUGCUUUGAGAACACCCAGAGCGUCUUUCAUCUACAAGAUCCUCGGGUGUUCUUCGUAGCAUGGCAACAAUUGGCUUGGAACUAUUGGCGGCAGACACAACAGAAACAGACUUCUUUUUACCUUGCAUGUUGGUGAUAAACGCUUUCUUAUUCUGUUUGGCUGCUGUCCCUGAGCUUGGCCUUUUAGAGGCGAUGUUUGCUCCAACUGAACUCACCUCCACACCUCCUGAACAUCAUCUACAUCUACUACUCCCUUGAUCCUCCUAUUUUGCUCCAAAUAUGUUCCCAUUUCUCUCCUCAAUUGUGUGGUGGCCUUAGGACAACCAAUUGCAUCUCCCCCGACGCCCGCAAGAUGCUCUUUAUGCCUCUUGAUCCCUCCAGAAGUUAUCUUGCCACAAAGAGCGCACACAACAAGAUCCCGAUUUGAAGGCUCAGACCAAUAUCCAUAGUUCCAUCCCGGAUCAUUUGACCGUUGUGGCUUCCUUGUUGGAUCUUUCAUUGGAUCGUAGGUGGGCUCACCCCCAUCAGCUGCUGCAUUUCCAUCCAUGGUGCUACACUUCUACUACCUGCAGCAAACAACCAAACACAAAGGAAUAUUAGCAUAACUGAUAAAAGGGCUGCGAUGGCAUAUGAAAAGGCUGCUGUGGCAGCAACUAAACUACUCUACUCAUGCAGAUGUAGCAAACAGCGACAAUCAACUAGCCAUUAAACUAAUCAGCAUUCAACUAGUCAUUAAACUAAUCCAUUGUUGAGCACAACACAUCAUGCAUCAGUAUUCAACUAGCCUUUAUUCUAAUCCACCCAACAGGCCAACAACAUGCAUUAUUUUAUUCAACCAAGGAGCAUCCACUAAGGCACUAACCCCACUAUCAUUAAACUAAUCACUAACAUAUGCCUGGCCACUAAGGCACUAACCACUAUAAGAGACAAGUGAGCAACCACCAACCAGCUAGCACAAAACAGUCCAGCAAAGAAGAAAGAGAGCAGAGGAGGGUGUGGGAGAAGGGAGAGGGAGGUAUACCUUACUGUUGCUCUUGCUUGUUGUUGCUGUACUGCAGAGGAGGAGCUGCUGGACAGGAGGAUGAGGAGGAGCUGCUGGACAGGAGGAAGAGGAGGAGGAGCUGCUAGACAGGAGGAAGAGGAGGAGCUGCUGGAGAGGAGGAACCGUUGGAGAGGAGGGGGAGGAGCUGCUGGAGAGGAGGAGGAACCAGAUCUGCUGGAGAGGAGCCACUGAAGAGAAGGAGGGGGAGGAGUGUGUGGAUUGGGGGCUGUUUCUCUCUCUCUCUUUCUCCCCUCUUACCUGUUGGCGCCAACAUGAUUCCAGUUUCCCGCCUAAAACAGCUCCCCUGCCUGCCUGGCAAGCUAAGGCGUCCAAAAUGGACUAAGGCAACGCCUCGGACGCCUAGGCAGACGCCUCGGACGCCUUAUAGCUUAAGGCGGACGCCUUAGACACCCACCUAAGGCGAGGUGGACGCCUUGCCCUCGCAGGGCGCCCUGACGCCUAAGCGUCGCCUAGGCGACGCCUUAGGGACGCCUUGAAAACAGAGGAUGUGUCCAACCAAAAGAAAAGAAGAUGUGGAAGGAAAGGAAAGGAUAAUGUCCUAUCUCAAAUCCCCACAGUUCCAUUGAAUAGAAGAUCGACUCUCAGGUCACUUGCUCGCGCAUUGGGUGUCAGUCAUACUACACUCUACCAGAAACUCAAGCUUCACAAGAUUAGGAGGCACUCCAAUCGUUUGAAGCCAAGCUUGAAAGAAAAGAAUAAAAGAGAAAGAAUCAAGUUUUGUAUGUCGAUGCUUGAUGAGACAACUUUAGCAGCUACAAGACCUAAAUUCAUCAGUAUGCACAACAUUGUGCAUAUUGACGAAAAGUAGUUCUAUAUGACAAAAAUGAACAGAAACUACUACCUCCUCCCUCAUGAAGAUGACCCAGUCAGAACCAUUCGGAACAAGAACUGUAUUGGCAAAGUAAUGUUCCUGACCGCUGUUGCUCGACCCAGAUAUGAUGCUGAAGGCAAGGAAUGCUACCGCCUAUGAUACAUUUCCCUCGUGAAGUUUAUGAUAAUGCCAUGGAGAUUCUAGGACAAGAUGUCGACUGAGCAUGCAGUGGAGUAUGUUGAGACUUGUAGUGCUAUGAUGAGACUUGUUUGUGGAAAUGCAUCCAUGGAGUCUUUUUUGUCGAAAUGGAUUAUAUUGUUUUAAAGUUGUUUGUGGAAAUGGAUUAUACGCCUCACUCUCCUAGAUGCAGAGGCCGGGGGUCAUCCUCCUUUUCUAAAAAAAACUACUCUUGCAAGGAGUACUUUCAGACUUCCAGUAGAGUACUCUAACUGCUCCUAACAAAAAUCCUACUCUGAGCAAGCACUCUAACUACUGCAUGUACUCUACUCCUACUCAUAUUAAUCUAGCAGCACCAGAAGAUAUAGCAGCACAAGCAUAACCACUAGCAGUACAAGCAAAAGAACAUGGAGUACAAACAACAACUCACUGUCGUCGGAGAGGAACCGUGGAUCAGAACGGUUAAAUGGUUGUCAUUUCUUAUGCAGAAAUUGAAUGGUUACGUGGUUGUCCUGUCUUCUGCACUAAUUUUGGGACGCUGAGCAUCUUCUCUGGGAUUGAUCCUGCAAAUUGAUUGUUCUCCACAUUCCUGUGAACAUUGACAUAAUCAAGAUUCAGGACUAGGCAUGCGAGAAAUUCAGUUAGAUCUUUGUGUCAUCAUCAUCAGUGAGGAGCAAGUUUGCAAUACUCAACAAGCAUGCGGCAAGCAAUCAGAUCUACAGAGAGGAGUGCUCACCGACGGCGCCGACGUCCUCCUGCUCCUCCUCCACUGGUCAGCAAUAGAUGGAAGGUCGCCUGCACCAUGUCAUCGCUGCCUCCGCUCCUCCUCAUCUAAAACAGCCGCUCGCUCGUGUUCCUACCGCCCCUCUCCCUGGGUGUCGCCCUCCUCCUUUUGCUCUGCUCCAUUGGCGGCAAUGUGUGACCUUGGAUGCAGAUGCGGAUGUAGUCAAUCCAGAUGCCCAAAAUCAAAUUCGCACCAAGAAGACACGCUCAUCUUGAUUUACUCCCAAGAUUGCUCCAUCUGGCGUGGUAAAAAUGAAAAAGAGUUGCAUUUUUUACCUUCUAGAUCUUGGAGUAAGACGGAGCGGAGGUCAUUGAGGUGCUUGCGGCGGCGGCGCUCUGCCAUGCCCUCCACCUGCUUAUUCCUCGAUGCCGACGUCGGCGCGGGGGACGAACGCGCUCCUCCCGCUCAUCCUGACCUCACUAAAAAAACAAUUUUGGCUAGACAACACGGGCGAGGAGAGGGAGAGGCGGGGACAAGAGGAGAAGGGAGGCUGCGAAGCGGCCGAGAGGGAGGUGUCGACGCGGGCGAGAGGGAGGUGUCGACACGGGCGAGAGGGAGGAGCGUCGCCACCGCGCCGGAGAGUGAGGCGCGUCGCCACCGCGCCGGAUUCGGGCAGGGAGACGUCGACGCGGGCGAGUGAGUGCGAGAGGGGAAUGGGUGAGUGCGGGUGAGUGAGUGAGCGCAGGGGCAAAAAUGGAAACGACUGAAUUUUCUUAACGUGCCGAGAUUUGAACUACACUUUCUAAAACGUCUUAUAAAUCUUUCCAGAGGGAGUAUAAAAAUAUACAAAUUCACAGUGCGGAAUAAAUAUCAUUGUGGGCACCAUGCAAUGCAAAUUAGCGUUCGUACUCCUCCAUAUAACUUUGUAAUGUUGUAUAUAUGUAGAAACUCUAAAAUAAUUUUUUGGCCACACUUUAUUCAAAAGGAAUGUUGUAUGCGAAAUAAACGUGAAGAGAGGGCUUUUUAGAUCAAUGGGGUACGUGAUGUAACAUGUGUGAAUGUGUAGUUGAUGCAUUUGGCGGGGCCUGGAGAGGUAUGUGUGUGUAUUACGUAUUCGAGAGAGGCAUGGAUAGAGGGGCCGACGUGGGGGCGUGGGAGAGAUAGCACGAGAAAUGAGAGUGGUCUAGAGAGAGAGACGAAUAUGACAUCACGACAAGAUAUUCCAUUCACUUGAGUGUGUAUAUGCAAGGGGGGAUAGAGGCACCAGGAGAAAUUUUCUGUGUGUGGUGCUUGUGUUGGUAUGUGUGGGUGUGAGAAGAUAAUGAGACGUGGGGGCAGAGGGUGUGUCACCGCGCGAGGUCCGGUGGGUUGACGUGAGACCCUUCGUUCGGUUCCAUCCCGCGCCACAUUGAUCGGCCCAUGACGCAUUUAGGAAGACCCAUGGAUGACUAGUCGUACAAGACAAAGAUAGCAGAAUUGUGAAGGACUCUGUGUCCACUGACAAAGCCAACUAGGAUUUGUAACCCUAGGUUCUCGGACUAAGGUAACCCCUUUAUCUCUGAUAUUACUAUUCAUCGAACCUAACUUUAAGGGGCAUCCUACAAAAUGCUCUACUAGAAUCAUACUCGUCGAUUAGGAAGAGAGGUGUGAGACAAUGCGUGAGAGACAGGCAUAAAGAUAAUGUGUGUACAUGAGACACGUAGGCAGGUCCAUGUAUAUAGAAAGGAUCGAUGAGGAUUGUGCGUGUGUAUGUUUGUGAGAGGAGUGCUUGUGAUAAAGGUUAGUGAAAACAGUUGUAAAUGGUUACAAGAGGGAGGGAGGGUUAUAUCUAGAGCAUGUUGUGAGAAAGACACCUCGGGAGAGAGUAUGUGAGCAUGUGUGAGAGACCACCGAUGGAGAGUGAAACUACACGUAAAAUACUGCUCUACACAUUGAUUAAAGAUAUAAAUUGUAUCCAAAUAUUAGGAUGGGAUCAUGAUAUUUGCAAUUCGCGUAAGGAGCGGUCAUUGAUCCAUCAGACAUCUAGAUUCUAUCGAAUUUGAGCAUGCAUAUGUUAUUAUUCGACACAAUUGAUCAACAUAGGUAGUAUUUUGAACUCCAGACAAUGCAUUGCUUUAGCAAUCGAAUAUAAACGUGAGUAUAGUUCAUGUUGUGUGUGUAAAGCACAUUAUACAUAUGAAAGUUACACAAUGGACAUUAUAAAUAGCUACCUAUGAACUAGCAUACAUUUGAAUUCAACUUAAGGUGGUUUAAAAAAAUCGAAUUCAACAUGAAGUCCAUUCAGUUAUUUGAAUUUGAUAUCAUGGCAUUUGUAAACCAUACCUAAAUUAUGGGGGCACCAAUCUUUGCUCUGAUUUUGUACAUAAUAGCAUAUGUAGUCGUGUAUAAAAUAGAUUCAAAUUUAGUUCCUCCAUUCCAAAAUAAUCGUAGUUAUAGGAUUUUCAAGUGUCAAAAUUUCAAAAAGAAGCGGAUAAUUUAAUGAGAUUUUCAAACAUACAAGGUCAAAUAUAAUGUUGUCUAUUUAGGUCAAUCCUCAUAGUACAAGAGUACUCUAAACGUUAAUGCUUGUGUUUCAAAAUUUCGAACGAAGCGCCAAAAGAGCCUCUACUCACCCGAAACCGCGUGAGACCAAUGUUUUGUAGUACAAGGAAAUUACUUUUCUAAUAACUCCGACCCGUGAAACCUACCGGCCCGACGUCCAAAGGUCUAAACCGGGGUAGGUUUGUAGCUUCAUCUAGACGCCACGCAACUGCCUCGAAAAAACAUUCAUACACAAUGGUCGCCUAAGCACACAUGCGCGCAGCCGAAAUCGCUCCCGCCCACUAUUUGGGACACCUGGGAUUACCAUCCUACCCCUGACCCGCAGUAGGUCCAAAAGUUAAGAGGGGGGCAAAGUUUGUACUUUCCCUAAAUUUCAAACAAGCGUGUCCCAUCUUCUGUUCAAAAAAGCCAAAAACAAGCGCGUCUCAGACCGAAACAUGGUUCCUCCCACCCAUCUGAUUCCCCAUUCGUACUCCAUGGGCGCCAAAACUACCUCUCCACCAGCCGCGAAACCCCGGCAUCCUCCGUCCGCCACCCCAUCCCACCCAUCAACCGCCGCCCUCCUCCAUCACACCGGAGCCGAUACCCCGACGUCAUCGUCCACCGCAAACUCAACCGCAACGCCCUCCACGCCUAGUAGUUGAAGCUGAGGCCGAGCCGUCCAUACCCGAGCCAGUUCAACCACGCCGUCCUGCGCCUCACCGCUGCCACUCCAACUUCGCCACCCUCCACCGCACCGGAGCUGUUCUUGCUACGCCGUCCUUCACCGCCUCGGAUCUACUUCCCCUCCGCCGACAUACGGCCAUGGCAACACAGUCAACAAUUUGGCCAUGGGUUCGUCCAAGCCUGCACCCUCCAGAACAUCAGUUUCCCCGGUAAAAAGAAUAAGAUCGGCACGACAUGUGGAGGUGACCACACUCGCAACCAAAAAAGGUACUCCUCUUCCCUUAUACGUGCAAAUCUUAUGUCUCUGCUUGCACGGUAUUCAUCCCACAGAAGACACUAGUUGACUGCUUCUUCUUGAUACUAGAUGUUCCUAGUAACUCGCGAUGCACAAGGUUUCUCCUCAUAUACUAUUUCACCUUACCUAGAGGUCCGUCGCCCCCCUGAAUUUCAAUUUCUAGCCAGCUGAUUCCCAAUUAACGGAAGCAUUCCCCGGCGUAAUAGGCGCUAGUACGCCUAUUACACCGGGGAAGCAGCGCCUUGGUGUUUAUCUUAGGGGCGUGUGCAGCCUAGAGCUACUGGCGCCCGAUCUGGAGGUCGGUCGGGAUUAAAGGGAUGGCCGGGGGGCGCUGCCAAGCACGGCGGUGGUGUGAGGUCGAUGGGAGGACGGGGCGGCGGAAGCAGGGGUCUGGGAUUGUGGUCACUGGCGGUUCGAGAAAGAUCGUCAACAGUGACUGGCGGGAGGUAGACGAAGGCCAUCUGCCCGUUCCUUAUAGAUCGGACGGUUCAUUAAAAAAUCGACUUACCUAUUUAUUUUUAGUCGACUGUUAUCUUAGAUAUGACCACAUGUGGUGGUGUGCUGGAGGAGUACCUGCAUUUCCUGUGCUCAUAUAUUACAAAAUCAUACAGAGUAGAAUCUAAUUUUGUUUGCCAUGCAAUGUUGUAGAGCUAUCAUAUGUCUCCUGUCAUUUAUUUUUCAGCCACCUGCUAUCUGCUACCUUUACAGUGCACUAGUUCUGCACACACUUCACCCUUACUCUCACUAUUGUGUUUUUAUGCAAGGGUAUUUUAGACUCUGCUGCUAUGAGAGAAGCAGCAAAGAAAAGAGAGAAGUCACGCCAGCUUUCUUUGCGGGUAGGCAAGACACGUUGCAGUGCUAUAAAUGGUGCAGCGUCGGCAGAUGGAGACGGUAAACGUAGCUCUGGAGUUGAUGACCUUUCUCGCAAUGAACCACCAUCCCAGGUGCUUGCUUUAACUUCACGGUGUCAUAUGUGGUUGCAUGUUCCAUAUGGUGUCUAGCUUGUAUUCGAAAGGCCGAAGUCGGUAAGAUAAGGAAAGAUAUUUUUUUACAUGAACCACCAUCCCGUGAGCACCAGAAGAAAAAUGGCUAGUCAGGGCACUGGCCGAGCCAGUGACAAGCCCAGCAAAGAUAGGCAUCACCUGGAAGCCAACUAAAAAGCUGCGAUGGUGGCGAAGCAGCCCGCCUCCCACCAGGCUCUCAGGUCCUAGAUGAUCAUGCUCACCACUCCAGCCGGAUAUUUAGCUUGUAUUGCUUCCAAUUUGGUUAAAUUGCAUCUGCUUAGCUUACACAUUAUACCUUUGAAUAUGACAUGCCUUUCUGUUUUUGGUACAUACUAGUACAUCUGUGUGUUAACCAUGUUCUUACAUCAAACUAAUGCUCUUGUGUAUCCCUCAUCAAUCACUUAUGACGAGGCAGGCAGGCAAGGGGACUACUCCUCAUUUAAAGAAUGCAGUGUCAGCCUCUCGACAUGAUUCUCAAGAAACAGAAAUGCUAGAUGAAGAUAGUGAACGUAGCUCUGUAGUUGAUUACAGCAUUUCCCCUACACUAGCAUUGCAGGUGCUUGCUCUAACUUGGCAGCGUGAUAUGUGGUUGCAUGUUGCAUAUGGUGUCUAGAUUGUAAUUCUUCCAAUCUGGUUAAACUGCAUGUGCUAGUCUGCUUAGCUUAUACAUUACACCUGUUAAUGUGACAUGCCUUACUAUAUUUAGUACAUAGUACAUUUGUCUAUUAAGCAUGUCCUUACAUAAAACUAUUUUUUUUGUAUCCCGCAUCGAUCAACAUAAUGAGACACCUUUAGUAUAUGCAGUGCGAUAUUAGUUGCAUCUUUCAUAUGAUUUAUAGCAUGCGUUGCUUCUAAUUUGUUGAAAUUCCAUUUAUGAUGGGACGCUUUUAACUUGGCAGAGUCAUAUUGGUUGCAUCUUUCAUGUGGUUUCUAGCUUGCAUUGCUUCUUAUUUGCUGGAAUGGUUUCUGCUUAGUUUACACGAACAGUUGUGAACAUGCCAUGCCGUCCUGUUUUUCGUACAUAUUCCAUCCUAGUAUCAUGUGUUUGCCUUACAUCAAAGUAGUGAUUGUUAGUAUCAUGCAUGAAUGAGUUCUGAAGAGAGAAUUUUAUUGCUUUUUCUUGUCGGUUUUACUUGGCAAUUCAAAAUCAAUAAAGCGGAAGGAAGUUAGCAAGGCAGCGGAUAAAGGUGAUCCUUCCGAACGGAUGGCCUCUACAGUUUCUACUCCUCCACACCCCCAAGAUGAUUUCCAAGACAACACAUGCAUAGACACUCAACAAAGAUGUGUUUAUGAUGAGCAUGUAUCCCCUAGUGCAGCAUCACUGGUGCUCCCUCUAACUUGGCACUGUUAUAUGUGGUUGCAUGUUAUGUGUGAUGUCUAGCUUGUAUUGCUUCUAAUUUUGUUGAAUUCCAUCUGCUUACUUUACACAUUAUACUUGAAUGAGACACGUGUUCCUGUUUCUAGAACAUACAAUAUCUAUCUAUCACACCAUGUUCUUACAUCAAAUUACUACUGUCGUGUAACCUGCAACAAUCACUUAUCAUAAGACACGUUUGACUUUGGAGUGUGAUACAGGUUACAUCUCACAUUCUUUUCUAGCUUGUACUACUAAUUUGUUGAAAUGGCACUUAUGACGAGACAGUUUUAACUUGGUAGAGUGAUAUUCGGUGCAUCUUUCAUAUGGUGUCUAGCUUUCAUUGCUUCUAAUUUGUUGAAAUGCCUUCUCCUUAGUUUACACAUCAUAAGCUGUGAAUAUGCAAUGCUGUGAAUAUGCAAUGGCACUAAUGACGAGAGACCUCUAACAUGGUAGUGUGAUGUUGUUUGCAUCUUGCAUAUGAUUUAUUUCUUGUAUUGCUUCACAUUUUUUUAAAUGUCAUUUAUGAUGAGACACUGUUAACUUGGCAGAGCGAUAUUUGUAGCAUCUUUCAUAUGGUGUCUACCUUCCAUUGCAUUGCUUCUAAUUUGGUGAAAUGUCUUCUUCUUAGUUUACACAUCAUAGUUCUGGUUAUCUCUUCCGUCCUGUUUUUCAUACAUAUUACAUCCUCCUAUCAUGUGGUUGUCUAACAUCAAAGUUCAGUUCGUCUGCAUCACGCAUCAAUUUGUUCUGAAGAACUAAACUGUUAUUCAUUUUUCUUGUCGGCUUGACUUAACAUGGCACAGAGAAAGAGGAAGAAACACAGAAUGGCAGGAAAUGAGAAGCGGAUGAAUCCUGCAGAUUCUGCUGGUACUGAUGGUGCAAUAGAAGGUCAAAGUACAGCGGAAAAUUCUACAAACACCGCAUCCCAUGCUACACGAGUUGCAAAAAAGCCAAACAGAAACAAAUAGAUGCCACCAAAAAAGCAGAGACAGCCCUAGUUCUUGCAACACCUACCACAGUACUACCAGCUGCACAACUUACUCGUGCGUCAAUUGAGCUAGCAGCACAUUCCCAAGCUCCCUUGCCACCUGACACUACUUCCCAAGCACUCUUGAUACAAGACGAGUUGGCAAUAUCAGAUGAACCUUGUGAGCUUCAACAGCAAGAAGGUAGUUGCUGGAGUCAAGUUACAGUUGCAUGCUUCUUUAUAUGUAGUCUCACAGUUUGAUGUACACUAACACUUCCUAUGUUCGUUGUUGGACUAGCACCUAGGCGCAAGAGGAAACAAACAUCAGGGAUAAUGCUCGAUAGGUUAACUAAAUCUAGAGGAGGAAGAAUGGAGAUCCGUUUUGAGGCAGGUUUAAAAAGGGCACGUGAUGCUAUAGAGUCAGCCAAGUUAGUAUCAGAGGCAGCGGUUGCCGUUAGGUGUCAUGUACGUAUCCUCCCAACAUGGAUUCAGUACAGGAAUGACAAAGAUGAAACCCAGUUCAACACCUUCCUCGACCAUUUAUCUAUAAGUAUGGUUAUGUAUGGAAACUAGUAAUAUCGUCUUGCUCUGUCCCAUACUUUCUAGGUUGCUGAUAAUGAGACUCCCAUAAUUUUUAAUAGAUGAGGUUCAAGUUGGAUAACCAAGAUGAUGCAACCAGACAAGUUUGCACCCACGUUUUCAAGUCUGCUCUACGACAGUAUCAGUAUAACUUGAGGAAAACUCACUUUGAAGGCAAGGCUAACAAUGAACUUUCCCAAACAUCUCCAGUGGAAAAUAUAUCGGAUGAAGACUGGAGGGGCCUUGUUAAACACUGGCCUGAUCCGAAGUAUCAGGUACAUUAUAUAUAUGUGAUCAGAUCACAUGUUGAAGUCCUAUUUACGCAUCUGCCACACAAAUCUAUCUUCUUGUAGGUGAAUUGUUCAAAGAACAAGGCCAACCGUACGAAAGUGAAAUUCCAACGGACGACGGGAUCACGUAGCUAUAUUGCACACUAUGAGGCUCUUGUAAUUAGCUGCUGUUUCACUCUUUUCGCUGUACCAUAUUAUUAGAUCUAUGUUGACUUGUUCGAAAUGCAGAGGAAAGCCCGCAAGGAUCAAAAAGUACCUGAACCAAAUGUUGUGGAAAUCUUCAAGGACUGUCACACCAGCAAGAAGAAGGGCAUGCCUACACCAGUCAAAGCCGCUAUUGUAAGUCCUUAAUCCUCAUGCCUUUUAACUACUACUUACUCUGACUUGUGCCUUGAACUGCAUGGUUUGCAGCCAAUGUCUAUUACUCUUUUCAAUUUUAUACACAAUUGUCUUAGCAUAUCAUUGCACCUUACAAGGUUUAAAAGAGAGGAGUGAUGUUCCUUUGAUCUUGACCCGUAAUCUAGUUCCGUGCUAGACUUGCUCACACAACGUUACAAUUGCAUGUUUGUCUGUUCUCAGUUGUUUUGUGAUAUGAAUGAUGUCAUAAUAUGCUUACCGUAUUAUAAACUUCGUCUCUUUAUCCUUAGCCCUCAAUACAAUGUGAAGAAAUAGACAAUACAUUAGCGAUGGUACAUGGUCAUAUGUUUGGAACCUGGUUUUAUUAUGUACUUUGCAAUAAAAUACAACUAAUAUUUUACAUGGGUUCAUCAGAAUAAGUUUUGUAUAUAGACCAAAGCUAUUUUGUUUGGUUUUGCUGCCUCCUUAAUAUCUUCUGUUCUAGUACUACUAAUGUAAAACCUCAACUUUUCAGCGAGCUAUGGAAAAAAUGGUGGAACCGCCACCUUCUGAAGGUGGCGAGGCAACUAUAACCGCAAUGUCAGCUCUUGUUGCAGUGGGUCAGUACAUGUCCACUAACAGUGCCAAAAGCAUGUUCCUGCGUAAUACUGGGUUGGUUGUUAAGGCAAUAUCGUCAGAACUGCCUCAUGUUCAAGAUAUGCAAGCUCAAAGCAAUGUUUUAUCUGCGCUCCAGACACAAGUCCAUUCCCUAACAGAGACCCUUUGUGAAACAAGGAGAAACAUUGCUCAAUGUCAUCAAGAUAUGUAUGGUUUUGAAACCAGACUAUCAGACAUUUGCUAUGUUGUUCAAGAGCCUAGGGGAAAUGAAGGCGAGGGUUAUGGUGCUCCAUUGGACAAUACAGCAUGAAAAUGUAACAGUCAGGUCAAAUGAACUGAGCUUCUGAACUUCUGGUGGUGCAUUUAUCUGCUAGACUGUUAAGUUUUAUGCCAACCUUCCUUUUGUUAUAUAGUUGUAAUUUGUUUUGGUGCGAUACAAAAUUUAUUCUUAACAUGCAGCCACUGGCUGAAGAAAACAGCAAGCCAUUUUUGUAUAGUGUAGGGUGUUCCCUAUAUUUGCACUAGUGGCGAUCUUUGAUGCCGAGUGGAUAUAAUCUGUGCAAUCACCUUAAUAGCCUAGCGUUAGUUUUGGCCUUAUUUAUUUCCUAGUCUUCUUUUUCCCUGUUUUGCUAGUGGCCGCAACUACCAUGGGCCAUAUACGGGCCGUAGGAUCCAUGGGUCUCCUACGGGCCGUCGAUAAAUGGGCCUGUAAUCGGUGGGCCUCGGGCCGUCGGAUAAAUGGGUCUACAUGGGCCGUAAUUGGGCGUAAUUGGUAUCGGCCCAGCAUGGUAAUGGGCCGUUAACAGGCCGUAGGACAGCAAAGGCUUAAUUCUGUCACAGGCAUAACGGGUCGUUAAUGGGCCAGAAUAUAGGACAGGCUAGAAAUGGCGCAAUGGGUUAACAGGCCAGAAACGGGCCGACUCUUGCCAUGGGCUGAAUUUGGCCCAUUAGGGUAACAGGCCAGUAACGAACCGACUCUUGCCAUGGUCCGAAUUUGGCCCGUUAGGGGAACAGGCCAGUAACGGGCUGACUCUUGCCAUGGGCCGAAUUUGGCCCAUUAGGGGAACAGGCCAGUAACGGGCCGUAAGUAAUUGAGGGCUGAAAAGGAGCCCAAGAACGUAUGGGUCGUCAAUAGGCCGAAAGCUAACACGGGCUAGAAACAGCCCAUGUAAAUCACGGGCCGUUAACGGGUAUAAAGAAAAUUACUGUUCAUUAUGGGCUAGAGUCACCGUGGGCCUGUAAAGGGCCAAAAGAUACGAAGGCCUCAUAUGGGCCGAAAGACGUCGUGGGCCAUACAUGGGCCGAAAGUGAAAUGGGCUGGUGUUAUAUUCGAUGGCCCACAUGACGUUGUUGGGACGAUUUCCUUUAGGGCCUAACGGGCCGUAAAAUGGGCUAUUUGCGAAGAGACCCUUAACAGGCUUUUCAUGGGCCAGCCCAUUAACUUUUGACCAAGUCAAACGGGCUGGCUUUGUAAGCUAAAUGGGCCAGUGGUGGGCCGUGGCACGUGUCGACAUAUCAUAGGCGCCUAUCUGACCCACUGAUGAGCUGACACGUGUUUCGUCCGGCCAAUAAGAAUUUUACAUGUGGAAAUUUCCCAUUGGUCGGGGCUGUUAACGGGUUAUAGGAUCCAAAACCCGAUCUGAUAGCUUAACGGCGUUCCGUUACGGUGGAUGCCAUGUGUCGGUCACCCUUGAUGAAAGCACUUCUGUGACACGCGAUAUAUCGUCAUGGAAGUGGACACUUCCGUGAUGAUAAUAUUGGUAAUGUCAUGGAACACUUCUAUGACAGCACAGGUAUGACUAUCUUGAUUCUGUCAUAAAAUCGUCAUGAUGUACAUGCAUGACAAAAAACGCGACCUACUGUGACAAACACGUAUCAUCACUGAAUAUAACUUGAAUAUUUUUUUGUAGUGAAUCCAACUUGAAUAUAACGUUGAUCGAGUCAUGGCGCCACUGAAUCGAGUUUUUCCUCAGUGCGACCACAUUUACAUUUAUGGGGAGGUCUUGAUUCAGUCCGUUGUUGUGCCUCUCGCCGGUACCUCCAACAAGGAAGGUUAUGGGCGUGAUGUACCCUGGCCCGGUAAGCAGACAUAACCUUGUGUGCCCGUUUGUUUUUAUGGUACCUUGUCCCCGUUUGGGACCGUUUUUGCCACGACGGUGGUCGUUGAUGUCUUUGGUAGGCACAGGGCCACCCAUGAGUUAGCCCAGAGGGGAGUUGGUCGGAGUGGCCAGGAGUGUCAUGAAAAUGGGAGGGUUUCGUCAGAAUGUCGUUGGUCCACCCGAAUGGGAGUGCGAGACCCUGUGUUCCAUGGUGUGGGUAUAGUGUGCUACCUCUGUAGAGUGUAUUUAAUCUAUCGAUAGCCGCGGCCUCGGUUACGGACACAGCUCGUGAGUGAGUCACACCAUGGAUCAACAUUAAUAAGUAAUCUUGCACACUAAAGAGUUAUUGUUGGCACUGGUUAUGUGAUGAUCUGUGGGAUCAUGAUAUGAUCGUGAGUGUUGGCUUCAGUUGUGAUCCGGGUAUGAUCACCAUUCGGUUACGAGGUAACCCGUCUGGAAAGCGAGUCCGAGGGACUCGGUGCACAAGUUGGUUUCACCGCAUCAGUAGUAUGAUUUUUAUUGCAUUAACCUGAAUAUUUGUCAUGAUAUUGUUUGCCAUUAUGCUUAUGUUUGUUGUGAGCUUGCAAGUACAUUCAAUAUACUGACCUGGCGUGUCAUGCCAGAUUUCAGGCAAGUCGUAUCGGAUUGGAGAGUUUCUCGCGUCUAGAUCGUGUCCACGUCGGUGUCCCUGUGCUAUGGAGUUCCACUUCAUCGUCGUUCUGCUGCCACGUAGUUUAUGUGAUCGAGGCCCCUUCAUGUUCAUUAAAUAAUGUACAUACUGUUCAGCCACACCUCGUGUGCCGCUUGGCCUCGCAACUUGAUGUAAUAUCAGACUUAUGAUUCCGCUAGCAUCAAUAAAGCGGUUGUUUCUGUACCAUGUUGUUGUGUGUUGCCAGAAGACUUGAUCUCUGGGCUGGCAAUGCAAGGUAAACCGGUUGCUCUGAGCUGGGGUGCCACAUUUGAUACCGGUUCGGUUGCUCAUAUUUGUAACUCGAAACAGGGGCUAUGGAUUAAACCAAGAUUGUCUAAGGAUGAGGUGACGAUGUGCGUCAGGAAUGGUUCCAAGGUCGAUGUGAUCGCCGUCGGCACGCUACCUCAACAUCUAACUUCGGGAUUAGUUUUAGACCUGAAUAAUUGUUAUUUGGUGCCAGCGUUGAGCAUGAACAUUUUAUCUGGAUCUUGUUUGAUGCGAGACAGUUAUUCAUUUAAAUCGGAGAAUAAUGGUUGUUCUAUUUAUAUGAGUAAUAUCUUUUAUGGUCAUGCACCCCUGAAGAGUGGUCUAUUUUUGUAGAAUCUCGAUUGUGGUGAUACACAUAUUCAUAAUAUUGAUGCCAAAAGAUGCAAAGUUGAUAAUGAUAGUGCAACAUAUUUGUGGCACUGCCGAUUAGGUCAUAUUUGUGUAAAGCGCAUGAAGAAACUCCAUGCAGAUGGACUUUUGGAAUCACUUGAUUAUGAAUCAUUUGAUGCUUGCAAACCAUGCCUCAUGGGCAAGAUGACUAAAACUCCGUUCUCUCGAACACUGGAGCGAGCUACUGACUUAUUGGAAAUAAUACAUACUGAUGCAUGCGGUCCAAUGAGUAUUGAGGCUCACGGCGGGUAUCGUUAUUUUCUAACAUUCACAGAUGAUUUGAGCAGAUAUGGGUAUAUCUACUUGAUGAAAUACAAGUCUGAAACAUUUGAAAAGUUCAAAGAAUUUCAGAGCGAAGUGGAGAAUCAUCGUAACAAGAAAAUAAAGUUUCUACGAUCUGAUCGCGGAGGCGAAUAUUUGAGUUAGGAGUUUGGCCUUCAUUUAAAACAAUGUGGAAUAGUUUCAUAACUCAUGCCACCUGGAACACCACAUCGUAAUGGUGUGUCCGAACAUCGUAACCGUAAUUUCUCAGAUAUGGUGCGAUCUAUGAUGUCUUUUACCGAUUUACCACUAUUGUUUUGGGGUUAUGCAUUAGAGACAGCUGCAUUCACUUUAAAUAGGGCACCAUCUAAAUCCGUUGAGACGACACCAUAUGAACUGGGGUUUGGCAAGAAACCUAAGUUGUCGUUUCUUAAAGUUUGGGGUUCCGAUGUUUAUGUGAAAAAGCUUCAGCUUGAUAAGCUCGAACUGAAAUCGGAGAAAUGCAUCUUCAUAGGUUACCCAAAAGAGACUGUUGGGUACACCUUCUAUCACAUAUACGAAGGCAAGAUCUUUGUUGCUAAGAAUGGAUCCUUUCUAAAGAAGGAGUUUCUCUCGAAAUAAGUGAGUGGGAGGAAAGUAGAACUUGAUGAGGUUAUUGUACCUUCUCUUGAAUUGGAAAGUAGUUCAUCAUAGAAAUCAGUUGAUGCCUACACCAAUUAGUGAGGAAACUAAUGAUAAUGAUCAUGAAACUUCAGAUCAAGUUACUACAGGACCUCGUAGGUCAACCAGAGCACGUUCCGCACCAGAGUGGUACAGUAAUCCUAUUCUGGAAGUCAUGUUACUGGACCAUGACGAACCUACAAACUAUGAGGAAGCAAUGAUGAGCCCAGAUUCCGCAAAAUGGCUUGAGGCCAUGAAAUCUAAGAUGGGAGCCAUGUAUGAGCACAAAGUAUGGACUUUGGUGGACUUGCCCGAUGAUCGGCAAGACAUAGAGAACAAAUGGAUGUUCAAGAAGAUGAUUGACGCUGAUCGUAAUGUUAAUGUCCACAAAGCUCUACUUGUCGUGAAAGAUUUUCGACUAGUUCAAGGAGUUGACUACGAUGAGACGUUCUCACCCAUAGCGAUGCUUAACUCUGUCUGAAACAUGUUAGCAAUUGCCGCAUUUUAUGAUUAUGAAAUCUGGCAAAUGGAUGUCAAAACUGCAUUCCUUAAUGGAUUUCUUAAAGAAGAGUUGUAUAUGAUGCAACUAGAAGCUUUUGCCGAUCCUAAAGGUGCUUACAAAGUGUGCAAGCUCCAGCGAUCCAUUUUUGGACUGGUGCAAGCCUCUCUGAGUUGGAAUAUACGCUUUGAUGAGGUGAUCAAAGCAUAUGGUUUUAUACAGACUUUUGGAGAAGCCUGUAUUUACAAGAAAGUGAGUGGGAGCUCUGUAGCAUUUCUAAUAUUAAAUGUGGAUGACAUAUUGUUGAUUGGAAAUUAUAUAGAAUUUCUGGAUAGCAUAAAAGGAUACUUGAAUAAGAGUUUUUCAAUGAAAGACCUCGGUGAAGCUACUUAUAUAUUGGAUAUCAAGAUCUAUAGAGAUAGAUCAAGACACUUAAUUGGACUUUUACAAAGCACAUACCUUGAUAAAGUUUUGAUGAAGUUCAAAAUGGAUCAGUCAAAGAAAGGGUUAUUGCCUAUGUUAAAAGGUGUGAAGUCGAGUCAGACUCAAUGCCUGACCACUGCAGAAGAUAGCGAGAAAAUGAAAAUCAUUCUCUAUGCUUCAGCCAUAGGUUCUAUCAUGUGUGCUAUGUAGUGUACCAGACCUGAUGUGUGCCUUGCUAUAAGUCUAGCAGGGAGGUACCAAAGUAAACCAGGAGUGGAUCACUGUACAGCGGUCAAGAACAUCCUGAAGUACCUGAAAAGGACUAAGGAUAUGUUUCUCGUUAAUGGAGGUGAUAAAGAGCUUGUCGUAAAUGGUUAUGUUGAUGCUAGCUUUGACACUGAUCCAGAUGACUCUAAGUCACAAACCGGAUAUUAUUUAUAUUGAAUGGUGGAGCUGUCAGUUGGUGCAGUUCCAAGCAAAGCAUUGUAGCGAGAUCUACGUGUGAAGCGGAGUACAUAGCUGCUUCAGAAGCAGCGAAUGAAGGAGUGUAGAUGAAGGAGUUCAUAUCCGAUCUAGGUGUAAUACCUAGUGCAUCGGGUCCAGUGAAAAUCUUUUGUGACAAUACUAGAGCAAUAGCCUUGGCGAAGGAAUCCAAAUUUCACAAAAGAACCAAACACAUCAAGAGACGAUUCAACUCCAUCCAUGAUCAAGUCAGGGAAAAUAAAUACGGAUCUAAAUGUGGCGGAACUUUUGACUAAGCCUCUUCCAUGAGCAAAACAUGAUCAGCACCAAGACUCCAUGGGUGUUAGAAUCAUUACAUUGUAAUCUAGAUUAUUGACUAUAGUGCAAGUGGGAGACUAAAGGAAAUAUGCCCUAGAGGCAAUAAUAAAGUUUUUAUUUCAUGAUAAAUAUCUAUUAUUCAUGCUAGAAUUGUAUUAACCGGAAACUUGAUACAUGUGUGAAUACAUAGACAAAACAAAGUGUCCCUAGUAUGCCUCUACUAGACUGGCUCGUUAAUCAAAGAUGGUUAAGUUUCCUGAUCAUAGACAUGUUUUGUCAUUCGAUGAACGGGAUCACAUCAUUAGGGGAAUGAUGUGAUGGACAAGACCCUUCCGUUAGCUUAGCAUAAUGAUUGUUAAGUUUUAUUUCUACUACUUUCUUCAUGACUUAUACAUAUUCCUUUGACUAUGAGAUUAUGCAACUCUCGAAUACUGGAGGAAUACCUUGUGUGCUAUCAAAAGUCACAACAUAAAUGGGUGAUUACAAAAAUGCUCUACAGGUAUCCCCAAAGGUGUUUUGUUGGGUUGGCAUAGAUCAAGAUUAGGAUUUGUCACUCUAAGUAUCGGAGAGGUGUCUCUGGGCCCUCUCGGUUAUGCACAUCAGAAUGAGCCUUGCAAGCAAUGUGACUAAUGAGUUAGUUACGGGAUGAUGUAUUACAUAACGAGUAAAGAGACUUGCCGGUAACGAGAUUGAACUAGGUAUGAAGAUGCCGACGAUCGAAUCUCGGGCAAGUAACAUACCGAUGACAAAGGGAAUAACGUAUGUUGUCAUAAAGGUUCGACCGAUAAAGAUCUUCGUAGAAUAUGUGGGAGCCAAUAUGAGCAUCCAGGUUCCAUUGUUGGUUAUUGACCGGAGAGGAGUCUCGGUCAUGUCUACAUAGUUCUCGAACCCAUAGGGUCCGCACGCUUAAUGUUCGAUGACGAUUUGUAUUAUGAGUUAUGUGUUUUGGGGACCGAAGAUUGUUUGGAGUCCCGUAUGAGAUCACGGACAUGACGAGGAGUCUCGAAAUGGUCGAGAGGUAAAGAUUGAUAUAUUGGACGAUAGUAUUCGAAUGCCGGAAUGGUUUCAGAGUGUACCGGAUAUUUUUCAGAGUACCUGGAGGUUACCGGAACCCCCCGGGGAAAGUAAUGGGCCACAUGGGCCAUAGGGGAGAGAGAGAGCAGCACGCAAGGGGGUGGCGCCCCCGCCCCCCCCCCCUCCAAUGGGGAGUCCGAAUUGGACAAGAGGAGGGGGCUUGGCCCCCCUUUCCUUCUCCAUCUCCCUCUCCUUUCCCCUUUCCCCCUCUAAAAGAAGGAAGGGGGGUCGACUAGGACUAGGAGUCCUAGUGGGUUUCCCUCCACUUGGCGCCCCCCUGGGGCCGGUCUCCUCCCCUCUCCUCCUUUAUAUACGGGGGCAGGGGGCACCCCAAAGCACAUCAAUUGUUCUUAGCCGUGUGCGGUGCCCCCCUCCACGGUUUACUCCUCCGGUCAUAUUGUCGUAGUGCUUAGGAGAAGCUCUACGCGGAUUACUUCACCAUCACCAUCACCAUGCCGUUGUGCUGAUGAAACUCUCCCUCGACACUUUGCUGGAUCAAGAGUUCGAGGGACGUCAUUAAGAUGAACGUGUGCAGAACUCGGAGGUGCCGUACGUUUGGUACUUGAUCGGUUGAAUCGAGAAGACGUUCGACUGCAUCAACCGCGUUAAACUAAUGCUUCCGCUUUUGGUCUAUGAGGGUACGUGGACACACCCUCCCUGCUUGUUGCUAUGCAUCUCCUAGAUAGAUCUUGCGUGAUCCUAGGAAUUUUUUGAAAUUGCAUGCUACGUUCCCUAAUAGUGCCCCCCUCCGGUGGUUCUUGGCUCCAGAAAUUCUCUUUUAUUGAAUAAAAAAUCCUCGGAAAGUUUCGUUCCAAUCCGAGAACUUUUAUUUCUGCACAAAAACAACACCAUGGUACUUCUGCUAAAAAUAGCAUCAGUCCGGGUUAGUUUCAUUCAAAUCAUGCAAAUUGGAGUCCAAAACAAGAGGAAAAGUGUUAGGAAAAGUAGAUACGACGGAGACGUAUCACUUACAUGGUGCCACACUAGAGGCGGUACUCUUUCGUAUCCUCUCAAGUUAUUUAUCUCAGCAACAAAAUAGAUCGCCAUUGCUUUACUGUGAUUUCUUGUCCAUUACUUAGAAUCUUACUUGUUAGUUGAAACCAAACAUUGGUUGUGAAGUUCCGUUUGUCCGGUUUACUCGCAAUGUUGAUGGUUUUCCCCCUUUUAUAUUCCACAUUAGCCUAAAUGACAGUUGACCGAAUUUCAAUUUGGUGUGAGUCCAUUUUUGUGAGCUCACCGGAGUUCGCGGGAGGGAAGUAAGGGGCUCACCGGAGGGCUGCCCCGUUAUCUAUCUUAGGGUUUCGGGUCGGGACAGUGGUUGUCGGGGGUGGUCGUCGGGCUAUGGUGGGGCCUAGCCACGGGCAAAACUCGACACGGGUGGGGUGGGUGGGGGCUGCGGUUGACUAGAGGGAUGGUCGGGGGCGACGGAAGACCGGAGGUGGUGGGCGGUUCAGGGGAGGGCGGGGCCCAGUGGUUCGGUCGGCGGCCCGUGCGGCGGUCUGUAGGGGAAGAAUAAGAGGUGACGAAGAAGAAGGGUUACGAGACAUAGGAUCUUCAUCCAACCGCCUAAAAUGGUCGACUGAUCCAAUGACAAAAGUCAAGCGACUUGCAUGUACACAUUCCCUCUUUAUAUUCAGUACCAUCAUCCUAGGUGCUUCGAGACGUGCUAGCACUGCUCCUCAACCCAUUGAUAACCCACAAGUGUAGGGGAUAAUUGUAGCUUCUUUCGAUAAAUAAGAGUGUCAAACCCAACGAGGAGCUAAAGGUAGAACAAAUAUUCUCUCAAGUCCUAUCUGCCACUGAUACAACUCUACGCACGCUUAGUGUUUGCCUUACCUAGAACAAGUAUGAAACUAGAAGUACUUUGUAGGUGUUGUUGGAUAGGUUUACAAGAUAAUAAAGAGCACGUAAAUAUAAACUAGGGGCUGUUUAGAUAAAGAAGCAAUUAAGUAAGUAUAGCGAGUGUGGAAAAGUGGUGGUAGGAGAUGUGGAAUUGUCCCUAAGCAAUUAACUACCUUACUAGACCGAUAGCAAGUUUUAUGUGGGAGAGGCAUAAGCUAACAUACUUUCUCUUCUUGGAUCAUAUGCACUUAUGAUUGGAACUCUAGCAAGUAUCUUCAACUACUAAAGAUCAUUAAGGUAAAACCCAACCAUAGCAUUAAAGUAACAAGUCCCCUUUAUCCCAUACGCCACAACCCCCUUACUCGGGUUUAUGCUUCUGUCACUCAAGCAACCCACUAUAAGCGAAUCAUGAAUGUAUUGCAACACCCUACAGCGGGAAUCCCUCACGCUUGCGCGACAUGGAGGGCACAAUAGGAUAGCAACAUAACCACAAGAAAAUUAAAUCAAUCAUAGCAAUUCAUUAAUCACUGGUAGGACAACGAAAAUAUACUCGGACAUCAUAGGAUGGCAACACAUCAUUGGAUAAUAAUAUGAAGCAUGAAGCAUCAUGUUCAAGUAGAGGUUACAGCGGGUUGCGGGAGAGUGGACCAUUGAAUAUAGAAGGGGGAAGGUGAUGGAGAUGUUGGUGAAGACGGCGGAGGUUUGGUGAAGAUCACGGUGAUGAUGAUGGCCCCCGGCAGCGUUCCGGCACCACCGGAAGCAAGGGGGAGAGAGCCCACCUUCUUCUUCUUCCUUUACCUUCUCCCUAGAUGGGUCCUUGGCUCCCAUGGCGUGGGAGGGGCAAGAGCCCCUCCGAGAUUGGAUACGACUCUCGGUCUCUCUCUGUUUCUGCGCUGCCAGAUUCUGCCCUAGCACCGUUUCUUUUAUAUUCGGAGAUUUGUAACUCCGAUUGGAUUAAAACCUUCGCCACGAUUUUUUCCGAAAGUUAGCUUUCUUGCGGCAAAAUAAUAGCAGCAAUUGCCUUACGAGGGGCCCACGAGGGUCAGGGGCGCGCCCCUCGUGGCCACCUCGGGCACCGUCUCACAUUGAUUCUUCCUCCCAUAUUUCCCAAAUAUUCCAAAAAUAAUCUCCAUCCGUUUUUAUCCCAUUUGGACUCCGUUUGAUAUGGGGUUUCUGCGAAACAUAAAACAUGCAACAAACAGGAACUGGCACUGGGCACUAGAUCAAUAUGUUAGUCCCAAAAAUAGUAUAAAAAGUUGCCAAAAGUAUAUGAAAGUUGAAUGAUAUUGGCAUGGAACAAUAAAAAAUUAUAGAUACGACGGAGAUGUAUCAGCAUCCCCAAGCUUAAUUUUGCUCGUCAUCGAGUAGGUAAAUGAUAGAAAAGAUAUUUUUUUAUGUGGGAUGCUACCUAGCAUAAUCUUGAUCAUAUGUCUAAUCAUGGCAUGAAUAUUAAGACACGAGUGAUUCAAAGCAAUAGUCUAUCAUUUGACAUAAAAAAGAUAAUACUUCGAGCGUACUAAUAAAGCAAUCAUGUCUUUUCAAAAUAACAUGGCCAAAGCAAGCUUAUCCCUACAAAAUCAUAUAGUUUGGCCAUGCUUCAUUUUCGUCACACAAAAUGCUCCCAUCAUGCACAACCCCGAUGACAAGCCGAGCAAUUGGUUCAUACUUUUUAACGCGCUUCAGCUUUUUCAACCCUCACGCAAUACAUGAGCACAAGCCAUGGAUAUAGCACUAUAGGUGGAAUAGAAUAUGAUGGUGGAGGUUUAUGUGGAGAAGACAAAAAGGGAGUGAGUCUUGCAUCGACACGGCUAAUCAACGGGCUAUGGAGAUGCCCAUCAAUUGAUGUCAAUGCGAGGAGUAGGGAUUGCCAUGCAACGGAUGCACUAAGAUCUAUAAGUGUAUGAAAGCUCAAACUGAAACUAAGUGGGUGUGCAUCCAACUUGCUUGCUCAUGAAGACCUAGGGCAUUUGAGGAAGCCCAUCGUUGGAAUAUACAAGCCAAGUUCUGUAAUGAAAAAUUCCCACUAGUAUAUGAAAGUGACAAUAUAGGAGACUCUCUAUAUGAAGAACAUGGUACUACUCUGAAGCACAAGUGUGGUAAAAGGAUAACAUUGCCCCUUUUCUUUUUCUUUUUCUUUUUGCGGGCUUCUUUGCCCCUUUUUUUUAUUUAGGCUUCUUUGGCCUCUCUUUUUUUAUGGGCCAAUGCUCUAUAAUGAUGAUCAUCACACUUUUAUUUACUUACAACUCGAUAUUACAACUCGAUACUUGAACAAAGAUAUGCCUCUAUAUGAAUGCCUCCGGCGAUGUACCGGGAUGUGCAAUGAUCUAGCGUAGCAAUGACAUCAAAUGAUCAAGCCAUGAAAACAUCAUGCUAGCUAUCUUACGAUCAUGCAAAGCAAUAUGAAAUGAAUGCGCAAGUCAUGUAUAUGAUGAUGAUGGAAGUUGCAUGGCAAUAUAUCUCGGAAUGGCUAUGGAAAUGCCAUGAUAGGUAGGUAUGGUGGAUGUUUUGAGGAAGAUAUAGGGAGGCUUAUGUGUGAUAGAGCGUAUCAUAUCACGGGGUUUGGAUGCACCGGCGAAGUUUGCACCAACUCUCAACGUGAGAAAGGGCAAAUGCAUGGUACCGAAGAGGCUAGCAAUGAUGGAAGGGUGAGAGUGCAUAUAAUCCAUGGACUCACAUUAGUCAUAAAGAACUCAUAUACUUAUUGCAAAAGUUUAUUAGCCCUCGAAGCAAAGUACUACUAUGCAUGCCCCUAGGGGGAUAGAUUGGUAGGAAAAGACCAUCGCUCGUCCCCGACCGCCACUCAUAAGGAAGACAAUCAAAGAAACACCCCAUGCUUCAAAUGUGUCACACAAUGGUUACCAUGCGUGCAUGCUACGGGACUUGAAAACCUCAACACAAGUGCUUCUACAAUCCACAACUAACCACUAGCAUGACUCUAAUAUCACCACCUUUAUAUCACAAAACUAUUGCAAGGAAUCAAACAUAUCAUAUUCAGCGAUCUACAAGUUUAUGUAGGAUUUUAUGACUAACCAUGUGAUUGACCAAUUCAUGUCAUCUCUCUAAAUUGAUAUAAGUGAAGCAAGAGAGUUUAAUUCUUUCUACAAAAGAUAUGCCCAUGCUCUAACAAAUAUAAGUGAAGCGAAAUAGCAUUCUACAAAUGGCGGUUUUCUAUAUGAAGAGAAACAGGCAAUCCAAACUUCAAAAGAUAUAAGUGAAGCACAUGAAGCAUUCUAUAAAGCCAUACUCAAAAGAUUUAAGUGAAGUGCAACGAGCAUUCUAUAAAUCAACCAAGGACUAUAUCAUACCAGCAUGGAGCAUAAAAGAAAAAUGAAAACUAAAUGCAAAAGACGCUCCAAGACUUGCACAUAUCGCAUGAACGAAACGAAUCCGAAAACAUACUAAUACUUGUUGAAGAAAGAGGGGAUGCCUUCCGGGGCAUCCCCAAGCUUAGACGCUUGAGUCUCCUUGAAUAUUUACUUGGGGUGCCUUGGGCAUCCCCAAGCUUGAGCUCUUGCCUCUCUUCCUUUUCCUCAUAUCGAGACCUCCUCGAUCAAACACCUCAUCCACACAAAAUUUCAACAGAAAACUCGGUAAGAUCCGUUAGUAUAAUAAAGCAAAUCACUACUCUAAGUACUGUUGCAAACCAAUUCAUAUUUUGUUUUUGCAUUGUGUCUACUGUAAUAUAACUUUUCCAUGGCUUAAUCCACUGAUAGAAAUUGAUAGUUUCAUCAAAACAAGCAAACUAUGCAUCAAAAAACAGAAUCUGUCAAAAACAGAACAGUCUGUAGCAAUCUGAACAUUUACCAUACUUCUGGUACCCCAAAACUUCUACUAAAAUUACUAAAAGUAAAAAAUUUAUACAGAAAAACAGUGCAAAAAGAAUCAGAACCGUUUGACUUUCCAAUAAAAAAUGUAAAAUCGUGCACUACAGCCAAAGUUUCUGUCCUGCACCGUACAAACCAACAAGCAUUGCAAACAUCCUAAAGGCAAACCUUGGCACAUUAUUUUUAUGAUACAAUGGAAUUGUACAAGGGGAUAAUUAUUUUUGAUGAAAAGUUUCUGUAAUUAAGAUUCACAAAGUUUCCGUGAGCAUGAACAAAGUUCAAGGAGCUCUCCCACUUCAACAAUGCUUGUCUUUCUCACUUUCACUUUCCUUUUUGAAAAGUUUUCGGUUCCCCUCUUUAUUUUUUUGGUUUUAAACUAUAUAAAAGCACUCAACAGAAAUAAAUGACUUUCUAAAACUUCCGGGUUGUCUCCCUAGCAGCGCUUUCUUUAAAGCCAUUAAGCUAGGCAUAUAGUGCUUAAGUAAUGAAUCCACCCAGAUCCCAAGGUAUAUCAAAGCCAAUUUUAAUUAACAAUGAUUUGUAAUUUAGUAGUGAGCACAAAAUAACAUAUAUCAAGCAACGACGAAGUCUAACUCUCUUCCUAUGCAUCGGCAUGUCAUAAAAGAACAAUUCAUGCACACAAAGUAAAGGCCAAUGCAUAGUAUAAACAGUUUCUUGCAAUUUUAUCGUGUUGGAAACAUAGAGAGGUGGAGAUAUAGUUUAUCUCUCAUAAUAAUUGCAAGUAGGAGCAGCAAGCACGUGCAUAUUAUAUCUAUCAAAAUCAUCAUGUGCAACGGUAAAAGGCAACCCAUCAAUAUAUGAAGGAAAUAUGCCCUAGAGGCAAUAAUUAAGUUAUUAUUUAUUUCCUCAUAUCAUGAUAAAUGUUUAUUAUUCAUGCUAGAAUUGUAUUAACCGGAAACAUGAUACAUGUGUGAAUACAUAGACAAACAUAUAGUCACUAGUAUGCCUCUACUUGACUAGCUCAUUAAUCAAAGAUGGUUAUGUUUCCUAACCAUUGACAUGUGUUGUCAUUUGAUUAAUGGGAUCACAUCAUUAGGAGAAUGAGGUGAUUGACAUGACCCAUCCCGUUAGCUUAGCACUUGAUCGUUUAGUAUUCUUCUAUUGCUUCCUUCAUGACUUAUACAUGUUCCUGUAACUAUGAGAAUUGUGUAACUCCCGUUUACCGGAGGAACACUUUGGGUACUACCAAACGUCACAACGUAACUGGGUGAUUAUAAAGGAGUACUACAGGUGUCUCCGAAGGUACAUGUUGAGUUAGCAUAAUUCGAGAUUAGGUUUUGUCACUCCGAUUGUCGGAGAGGUAUCUCUGGGCCCUCUCGGCAAUACUCAUCACCUAAGCCUUGCAAGCAUGUAACUAAUGAGUUAGUUAUAAGAUGAAGUAUUACAGAACGAGUAAAGAGACUUGUCGAUAACGAGAUUGAACUAGGUAUUGGAUACCGACGAUCGAAUCUCGGACAAGUAACAUACCGAUGACAAAGGGAACAACGUAUGUUGUUAUGCGGUUUGACCGAUAAAGAUCUUCGUAGAAUAUGUGGGAACCAAUAUGGGCAUCCAGGUCCCGCUAUUGGUUAUUGACCAGAGAUGUGUCUCGGUCAUGUCUACAUCGUUCUCGAACCGUAGGGUCCGCACGCUUAAGGUUUCGAUGACAGUUAUAUUAUGAGUUUAUGUAUUUUGAUGUACCGAAGGUUGUUCGGAGUCCCGGAUAUGAUUACGGACAUGUGGAGGAGUCUCGAAAUGGUCGAGACAUAAAGAUUGAUAUAUUGGACGGAUAUAUUUGGACACCGAAAAGGUUCCAGAGAAGUUUGGAGCCCCGGGAGGUUACCGGAACCCCCCGGGAGGUAUAUGGGCCUUAUUGGGCCCAUGUAGGAGGAAGAGAGAAGAAGCAAGGGAGGGGGGCGUGCCCCCCCAAGCCCAAUCCGAAUUGGGGAGGGGGGCCGGCCCCCCCUUUCCUUUCUCCUUCCCCCUCUUCCUAUUACUACUACUAGUACUACUUCCUAAUACUAGUACUCUUUCCUUCCCCAUCCAAAUAAGAUAAGGAAAAGAGAGGGAAACCUACUUGGAGUAGGUUUCCCCCUCCUCAUGGCGCGCCCCCCUAGGGCCGGCCACCUCCUCCCUCCCUCCUUUAUAUACGGGGGUAGGGGGGCACCCUAGAACAUACAAGUUGAUCAUUGAUCGUUCCUUAGCCGUGUGCGGUGCCCCCCUCCACGAUAUUACACCUCGGUCAUAUUGUAGCGGUGCUUAGGCGAAGCCCUGCAACAGGAGAACAUCAAGAUCGUCACCAUGCCGUCGUGCUGACAGAACUCCCCCUCGACGCCUCUGCUGGAUCGGAGAUCGAGGGUGCAUCAUCGAGCUGUACGCGUGUCAAGAACACGGAGGUGCCGGAGUAAUGGUACUUGGAUCGGUUGAACCGGAGGACGUACGACUACUUCCUCUAUGUUGCGUCAACGCUUCCGCUUCGGUCUACAAGGGUACGUAGACAACACUCUCCCCUCGUUGCUAUAUCAUCACCAUGAUCUUGCGUGUGCGUAGGAAAUUUUUUGAAAUUACUACGUUCCCCAACAGUGGCAUCCGAGCCUAGGUUUUAUGCGUUGAUGUUAUAUGCACGUGUAGAACACAAGUGAGUUGUGGACGAUAUAAGUCAUACUGCCUACCAGCAUGUCAUACUUUGGUUCAGCGGUAUUGUGAGAUGAAGCGGCCCAGACCGACAUUACGCGUACGCUUACACGAGACUGGUUUCACCGUUAUGAGCACUCGUGCUUAAAGGUGGCUGGCGGGUGUCUGUCUCUCUCACUUUUGUUGAACCGAGUGUGGCUACGCCCGGUCCUUGUGAAGGUUAAAACGGAGUCUAUUUGACAAACUAUCAUUGUGGUUUUGAUGCGUAGGUGAGAUUGGUUCUUGCUUAAGCCCAUAGCAGCCACGUAAAAUUUGCAACAACAAAGUAGAGGACGUCUAACUUGUUUUUGCAGGGCAUGUUGUGAUGUGAUAUGGCCAAGACAUGAUGCUAUAUUUUAUUGUAUGAGAUGAUCAUGUUUUGUAACCGAAGUUAUCGGCAACUGGCAUGAGCCAUAUGGUUGUCGCUUUAUUGUAUGAAAUGCAAACGCCCUGUAAUUGCUUUACUUUAUCACUAAGCGGUAGCGAUAGUCGUAGAAGCAAUAGAUGGCGUAACGACAACGAUGCUACGAUGGAGAUCAAGGUGUCACGCCGGUGACGAUGGUGAUCACGACGGUGCUUCGAAGAUGGAGAUCACAAGCACAAGAUGAUGAUGGCCAUAUCAUAUCAGAUAUAUUGAUUGCAUGUGAUGUUUAUCCUUUAUGCAUCUUAUCUUGCUUUGAUUGACUGUAGCAUUUUAAGAUGAUCUCUCACUAAUUAUCAAGAAGUGUUCUCCCUGAGUAUGCACUGUUGCGAAAGUUCUUCGUGCUGAGACACCACGUGAUGAUCGGGUGUGAUAGGCUCUACGUUCAAAUACAACGGGUGCAAAACAGUUGCACACGCGGAAUACUCAGGUUAUACUUGACGAGCCUAGCAUAUACAGAUAUGGCCUCGGAACACGGGGACCGAAAGGUCAAGCAUGAAUCAUAUAGUAGAUAUGAUCAACAUAGAGAUGUUCACCAUUGAAACUACUCCAUCUCACGUGAUGAUCGGACAUGGUUUAGUUGAUUUGGAUCACGUAAUCACUUAGAUGACUAGAGAGAUGUCUAUCUAAGUGGGAGUUCUUUAGUAAUAUGAUUAAUUGAACUUAAAUUUAUCAUGAACUUAGUACCUGAUAGUAUUUUGCUUGUCUAUGUUUGUUUGUAGAUAGAUGGCUCGUGCUGUUGUUCCGUUGAAUUUUAAUGCGUUCCUUGAGAAAACAAAAUUGAAAGAUGAUGGUAGCAAUUACACGGACUGGGUCCGUAACCUGAGGAUUAUCCUCAUUGCUGCACAGAAGAGUUACGUCCUGGAAGCACCGCUGGGUGCCAGGCCUGCUGCUGAUGCAACUGACGACGUUAAGAACGUCUGGCAGAGCAAAGCUGAUGACUACUCUAUAGUUCAGUAUGCCAUGCUUUACGGCUUAGAACCAGGUCUUCAACGAUGUUUUGAAUGUCAUGGGGCAUAUGAGAUGUUCCAGGAGUUGAAGUUAAUAAUUCAAGCAAAUGCCCAGAUUGAGAGAUAUGAAGUCUCCAAUAAGUUCUACAGCUGCAAGAUGGAGGAGAACAGUUCUGUCAGUGAGCAUAUACUCAAAAUGUCUGGGUAUAAUAAUCACUUGAUUCAACUGGGAGUUAAUCUUUCGGAUGAUAGCGUCAUUGGCAGAAUUCUCCAAUCACUGCCACCAAGCUACAAGAGCUUUGUGAUGAACUAUAAUAUGCAAGGGAUGAACAAGACUAUUCCCGAGCUCUUCGCGAUGCUGAAAGCCGCGGAGGUAGAAAUCAAAAAGGAGCAUCAAGUGUUGAUGGUCAACAAGACCACUGGUUUCAAGAAAAGGGGCAAAGGGAAGAAGAAGGGGAACUUCAAAAGGAACGGCAAACAAGUUGCUGCUCAAGUGAAGAAACCCAAGUCUGGACCUAAGCCUGAAACUGAGUGCUUCUACUGCAAGCAGACUGGACACUGGAAGCGGAACUGCCCCAAGUAUUUGACGGAUAAGAAGGAUGGCAAAGUGAACAAAGGUAUAUGUGAUAUACAUGUUAUUGAUGUGUACCUUACUAAUGCUUGCAGUAGCACCUGGGUAUUUGAUACUGGUUCUGUUGCUAACAUUUGCAACUCGAAAUAGGGACUACGGAUUAAGCGAAGAUUAGCUAAGGACGAGGUGACGAUGCGCGUGGGAAAUGGUUCCAAAGUCGAUGUGAUCGCGGUCGGCACGCUACCUCUACAUCUACCAUCGGGAUUAGUUUUAGACCUGAAUAAUUGUUAUUUGGUGCCUGCGUUGAGCAUGAACAUUAUGUCUGGAUCUUGUUUGAUGCGAGACGGUUAUUCAUUUAAAUCAGAGAAUAAUGGUUGUUCUAUUUAUAUGAGUAAUAUCUUUUAUGGUCAUGCACCCUUGAAGAGUGGUCUAUUUUUUAAAUCUCGAUAGUAGUGAUACACAUAUUCAUAAUGUUGAAGCCAAAAGAUGCAGAGUUGAUAAUGAUAGUGCAACAUAUUAGUGGCACUGCCGUUUAGGUCAUAUCGGUGUAAAACGCAUGAAGAAACUCCAUACUGAUGGACUUAUGGAAUCACUUGAUUAUGAAUCACUUGGUACUUGCGAACCGUGCCUCAUGGGCAAGAUGACCAAAACACCGUUCUCCGGAUCUAUGGAGAGAGCAACAGAUUUGUUGGAAAUCAUACAUACAGAUGUAUGUGGUCCGAUGAAUGUUGAGGCUCGUGGCGGAUAUCGUUAUUUCCUCACCUUCACAGAUGAUUUGAGCAGAUAUGGGUAUAUCUACUUGAUGAAGCACAAGUCUGAAACAUUUGAAAAGUUCAAAGAAUUUCAGAGUGAAGUAGAAAAUCAUCGUAACAAGAAAAUAAAGUUUCUACGAUCUGAUCGUGGAGGAGAAUAUUUGAGUUACGAGUUUGGUUUACAUUUGAAACAAUGUGGAAUAGUUUCGCAACUCACGCCACCUGGAACACCACAGCGAAAUGGUGUGUCCGAACAUCGUAAUCGUACUUUACUUGAUAUGGUGCGAUCUAUGAUGUCUCUUACCGAUUUACCGCUAUCGUUUUGGGGUUAUGCUUUAGAGACGGCCGCAUUCACGUUAAAUAGGGCACCAUCAAAAUCCGUUGAGACGACGCCUUAUGAACUGUGGUUUGGCAAGAAACCAAAGUUGUCGUUUCUCAAAGUUUGGGGCUGCGAUGCUUAUGUGAAGAAACUUCAACCAGAUAAGCUCGAACCCAAAUCGGAGAAAUGUGUCUUCAUAGGAUACCCAAAGGAGACAAUUGGGUACACCUUCUAUCACAGAUCUGAAGGCAAGAUUUUCGUUGCUAAAAUCGGAUCCUUUCUAGAGAAGGAGUUUCUCUCGAAAGAAGUGAGUGGGAGGAAAAUAGAACUUGAUGAGAUAACUGUAUCUACUCCCUUAUUGAAAAGUAGUUCAUAACAAGAACCGGUUCCUGUGACAACUACACCAAUUAGUGAGGAAGCUAAUGAUAUUGAUCAUGAAACUUCAGAUCAAGUUUCUACUGAACCUCGUAGGUCUACCAGAGUAAGAUCCGCACCAGAGUGGUACGGAAAUCCUAUUCUGGAAGUCAUGUUACUAGACCAUGAUGAACCUACGAACUAUGAGGAAGCGAUGAUGAGCCCAGAUUCCGCAAAAUGGCUAGAGGCCAUGAAAUCUGAGAUAGGAUCCAUGUAUGAAAACAAAGUAUGGACUUUGGUUGACUUGCCCGAUGAUCGGCAAGCCAUUGAGAAUAAAUGGAUCUUUAAGAAGAAGACUGACGCUGAUGGUAAUGUUACUGUCUACAAAGCUCGACUUGUUGCAAAAGGUUUUCGACAAGUUCAAGGGGUUGACUACGAUGAGACUUUCUCACCCGUAGCGAUGCUUAAGUCUGUCCGAAUCAUGUUGGCUAUUGCUGCAUUUCAUGAUUAUGAAAUUUGGCAAAUGGAUGUCAAGAGUGCAUUCUUGAAUGGAUUUCUAGAAGAAGAGUUGUAUAUGAUGCAACCUGAAGGUUUUGUUGAUCCAAAAGGUGCUGACAAAACUGGUGCAAGCAUCUCGGAGUUGGAAUAAACGUUUUGAUAGUGUGAUCAAAGCAUAUGGUUUUAUACAGACUUUUGGAGAAGCCUGUAUUUACAAGAAAGUGAGUGGGAGCUCUGUAGCAUUUCUAGUUUUAUAUGUUGAUGACAUAUUAUUAAUUGGAAAUGAUAUAGAAUUUCUGGAUAGCAUAAAGGGAUACUUGAAUAAAAGUUUUUCUAUGAAAGACCUCGGUGAAGCUUCUUACAUAUUGGGCAUCAAGAUCUAUAGAGAUAGAUCAAGACGCUUAAUAGGACUUUCACAAAGUACAUACCUUGACAAAAUUUUGAAAAAGUUCAAAAUGGAUCAGGCAAAGAAAGGAUUCUUGCCUGUGCUACAAGGUGUGAAGUUGAGUCAAACUCAAUGCCCGACCACAUCAAAAGAUAGAGAGAAAAUGAAAGAUGUUCCCUAUGCUUCAGCCAUAGGCUCUAUCAUGUAUGCAAUGUUGUGUACCAGACCUGACGUAUUCUUAGCAAUAAGCUUGGCAGGUAGGUACCAAAGUAAUCCAGGAGUGGAUCACUGGACAGCGGUCAAGAACAUCCUGAAAUACCUGAAAAGGACUAAGGAUAUGUUUCUCGUAUAUGGAGGUGACAAAGAGCUAGUCGUAAAUGGUUACGUCGAUGCAAGCUUUGACACUGAUCCGGACGAUUCUAAAUCGCGGACCGGAUAUGUGUUUUUAUUAAACUGUAGAGUUGUAAGUUGGUGCAGUUCUAAACAAAGCAUCGUGGCAGGAUCUACAUGUGAAGCGGAGUACAUAGCUGCUUCUGAAGCAGCAAAUGAAGGAGUCUGGAUGAAGGAGUUCAUUUCCGAUCUAGGUGUCAUACCUAGUGCAUCGGGACCAAUGAAGAUCUUCUAUGACAAUACUGGUGCAAUUGCCUUGGCAAAGGAAUCCAGAUUUCACAAGAGGACCAAGCACAUCAAGAGACGCUUCAAUUCCAUUCGGGACCAAGUCCAAGUGGGAGACAUAGAGAUUUGCAAGAUACAUACGGAUCUAAAUAUUGCAGACCCGUUAACUAAGCCUCUCUCACGAGCAAAACAAGAUCAGCACCAAGACUCCAUGGGUGUUAGAAUCAUUACUAUGUAAUCUAGAUUAUUGACUCUAGUGCAAGUGGGAGACUGAAGGAAAUAUGCCCUAGAGGCAAUAAUAAAGUUAUUAUUUAUUUCCUCAUAUCAUGAUAAAUGUUUAUUAUUCAUGCUAGAAUUGUAUUAACCGGAAACAUGAUACAUGUGUGAAUACAUAGACAAACAUAUAGUCACUAGUAUGCCUCUACUUGACUAGCUCAUUAAUCAAAGAUGGUUAUGUUUCCUAACCAUUGACAUGUGUUGUCAUUUGAUUAAUGGGAUCACAUCAUUAGGAGAAUGAGGUGAUUGACAUGACCCAUCCCGUUAGCUUAGCACUUGAUCGUUUAGUAUUCUGCUAUUGCUUCCUUCAUGACUUAUACAUGUUCCUGUAACUAUGAGAAUUGUGUAACUCCCGUUUACCGGAGGAACACUUUGGGUACUACCAAACGUCACAACGUAACUGGGUGAUUAUAAAGGAGUACUACAGGUGUCUCCGAAGGUACAUGUUGAGUUAGCAUAAUUCGAGAUUAGGUUUUGUCACUCCGAUUGUCGGAGAGGUAUCUCUGGGCCCUCUCGGCAAUACUCAUCACCUAAGCCUUGCAAGCAUGUAACUAAUGAGUUAGUUAUAAGAUGAAGUAUUACAGAACGAGUAAAGAGACUUGUCGAUAACGAGAUUGAACUAGGUAUUGGAUACCGACGAUCGAAUCUCGGACAAGUAACAUACCGAUGACAAAGGGAACAAUGUAUGUUGUUAUGCGGUUUGACCGAUAAAGAUCUUCGUAGAAUAUGUGGGAACCAAUAUGGGCAUCCAGGUCCUGCUAUUGGUUAUUGACCAGAGAUGUGUCUCGGUCAUGUCUACAUCGUUCUCGAACCGUAGGGUCCGCACGCUUAAGGUUUCGAUGACAGUUAUAUUAUGAGUUUAUGUAUUUUGAUGUACCAAAGGUUGUUCGGAGUCCCAGAUAUGAUUACGGACAUGACGAGGAGUCUCGAAAUGGUCGAGACAUAAAGAUUGAUAUAUUGGACGGAUAUAUUUGGACACCGGAAAGGUUCCGGAGAAGUUUGGAGCCCCGGGAGGUUACCGGAACCCCCCGGGAGGUAUAUGGGCCUUAUUGGGCCCAUGUAGGAGGAAGAGAGAAGAAGCAAGGGAGGGGGCGCGCCCCCCCCAAGCCCAAUCCGAAUUGGGGAGGGGGGCCGGCCCCCCCUUUCCUUUCUCCUUCCCCCUCUUCCUAUUACUACUACUAGUACUACUUCCUAAUACUAGUACUCUUUCCUUCCCCAUCCAAAUAAGAUAAGGAAAAGAGAGGGAAACCUACUUGGAGUAGGUUUCCCCCUCCUCAUGGCGCGCCCCCCCUAGGGCCGGCCACCUCCUCCCUCCCUCCUUUAUAUACGGGGGUAGGGGGCACCCUAGAACAUACAAGUAGAUCAUUGAUUGUUCCUUAGCCGUGUGCGGUGCCCCCCUCCACGAUAUUACACCUCGGUCAUAUUGUAGCGGUGCUUAGGCGAAGCCCUGCAACAGGAGAACAUCAAGAUCGUCACCACGCCGCCGUGCUGACAGAACUCCCCCUCGGCGCCUCUGCUGGAUCGGAGAUCGAGGGUGCAUCAUCGAGCUGUAUGCGUGUCAAGAACUCGGAGGUGCCGGAGUAACGGUACUUGGAUCGGUUGAACCGGAGGACGUACGACUACUUCCUCUACGUUGCGUCAACGCUUCCGCUUCGGUCUACAAGGGUACGUAGACAACACUCUCCCCUCGUUGCUAUAUCAUCACCAUGAUCUUGCGUGUGCGUAGGAAUUUUUUUGAAAUUACUACGUUCCCCAACAAUAUAAUCCUUAAUAAGCACAAACUUCUCCAAUACAGUGUAGUUGGGAGAAUUCAAAAAGAUAAUAGGACUAUCAUGCGUGGGUGCAAUAGCAAGAAUUUCAUGUUUAACAUAAGGAACUAUAGCAAGUUCAUCUCCAUAAGCAUAACUCAUAUUGGCAUCUUGGCCACAAACAUAGCAGGCAUCAUCAAAAAGGGAUAUUUCAAGAGAAUCAAUGGGAUCAUAACAAUCAUCAUAGCAAUCAUCCUUCAGUAAGCACGAAGGGGAAUUAAACAAUGUAUGAGUUGAAGAGUUACUCUCAUUAGAAUGUGGGCACAGAUAGCUAGUCCGCUCUUCCUCCUUUUGUUCUUCGCUCUCCUCAUCAUCUUUUUCAUCCAAUGAGCUCACAGUUUCAUCAAUUUCUUCUUACAUAGACUCUUGCAAAAUAUUAGUCUCUUCUUGGACAGCAGAGAAGCCCUCAAUAUAUGGUUUAACAUAAGGAUUAGAAGCAUAAUUAUCAGAGCAAUAUUCAAGUAUGGCAAAAAUUUCAGAUAUGGAAAGAGUAGCAUCAUACUUUUUGAAAGCACAAGUGCUCCCUAGGUGGUUUUGGUAAUUAAUGUCAACAUAUCUCUUGUUGGACUAACACUUUUAUCUAGUAUGUUCCAGAUAAGUUCAACAAUGGAGUGGCAUGGACUAAAGGAUGUGGGAACUCCUUCAAAAUGCUAAGGACAAAGGAUUGGCUCAAGCUCAAAAGGUCAAUACUCUACAUUUUAUAUUUUAGUGAUCCAAGAUCACAUUGAGUCUAUAGGAAAAGCCAAUACUAUCAAGGAGGGAUGAGGUGUUGCUUAAUGAGCCUCUUGCUUCAUGUGCUUAGUGAUAUGCUCCAAAUACCCUCAACUACUUUCUCACAUCCUCAUAUGACCUAAACCUAAAGUCAAAAUCGGUCAUAUCGAUUCUUUCUAUCCGGCGCCACCGAGUUCAAAUGUCAUAGCCACUGCCACAAACCCUAGGCAAAUCGGUCUCACCGAUAGGGAUCUCGUUCUCACCGAGAUGGGAUUGUAAUCUCUCUGUGUAUGUCCAUUAUCAAAAUCGGUCUUACCGAGUUUGAACAAUCGGUCCUACCGAGAUUACAAUGCAAACUUUCUGGUUAACUUAUUACCAAAAUCGGUCUCACCGAGUUUCAGUAAUCGGUCCCACCGAGUUUACCUGACCAACUCUCUGGUUAGCUAAUUACCAAAAUCGGUCUCACUGAGUUUGUGUAAUCGGUCUCACCGAGAUUACGUUAUGCCCUAACCCUAAUCAUAUCGGUCCUACCGAGUUGCAUUUCGGUCCCACCGAAAUUCCUAACGGUCACAUUGUUUACUAAAUCGGUCCGACCGAGUUUGUUGAUUCGGUCCCACCUGGAUUGGUAAAUUGUGUGUAACGGUUAGAUUUUGUGUGGAGGCUAUAUAUACCCCUCCACCUCAUCUUCAUUCAUGGAGAGAGCCAUCAGAACAAACCUACACUUCCAAAUUACCAUUUCUGAGAGAGAACUACCUACUCAUGUGUUGAGACCAAGAUUCCAUUCCUACCAUAUGAAUCUUGAUCUCUAGCCUUCCCCAAGUUGCUUUCCACUCAAAUCUUCUUUCCACCAGAUCCAAAUCCUAUGAGAGAGAGUUGAGUGUUGGGGAGACUAUCAUUUGAAGCACAAGAGCAAGGAGUUCAUCAUCAAUGCACCAUUUGUUACUUCUUGGAGAGUGGUGUCUCCUAGAUUGGCUAGGUGUCACUUGGGAGCCUCCGACAAGAUUGUGGAGUUGAACCAAGGAGUUUGUAAGGGCAAGGAGAUCGCCUACUUCGUGAAGAUCUAUCGCUAGUGAGGCAAGUCCUUCGUGGGCGACGACCAUGGUGGGAUAGACAAGGUUGCUUCUUCGUGGACCCUUCGUGGGUGGAGCCCUCCAUGGACUCACACAACUGUUACCCUUCGUGGGUUGAAGUCUCCAUCAACGUGGAUGUAUGAUAGCGCCACCUAUCGGAACCACGCCAAAAACAUCCAUGUCUCCAAUUGCGUUUGAAUCCUCCAAAAUCCUUCCCUUUACAUUCUUGCAAGUUGCGUGCUUUACUUUCCGCUGCUCAUAUACUCUUUGCAUGCUUGCUUGCUAUAUGUUGUGAAUGUUAAACUUGUGCCUAAACUCCAGUUAAACUUAAAAAGGUUUAAAAUCUGCAACUUUGGUACGAAGUGUCUAAUCACCCCCCCCCUCUGGACACCUCUUCUCAAGGUCCUAUAAGUGGUAUUAGAGUAUUGGUCUCCAUUGCUUUGGUUUAAUCAUCAUUGGAGGAAUAUGGAUGAGUCUACUUUGGGGAGUCUUAGACAUAGAGUGCCUAUACUUGAUGGAGAGUAUUUUCAUGAGUGGAAAAAUGAGAUGCUUGUAAUUUUCAAUCAAUAUCAUUUGAACAAGUACAUUCCUAGUCCUUGUGCACCUUGUGUUGAUCCUAUGCAUCCUACCCUUGAUGAGUCGAUUGACAUGAUUAGAAAUGUUAGAACUGUUAAUCUUAUCACUAGAUGCUUGCCUAGAAACUUGAUUGGAAAACUGCCUACUCUUGAGUGUGCCUACACUAUAUGGAGAUUUCUUGAGGAAGGAUUUCCUAAUUAUUCCUUGAAAAAUCUGGAUGAAAUUCUUCAUAAGUCUAUUGCCUUGAGUAAAAUGAAUUCCAAUGAUCCUAUGUUUGGUGAUCGUCUAUUUGAACUUACAAAUCUUAUGCGUGCCAAAGGAAAUGUUGGAAUUAUUAGUGAUAUCAUUUCCGAAGCUACUAGAAUUCAUAGAGGAGAUUAUUGUCAAACUCAUACUAAUGAAUCACUCUCACUAGGAAUUGAUCCACCACAUGACGAUGUUGAACAUGGAUACUAUGAUGAGGGUGAUGAUGAUGACUUUGAUCUUGAUGAUGCAAUGAGACAUUUUGGUCUUAUGGCAAAGUUUCGGGGAUAUAUGGCAGGAGGAAAGGAAUGGGUCCUUGACAGUGGAUGUACCGAUCACAUGACCGGAGAUAAAGACAUGUUUCGUGAGCUUGCUGAAAAUGAUAGUCCUCGAAAGUAUGUCACUUUCGGUGACAACUCAAAGGGUAAGGUGGUUGGCCUCGGUAAGGUGGCCAUAUCACAUGAUAGCUCCAUACAAAAUGUCAUGCUCGUUGAAUCUCUUGGCUACAACUUACUUUCAGUAUCUAGACUUGCUGAUUUCGGUUUCAAUGUCCUAUUUACUGAAGUAGAUUGCCAAGUGUUUCGUCGAGACAAUCAUAAAAUGGUCUUUACCGGCAUACGUAGAGGUGAUUUUUACAUUGUUGAUUUCACAAAAAAGGCUCAACCUAAAACUUGCUUCAUUGCUAAAUCUUCAAAAGGUUGGUUAUGGCAUAGACAACUAGGUCACGUUGGCAUGAGAAAUCUUGACAAGCUUAUUAAAGGGAAUCAUAUCCUUGGUGUUAACGAUGUCAUAUUUGAUCAGGAUAGACUUUGCGGUGCUUGUCAAGCAGGUAAACAGGUUGGAGGAAGGCAUCCCGUGAAGAACAUCAUGACCACAAGGAGGCCACUUGAGCUACUUCACAUGGAUCUCUUUGGUCCCAACGCGUACAAAAGCCUUGGUGGAAAUUCUUUUGGUCUAGUUAUAGUUGAUGAUUUUUCAAGAUUUAUGUGGGUGCUCUUUCUCGAUGAUAAAUCUCAGGUCCAAAAGAUCUUCAAAAACUUCGCUAGGAAGGCCCAAAAUCAGUUUGAAGUGAAGAUCAAGAAGGUUCGCAGCGACAACGGAACGGAGUUCAAGAACGCAAAUGUGGACACCUUUCUUGACGAAGAAGGGAUUUCACAUGAGUUCUCGGCUACGUACACACCUCAACAAAAUGGAGUUGUUGAGAGGAAGAACCGGACGCUCAUCGAAAUGGCGAGAACGAUGCUUGAUGAGUACAAGACGCCAAAGCACUUUUGGGCAGAAGCGGUUGAGACAGCUUGUCAUGCAACAAAUCGCUUGUAUCUUCACAAGCUACUUGACAAGAUGGCAUACGAGCUCCUCACCGGUAACAAACCCCAAGUUGGAUACUUUCGAGUAUUCGGCUCAAAGUGCUACAUUCUUGAUAAGCAUCGUCGUUCUAAAUUUGCUCCUAAGUCUCAUGAAGGUUUCCUACUAGGUUAUGUCUCAAACUCUCACACUUACCGUGUCUACAACAAUUUCACCUGAAAGGUUGAAGAGACGGUAGAUGUGAAGUUUGAUGAAUCUAACGGCUCGCAAGUAGAGUAAUUGCCAAUUGAUGUAGGAGACAAAGAUCCUUCGGAAGCAAUCCAAGACUUGUCUAUUGGCAAGGUUCGUCCAAUGGAGGUGAAGGAGAGUACCUCUUUUGUCCAAGUGGAAGAUUCUACUUCACGACAAGGUGAACCAAGAGUUGAUACGGAAGCAUCCACAAGUGGGACACACCAAGAUGAAGAAAACGAGGAAGUACAUCAAGAACGUCAACAACCUCCUUCUCCACCACGACAAGAGAAUGACAACGCCAACAAUGAAGAAGAUCAAGAAGAAGAAGAACAACAAGAUGAAGAAGAUGUUCAACCGAGACCCAAGCAAAAGCUUUCACGAGUUCGAGCAAGAAUUGCUAAAGACCAUCCCGUCGAGAAAAUCUACAAUGAUAUUCAAACCGGGAGAAUCAUUCGCUCUAAAACUCGUUUAGAUAACUUUUGUGAAAACUAUUCUUUCAUCUCUAGCAUUGAACCUAUGAAGGUAGAGGAAGCGUUGGAAGAUCCGGAUUGGAUAAAUGCUAUGCAUGAAGAGCUACACAACUUUGAGAGAAACCAAGUUUGGACAUUGGUUGAGAAGCCCGACAACAACCACAACAUCAUCGGUACCAAAUGGGUGUUUUGCAACAAGCAAGAUGAAGAUGGACAAGUAGUUCGCAACAAAGCAUGUCUCAUCGCCCAAGGCUACACACAAGUCGAAGGUAUGGACUAUGGUGAGACUUAUGCUCCUGUUGCUAGACUUGAGUCCAUUCGCAUCUUACUUGCCUAUGCUAAUCACCAUGAUAUCACCUUGUUCUAAAUGGACAUAAAAAGUGCUUUUCUAAAUGGAGAAAUAGAGGAGGAAGUUUAUGUUAAACAACCUCCCGGCUUUGUCAAUCCUAAGAAACUCAAUCAUGUCUAUAAACUUCGCAAAGCUCUUUAUGGUCUUAAACAAGCUCCUAGAGCUUGUUACAAAUGCUUAACUAAGUUUCUUCUUCAAAAGGGAUUUGAAAUUGGGAAAAUUGAUUCCACACUUUUUACUAAAAGGGUUAAUGGAGAAUUAUUUGUAUGCCAAAUUUAUGUUGAUGAUAUCAUAUUUGGAUCAACUAACCCUCAUUUUAGUGAGAAGUUUGGAAAGCUAAUGUCGGAGAAGUUUGAGAUGUCAAUGAUGAGUGAACUCAAAUUCUUUCUUGGGUUGCAAAUCAAGCAAACUAAGGAAGGUACUUUUGCCUCUCAAACGAAGUACACUAAGGACUUAUUCAAGAAGUUCAAUAUGCAAGAAUGCAAAGGUAUGUCUACACCCAUGCCUACUAGUGGACAUCUUGAUUUGACCAAAGAUGGUGAACCGGUUGAUCAAAAGGUUUAUCGCUCUAUGAUUGGUUCAUUGUUAUACCUAUGUGCUUCACGUCCCGAUAUCAUGCUAAGUGUGUCCAUGUGUGCAAGAUAUCAAGCUGCUCCUAAAGAAUGUCAUCUUAAGGCCGUAAAAAGGAUAGUGAGAUACUUAAUUCAUACACCAAAUUUUGGCAUUUGGCAUCCUAAGAGGGCCUCUUUCGAUCUUGUUGGCUACUCCGACUCGGACUAUGCCGGAGACAAGGUUGAUGGAAAGUCCACUUCGGGUACUUGUCAAUUUCUUGGUAGAUCUCUUGUGUCUUGGUCCUCCAGGAAACAAAACUCGGUAUCCUUAUCUACAGCCGAAGCGGAGUACAUUGCCGCUGGUUCAUGUUGUGCUCAAUUACUUUGGAUCACCCAAACUCUUAAAGAUUAUGGGAUAUAUGUGAAACAUGUUCCAUUGCUUUGUGACAAUGAAAGUGCUAUCAAAAUUGGUCAUAAUCCUAUGCAACAUUCUCGAACUAAGCAUAUUGAAGUUCGUCAUCAUUUCAUUCGAGAUCAUGUUGCUAAGGGUGACAUUGAUCUUAAGCAUGUUCGCACCGAAAAGCAAUUGGCAGAUAUUUUAACUAAACCUCUUGAUGAGAAAGUAUUUUGCAGGUUGAGAGGAGAAUUGAACAUCAUUGAUGCUUCAAACUUGGAGUAGAAACUUCAUUGGAUACAUGCAAGACAUGAGCUUAUGACUAAUCCUUGAUAUUUCUCUUAUGAUGAAAAUCUUAUGUCUUGGAUAUAUUUGCAUCUUGCAUGUUAUCUAACCCAUGUAGGUACUUGGUUGAAUCAAAUUCCAUGAGAUUGUAAUCUACUCACAUCUUGAGCAACCUCUACAUCACCAAGGUUCUGCACUAUGGUGGUUGAAGAAAAGGAAGCACAGAACCAUUCAAAUAUAUCCUUUGACAAAUUCUAUGUUUGAGAUUCAUGAUUGUCAUAUUUGGAUAUACAAGUGCUCUUCCUUGCAAGAACUAACCCAUGUAGGUAGAUGGACUCGAAUUCCGAGUGGUUCUCCCAACUCUUGAUGAGCUACAUCAACCUUGAGCAACCCACAUAAGUUCAACUACAUGGUCAACACCACCAACCAAGGUAUGUUGUUCCAUCUUAGAGAAGCUUUACUCUGAGUCAUGAGCUAAAGCAACUCGACAAGAUGUGAAUACAUCAAGAUGCUUAAACGAAAAAUGGUAACCCCAUUUUGAGCUUAAACGAUGAGUAUGACCUAUGAUCAAGUGAUCUCACUUGACUCCUAAGUCAAUAUACUCUAACAUAGGUGACUUUGUCGCAGACCAUCUCUAGAUGAAGUUCUCUUGUGUUCUUCUCUGUGUUUUUGCAUUUGUCUCAUGCAUAGUUGUUUCCCCUUUAAAAAACACUUCAUCUAGAUUUCUUUCUUUUCUCUUUGUUUGCUCUGUAUUUUCUGCAUCCAAUUCAUUGCAUAUCAUUCAGUAAAUUCCUUGCAAAUCUUUGUGAGAUCUUACUAGUCUAGAGAGGUGAGGUGACAAGUGUUUUUCUCUGUGAUGAACUCGGUUUCACCGAUUUGUUAUUUUUGGUCCAAUCGAAUCCUUUCGGUACAACCGAAGCAAACCACUCGGUGCCACCGAUUUCACAACAGUAAAAACAGUUUGCCACUUAUUCUAUGUUUCUUCUGAUCCAGCUCCACUCAAUGAAUCUUGUCCUCUACAAGCAUCAAACCCAUUCACGACAAAUUCCAGAAGCCCUUCUUGGAAAUUGAUGUCAAUGGGGGAGAGAGAGAUCACAUCAAAGCUUAUCACUUAGAGAGAUCACCAUCCAAGCUCAUCACUUCCAAAGGGAGAGAUAGAAUAUCACUUCCAAAGGCAGAGAGAGAAUAUCACUUCCAAAGGGAGAGAGUAUCACUUCCACAGGGGGAGAAAGAGAUCUCCAGGGGGAGAGAAUACUCAAGUAGAAAGUAUUUCUCAAGGAUCCCAGAUGCUUGGUGUUCAAGAGGAGAGAUGCCACAUGUCUUAUUGAGGGGAAAGACGUGUUCUUAUGUGCUCUUUUGCAUUAGCUUGCAUUAGCUUUGUUCAUUUACAUCUUUUAGCUCUGAUUAUCUGUUCCCUAUCUUCUCCCAGUAUCCCAUGCUAGAUUCAGGGGGAGCAAGACAUCUAAGGGAAAUAAAUCAUUUAAAUUCAUUGCAUAUCUUUACUCUUGGGGACAUGUCUAAUCCAAUGUGGUACUUAGUACUCACUCUCUACAUGUCAUCCCAGUCUUGGUAUUCUUGUGGUUUCUUCUGUUUGCUCUGGCUAGUAGAUGUACCUGUGUUAUCUAACCUUGUUUACGCAGGUUAAUUCCACCCUAAGCCAACUCAAGACUACAAGGUAAGUAUAUGCAUCACACUCAUGUGUAUGAGGAAUUCUUGCUGAUGUACAUACUGUUUGCAAGAAGGACUCAUGCGCAUGAAGGUAUUUUCCUUAAUAUUCUUUGCUCUGAUGCAUAUGGCCAAGAUACAUGUAACACAUUGCCUACUCUAUCAUGGUUAUGCUCUCAAAUGCUUCUAUACUCCAUAUUCACAUGAUUGCACACAUGUAGGGGGAGCCUGUGCUUGUUACAUGUCUUUCUGAAGCUUUACUUGCUAUUCUUUUUAUCUUUAUCUAAAGCUUUAAUGUAUGUUGUCAUCAAUUACCAAAAAGGGGGAGAUUGAAAGCACAAGUGCUCCCUAGGUGGUUUUGGUAAUUAAUGUCAACAUAUCUCUUGUUGGACUAACACUUUUAUCUAGUAUGUUUCAGAUAAGUUCAACAAUGGAGUGGCAUGGACUAAAGGAUGUGGGAACUCCUUCAAAAUGCUAAGGACAAAGGAUUGGCUCAAGCUCAAAAGCUCAAGACUCGACAUUUUAUAUUUUAGUGAUCCAAGAUCACAUUGAGUCUAUAGGAAAAGCCAAUACUAUCAAGGAGGGAUGAGGUGUUGCUUAAUGAGCCUCUUGCUUCAUGUGCUUAGUGAUAUGCUCCAAAUACCCUCAACUACUUUCUCACAUACUCAUAUGACCUAAACCUAAAGUCAAAAUCGGUCAUACCGAUUCUUUCUAUCCGGUACCACCGAGUUCAAAUGUCAUAGCCACUGCCACAAACCCUAGGAAAAUCGGUCUCACCGAUAGGGAUCUCUGUCUCACCGAGAUGGGACUGUAAUCUCUCUGUGUAUGUCCAUUAUCAAAAUUGGUCUUACCGAGUUUGAACAAUUGGUCCUACCGAGAUUAAAAUGCAAACUUUCUGGUUAACUUAUUACCAAAAUCGGUCUCACCGAGUUUGAGUAAUCGGUCCCACCGAGUUUGCCUGACCAACUCUCUGGUUAGCUAAUUACCAAAAUCGGUCUCACCGAGUUUGUGUAAUUCGUCUCACCGAGAUUACAUUAUGCCCUAACCCUAAUAAUAUCAGUCCUAUCGAGUUGCAUUUCGGUCCCACCGAAAUUCCUAAUGGUCACAUUGUUUACUAAAUCGUUCUGACCGAGUUUGUUGAUUCGGUCCCACCGAGAUUGGUAAAUUGUGUGUAACGGUUAGAUUUUGUGUGGAGGCUAUAUAUACCCCUCCACCUCCUCUUCAUUCAUGGAGAGAGCCAUCAGAACAAACCUACACUUCCAAAUUACCAUUUCUGAGAGAGAACUACCUACUCAUGUGUUGAGACCAAUGUCGGAUUUCGGGUUCCGGCAGACCCUCUAGAUUCGAACACUAGGGUGCGCGCGGAGAUUUCGCCCUCUACCUACCUGCACCUCGCCGCCUCGCUAGGAUCUAAGAUAUGAAAGGAACAACACAAGAGACACAGGGUUUAUACUGGUUCAGGCCACCAUUGUGGUGUAAUACCCUACUCUAGUGUGUGGUGUGUGGAUUGCCUCUUGGGCUGAUGAUGAACAAUACAAGGAAGAACAGCCUCGCGAGGGUCUGUUCUUGGCUGGUGCGAUGAAUUGCUAAGGGGAGUUCAGUUGCUCUCACUCUCUCUGGUUGAUCUCCAAAUGAUCAUCCUCCUCCCCUGGGGGUGGCUAGUCCUAUUUAUAGGCAAAGGCCCUGGGCCUCUUCCCAAAUAUUGAGCGGGAAGGGCGCCAACAAUUGGCCAUUUUCAAGGGGAACAUCUAGUACACUUAUCCUGACUAAAGUUGGUCCUCGCCUGUCAAAAGCUCUGGUGGUGACGCCGGCUUGGGCUCCACAAUGACUUCCUUCCUGCCGUUGCGACGGUCUUGGUCUUGUUGCACCGAAACGGAUGCCUUUGCUUGAUGCUCUCGCCUGCGCUUGCUCCCUUUGCACCAAAGAGGAAAGGGAGGACACUGCGCGGGCUGGCGCCCGCCUGGCGCCCGCCUGGCGCCCUUGGUCGUCAUGGCUUGCGUCAUGAGAACCUCGUGAGGUACCCCGCCUUGAUCUCUCCGCCUCCUCGCGAGCCAGCCUGACGAGGCCGUGCCUGAGGAAGCUCCCUGUCGUCCUCCCCGCGAGGCUUGGCCCCUCGCGAGGGUCUUGAGCCCGUGCUGAUGAAGAUGGGUCAUGCUGGGCCACCCCUUGAGCCACGCCGCAGGCCGCAGGCAAGCAAGUCUGGGGACCCCCGUUCCCAGAACACCGACAACCAAGAUAAUCCAUUCCUACCAUAUGAAUAUUGAUCUCUAGCCUUCCCCAAGUUGCUUUCCACUCAAAUCUUCUUUCCACCAGAUCCAAAUCCUAUGAGAGAGAGUUGAGUGUUGGGGAGACUAUCAUUUGAAGCACAAGAGCAAGGAGUUCAUCAUCAACGCACCAUUUGUUACUUCUUGGAGAGUGGUGUCUCCUAGAUUGGCUAGGUGUCACUUGGGAGCCUCCGACAAGAUUGUGGAGUUGAACCAAGGAGUUUGUAGGGGCAAGGAGAUCACCUACUUCGUGAAGAUCUACCGCUAGUGAGGCAAGUCCUUCGUGGGCGACGACCAUGGUGGGAUAGACAAGGUUGCUUCUUCGUGGACCCUUCGUGGGUGGAGCCCUCCGUGGACUCACGCAACCAUUACCCUUCGUGGGUUGAAGUCUCCAUCAACGUGGAUGUACAAUAGCACCACCUAUCGGAACCACGCCAAAAACAUCCGUGUCUCCAAUUGCGUUCGAAUCCUCCAAAAUCCUUCCCUUUACAUUCUUGCAAGUUGCAUGCUUUACUUUCCGCUGCUCAUAUACUCUUUGCAUGCUUUCUUGCUAUAUGUUGUGAAUGUUAAACUUGUGCCUAAACUCCACUUAAACUCAAAAAGGUUUAAAAUCUGCAACUUUGGUACGAAGUGUCUAAUCACCCCCCCCCUCUAGACACCUCUUCUCAAGGUCCUACACUUUUCAAUCAAAGAAGCAAUUUCAUAAGCACCCUUAAAAGCAACAAAUUCUUCAAUUUGUUGAACAUCAUAGUAAUCAUAAACACCCUUAGCAUACAAAGAUACAAUUCCAUUAUCACUAAACCCACAUUGGUAGGGAAGAUGUUUCUUAGGGUUUUCAGAACAAUACGUAAUCAUAUAUUUCACAUAAAUUCCAAGCAUAGCAUUGCAAAUGAUGAAUUCGAUCUAGUAAAAGUUUCCCUUUUUUAGAUAUACGGUGUCGCACAUAACAAGCAUGCUAAUCUGAAGAUUUGCCUUCAACUAAGCUAGUUUGGGUUUCAGCACGAGCACAAAGGGAUCAAAGAUGAUCCAAGUAAAAAGCUUCAGGAGUGUGAUAGAUUUUGAGUGGUUCUUCAACCAUUAGUUCAGUAGGUACAACUAAUUUUUUUGGUAUUUUGUGUUUCCUACCCAUAACUAAAGAUAGAAAACAACUAAGAACAGCAAAUAAAAUUUACUUAGUGAUAAAGCAAACAAGCACACAUGAGAAUAUUCGCCCCGCGCUAUGACUCCCCGGCAACGGCGCCAGAAAAAGGUCUUGAUAACCCACAAGUGUAGGGGAUAAUUAUAGCCUCUUUCGAUAAGUAAGAGUGUCAAACCCAACGAGGAGCUAAAGGUAGAACAAAUAUUCUCUCAAGUCCUAUCUGCCACUGAUACGACUCUACGCACGCUUAGUGUUCGCCUUACCUAGAACAAGUAUGAAACUAGAAGUACUUUGUAGGUGUUGUUGGAUAGGUUUGCAAGAUAAGAAAGAGCAUGUAAAUAUAAACUAGGGGCUGUUUAGAUAAAGAAGCAAUUAAGUAAAUAUAGCGAGUGUGGAAAAGUGGUGGUAGGAGUUGUGGAAUUGUCCCUAAGCAAUUAACUACCUUACUAGACCGAUAGCAAGUUUUAUGUGGGAGAGGCAUAAGCUAACAUACUCUCUCUUCUUGGAUCAUAUGCACUUAUGAUUGGAACUCUAGCAAGUAUCUUCAACUACUAAAGAUCAUUAAGGUAAAACCCAACCAUAGCAUUAAAGUAACAAGUCCCCUUUAUCCCAUACGCCACAACCCCCUUACUCGGGUUUAUGCUUCUGUCACUCAAGCAACCAACUAUAAGCAAAUCAUGAACGUAUUGCAACACCCUACAGCGGGAAUCCCUCACGCUUGCGCGACACAGAGGGCACAAUAGGACAACAACAUAACCACAAGAAAAUUAAAUCAAUCAUAGCAAUUCAUCAAUCACCGAUAGGACAACGAAAAUCUACUCAGACAUCAUAGGAUGGCAACACAUCAUUUGAUAAUAAUAUGAAGCAUAAAGCACCAUGUUCAAGUAGAGGGUACAGUGGGUUGUGGGAGAGUGGACCGCUGAAUAUAGAAGGGGGAAGGUGAUGGAGAUGUUGGUGAAGACGGCGGAGGUGUUGGUGAAGAUCGCGGUGAUGAUGAUGGCCGCCGGUGGUGUUCCGGCGCCACCGGAAGCGAGGGGGGAGAGCCCCCCUUCUUCUUCUUCUUCCUUGACCUUCUCCCUAGAUGGGAGAAGGGUUUCCCCUCUGGUCCUUGGCUCCCAUGGCGUGGGAGGGGCGAGAGCCCCUCCGAGAUUGGAUAUGUCUCUCUAUCUCUCUCUGUUUCUGCGCUGCCAGAUUCUAACAUGGCACUGUUUUUUUAUAUCCAGAGAUCCGUAACUCCAAUUGGAUUGAAACCUUCGCCAUGAUUUUUUCCGAAAAUUAGCUUUCUUGCGGCAAAAGAAUAGCAGCAACCACCUUACGAGGGGCCCACGAGGGUCAGGGGCGCGCCCAGUAAGAGCAGGCGCGCCCCCUGCCUCGUGGCCACCUCGGGCACCGUCUCGCGUUGAUUCUUCCUCCCAUAUUUCCCAAAUAUUCCAAAAAUAAGCUCCAUCCGUUUUUAUCCUGUUUGGACUCCAUUUGAUAUGGGGUUUCUGCGAAACAUAAAACAUGCAACAAACAGGAGCUGGCACUGGGCACUGGAUCAAUAUGUUAGUCCCAAAAAUAGUAUAAAAAGUUGCCAAAAGUAUAUGAAAGUUGAAUAAUAUUGGCAUGGAACAAUCAAAAAUUAUAGAUACGACGGAGACGUAUCACCCAUCAAGCUAAACAACAUGCCACUCAUAAUUCCAAACUUAGCUGCUCAAAUACGAAUCUGAUAUGAUGUUGAUAUUACUAAAACAAAGAACGUUUAAUUGGUCAGCUAAUGUUCCUACUUUACUUUCGAAAAGCAUGCGCGCCACAUAUAGAGAGACAACAUGGAGCUGCAUUCUUUAUGCUCUUUGGUUCAUCAUGUGUGGGCAACGAACAUUUUGUUAUCCAAAAUCUGCUUGCUCUUCUUCGCAUGUUACUCUUCUGUUCUUCUUUAAUAAGUACUCUCUCUGUUCCUAAAUAUAAGUCUUUGUAGAGAUUCCUCUAUGGACUACAUACGGAGCCAAAUGAGUGAAUCUACACUCUAAAAUGUAUCUAUAUACACCCGUAUGUGAUCCAUAGUGGAAUCUCUACAAAGACUUAUAUUUAGAAACAAGGGGAGUAAAAUAGGUGUAUAGUAUGUUCCUUGUAGUGAAGAGGAGCAGGGAUAUUUGCAGUGUACAGGUCUAUUCGGUCGCCUGUCAUGGACACUUUCAACUCUUUGUGUUGGUAUGCCAUAAUAUCCAGAAAAUUUUGGGAGCCGUGUCGCCUUUGAAAGUUAGCCUGCUAGUAAAAGUACUGCGCCAUCAGUUGUAGAGAGCUGGUAUCCGAAGCCUUUCUAGUCAUACCGGCAAUACUAGCACAUAUUUUCAGCAAGUUCCACUCUCCUGAUUUUACUCGUGAUGCUUAGGGUUUUCCCAUUAUAUCUACACUAUGAUCUGCAUAGGUGCUUUGUGUCCUACUAGCAGUAGUCCACCCUUAAAGCUAAACAACACACCAAUUAUACGUCCAAAGCAUACAUCUUGAAAUAUGAAUGUCAUAAGAUAUUGACAUUAGUUACCAGACACACAUUUAAUUGAUCAGCUAACGCUCCCACUUGGGUUUCCAAAUGCAUGUGGCCACAUAUAGAGAGACAUCAUGGAAUUUCAUUUCUUUGGGCGCUCUGAUUCAUCAUGGGUGGGGAACCAACAUUGUAUACAAAGAAGCGGAAUCUCAAUAAUAUGCUUCCCCUUCUAUUGUUUAACAUGUUCCUCUUCUAUUCUUCUUUAGUAAGUACAGUAUGUUCCUUGUCAGGAAGGGGGCAGGGACAUCUGCAGUCAACGGCUCUAUUGGGCUGCUUCUGCUAGAUUAUUUAGCACUUCGAGUUGGUCUGCCAUAGUAUCCAGGAAAUGGUGGGAGUUGUGCGGUCUUUGGUAGACUAGACUGAUAGUAACACCAGUGCGCCUUCAGAUGAAUAGAGCUGGCAUGUAGGUGAUUGAUAAGCUUUAAAUUAGUAGCGGCAAUACAACCCCGUAUUUUCUAGCCAGUUUCGCUUUUCGAUUUAUUUAUAAUGGUUAUGGUGUACCCCCUUUUUAUCUACACUAUGAUUUGCCUACUGGUUGUGCCCUCUUGUUAUCAUGGUGUGCCAAUAUACUUUCUAUACGGUAUAUUAUGAACCUAUCAUCUUCCCACUAUCCUUACAUCUGGAUCUCCCAACAGGGAGCCUAUUUUUUUGUAGUUGUGCUAGAUUAUAUUAAUGUACGCACCAUAUUACAACACACAUGGGCUCUCUCAUCAGAAUCCAGUGAUAGCACACAAGGGUUUAUAGGGAGCCCCUAUUAUAUUAGAAUAUCCUUUGCAUUACAAAGAUAAUUUCACUACUAUUUCAUGCUUCUCAGAUAUUCUAUGUAAUCACAAUGAAUAUAAGAAUGUGCACAUCAGAAGAAUAUUGCAGAACAGUUCAAUGGGUAACAAACUUGGCAUCAAGGGAUUGAGGUCCAUUCUGGAUGCAAUGAAGCCCACAUGCUCCUGACCUACAUAUUCAUAUUCAGAAUAUGAUCCUAAUGACUAUUCUAAGCUCAAGGAGUCAAUGGUAGAUCACCUACCUUGUUCACCCAAUAAGGUGCGUGUUCUAAUUUGGCAAGGUUUUGUUGGUUGCACGUUGAGGGAGUCCCGGAUUAAGGGGUCCUCGGACAGCCGGACUAUAUGCAUAUGUCGGACUGUUGGGCUAUGAAGAUAUAAGAUAGAGGACUUCGUCCCGUGUCCGGAUGGGACUCUCCUUUGCGUGGAAGGCAAGCUUGGCGGUUAGGAUAUGAAGAUUCCUUUCUCUGUAACCGACUCUGUGUAACCCUAGCCCCCUCCAGUGUCUAUAUAAACCGGAGGGUUUAGUCCGUAGGAGAACAAUCAUAAUCAUAGGCUAGCAUCUAGGGUUUAGCCUCUACGAUCUCGUGGUAGAUCAACUCUUGUAAUACUCAUAUCAUCAAGAUCAAUCAAGCGGGAAGUAGGGUAUUACCUCCAUUGAGAGGGCCCGAACCUGCGUAAACAUUGUAUCCCCCGCCUCCUGUUACCAUUAGCCUUAGACGCACAGUUCGGGACUCCCUACCCGAGAUCCACCAGUUUUGACACCGACAUUGGUGCUUUCAUUGAGAGUUCCACUGUGUCGUCACUGUAAGGCUUGAUGGCCCCUUCACUCAUCUAAAACAACGCAGUCCAGGGUAAAGUUUUUCUUCCCGGAUAGAUUUUCGCAUUCGGUGGCUUCGCACUGCGGGCCAACUCGCUUGGCCAUCUAGAGCAGAUCGACAACUACGCCCCUGGCCAUUGGGUCAGGUUUGGAAGCUUGAACUACAACGCCGACAUCCGCGGAGACUUGAUCUUCGACGGAUUCGAGCCCAUGACAGACGCGCCCUACCGCCACAAUGAAUAUGACCUAAAUCUGUCAUCAAACUGUGUGCAGGAGAUAGCGCAUGUAAUCGCUCUGGCCCUAGAUCUAGAGCAAAGCGCACCAUCCAAGGAUGGGAAGCUCAACCUCGCCAUAGAGGCCGCAUACUCAGCGGCGCUAGAUCCAAACACAGAUCUGACCUCCAAUGAGGCCUGUGUCAUCGGAACCUCGGACUCGUCUCCCGCCAUAGGCUCCGAACCACGUGUAUCCACACCCAUCGAAUCUGACGGGUGUUGAUCUUAGAGUUCAGCUCCGCGGACAUAUUCCAACACUCACCCCUAGGCGACGUGUUAAACUCAUUAAAGUCUCUCUCCUUGUCAGGAGAUUCUUUGCCGAACUAUGUCCGGCUUGAGUGGGAAGCGGACGACGAAGAACUUCGUUACCCACCCACCACCCACUUGAUAGCCAUUGUCGGCGAUUCGAUCGACAUGCUUGAUUUCGACUCCGAAGACAUCGACGGUGUGUACGACGAUGCUGGAGAAGAACAGGUACCACCGCCCACAAGGCGCUGAACAGCCACCUCCUCAUACGACAUAUACAUGGUGGAUACACCCAAAGGAGACCAUGGCAAUGACAAAAAGGAACCAGUUGAGGAUAAACCUCCCGAGAAGCAGCCAAAGCAUUGACGUCAGCAGCGCCACUCUAAAUCACGCCAUGGUAAAAAUAGCGAUACCGGCACAAGAGGGAAUAAUGCCCCGGACGAUGCCGAAGACAAUGACGAAACCACGGACCCAGCAAUGGAGUAGGACGAGCAAGGUGAUGGUGAACACAGUUCGGGGGCCCCUGUCCGAUCACAGCGAUGCCGAAGACUCCAAUUAUCAACCUGUCCCCGAAGAGGAGAUCAGUCUGGAUGACGAUGCAUUCAUCGUCCCGGAAAAACAAUUGGAACAAGAACACCUCCACCGGAGACUUAUCGCCACCGCGAGGAGCUUGAAGAAGCAGAAGCAAUGGCUUAAAGCCGCACAGGAUACGCUCAAUGAUAAAUGGAACGAAGUGCUCGACACUGAGGAAAAAUGCGGCGGCAAUCACCAAACAAAGAGCUACCCCAAAUGCAAACUACUGUCCGAAUUCGACGAUGAUGCUAUUGCGCCCAUACCGCCGAAUAACAAUACAGCCGAUCAACCAGGCUGACCACCUCGUGGUCGAGAUAGAGCGGCUAACAACACCGCACAGAAAACUGCACCCCCUCCCCAUAAAGGAAAGGAGGUCGCAACCUAGAACCAGAAACAUGAUUUACGUGAAGACCUGGACAAAAAGGCUGGCAGAACCAGGUCCAUUUAUGGAUCCAGGGAACGUGUUCCCGCACAGGAUUAGGGCCAUCAAACCAAAUAUGCCAGUCACUUACCAGUUUGGAACCAACACCAAAAACUACAACCGUCGGACCCAUACUGCGACACAGCCAAAUACAGGGGUGCUGCACACCCCCUGUGCUUCACCAAUGAGGUGCUGGAUCAUGAAUUUCUAGAAGGCUUUAAACCCGUGAAUAUCGAGGCAUACGACGGAACGAUAGACCCUGCGAUCUGAAUAGAAGACUUUAUUCUUCACAUCCACAUGGCUCGCGGAGACGAUCUCCACGCCAUCAAAUACCUGCCCCUCAAGCUAAAAGGACCAGCUCGGCACUGGCUGAAAAGCCUCCCUGAAAAUUCCAUUUGAAGCUGGGAAGAACUUGAGGAUGCUUUCAGGGCCAAUUUCCAAGGGACCUAUUUCCGACCUCCGGAUGCAGACCAUCUAAGUCACAUAACCCAACAACCCGGAGAGUCAGCCCGUAAGCUUUGAAACCGAUUUCUCACUAAGAAGAACCAAAUCGUCGACUGUCCGGACGCCGAAGCCUUAGCAGCUUUCAAACAUAGUGUCCGGGACAAAUGGCUAGCCAGACACCUAGGCCAGGAAAAGCCAAAGACAAUGGCAGCCCUAACUACACUCAUGACCCGCUUUUGCGUGGGAGAGGAUAGUUGGUUGGCCCGUAGCAGCACCAGCGACCCUGGCACAUCCGAAGUCAGGGAUGGCAAUGGAAAGGCACGACGCAAUAAAAACAGAUGUCGAAACAAUGAAGAAAGCCCAGACAAUACAGCGGUAAACGCUGGAUUCAGGGGCUCUAGACCCGGUCAACGGAAAAAGUCACUUAAAGGCAGCAGAGAUGGUCCAUCUAGCCUAGAUAAAAUUCUAGAAAGGUCCUGCCAGAUUCAUGGCACCCCCGACAAACCAGCCAAUCAUACCAAUAGAGAAUGUUGGGUCUUCAAGAAGGCCGGCAAGCUCAACACCGAACACAAAGGGAAGGGACCGCAAAGCGAAGACGAGGACGAAUCUCACCAGCCAAAUAUGGGGGGACAGAAGAAAUUUCCAACGGAGGUCAAAACAGUGAACAUGAUAUAUGUCACUCACAUCCCAAAGAGGGAGCGCAAACGCGCACUCCGAGACGUGUAUGCUAUAGAGCAUGUCGCCCCCAAAUUCAACCCAUGGUUGGCCUGUCCGAUCACCUUCGAUCGCAGGGAUCAUCCGACUAGUAUCCGUCACGGGGGCUUGGCUGCCUUAGUGCUCGACCCAAUAAUUGACGGAUACCACCUCACCUGAGUCCUCAUGGACGACGGCUGUAGUCUCAAUCUGAUAUAUCAGGACACUGUCCAUAAGAUGGGGAUAGACCCAUCAAGAAUCAAGCAAAGCAGCACUACCUUUAAAGGAGUAAUACCAGGAGUAGAGGCCCGUUGCACUGGCACUCUAACAUUGGACAUCGUCUUCGGCUCUCCCGAUAACUUUCGAAGCGAAGAGCUAAUCUUUGACAUUGCUCCAUUCCGAAGUGGCUAUCAUGCACUACUCGGACGAACGACCUUUGCCCGUUUCAAUGCAAUCCUGCAUUACGCUUAUCUUAAACUCAAGAUGCCUGGACCACGUGGCGUUAUCACGGUGAGUGUAAAUACAGAGUGUUCUCUUCGUACAGAAGAAUACGCGGCGGCUCUAGUAGCGGAAGCACGAAGCGGCAUUUUCAAGCCGAGCAGCUCAUCGGUCCUCAAGACCGCGGACACAGCCAAACGUGUUCGGCACACACCUAUGUGUAAUAGCUCAGAUAAACCUGAGCUUGUUUAGCAGCCCUGCCCCCAUAGAUCGCCCCAUAAGAAGAUUGUACAUGUUUUCCCGUAUACAUAAAUAUACACUCAAAAUUCCUUGGGUGGCGCUGGGGGCACCCUGCACGCUAGAAGUCUAUAGUCCGGCUCGACCCUAUUCGGACUCAAGAAACUACAGUUCACAGUUCAUAAAAAACAACAAACUAUACCCACUGCCAUACCAGAUUCUUUCACCUGGUUCUUUCUUUUUUACAGAUAGGCCAUCAUGAUAUACCCUACAAGGACACUGCACAAUAGAGACAAAGGCGCAGACGUGCAGCACGGCCCCGUUUCAAGGUUUCUGUUUAGAUUAAGACCCUAUGUAAACCUUUUUUCUUAUUAUUAUCUCUUGUUGUUUCAUACCCUCCUGGCAUAUAAAACUCCCUGGAAAGAUAUCGGCAGUAUUUGCGAACUUACUAUUCACCAUACUAAACUAGAUGUUCUAGAAGCAGCCAGCAGUGUGCUUUGAGAAUAUGCUCUCACCAUAGGCGCUCUCUCCUCACGCAGGGUCGUAGCAUGUGCCUUGAAUUCAGGUUUCAUUACCGGGGGCUGUAUCCAGCCCGGUAUAUAUUGAAAAGUCCGAAUAUCUUCGGGAGUGUUCGGCGUCGCGAGUUUCAGCCUUAUAUGCAUCAGCUCCGAAUCAUGUCUUUGGUCAAUAGUUGGCUUUUCCCGGCUCCUGUGCUUGCUACCUAACGUUUCGCUAUAUCGGCUAAGGUGGUAAAGGGAGAACUACUGCGAUUGUGCCCUCGUUCAUCCGGACGAGCACCUCAGUAGAGAAAGCCGAAAACUGACUGUCAUGAUAAGGCGAGAGCUGGUCAACCACUCGAUGACUCAGUGGAAUCUUCACGAUUCCUCCACAUUAACGAAGGACCGGUUUCCCGGUCACGUAUGUAAACGCACCGUAUUCGGAUAAAUGCGGACAUACCAGGGGCUAUAUAGUAGCCCCACCGUCAAACUCCAAUGGCUAAGUGAAAGUGUUAAAGCUCUAUAGUCCGAUUGCCUAGUUCGCCGCACUAACACCUCCUUAAUGGACCAAGACAUUGGGUCAAGUGUGAUCAAGUGCUUUUCCAAACACCCCCACGUUAUACGCAAGGGGGAUGAAGCCGACGACUGCAAACUUUCAGGUUAUAUACAUAUAUACAUAAACGGCCACACAACAGGCACUAAAAUACUUUACGGGCAAAAAUAUAAACACAACAUUCAUUAUCAUAAGCAUUGUUUUUACAAUUCAGAUACAUGUUACUCGAACAUAAUGUUUUUCGAGCACUGACCCUCUAUCAAGUGGGCACCCUCUAAGACUUCUUCAAAAUAGUGAUCUGGUGUGUCCUGACCCUCGGGUAGACCUCCUGUUGCAAUAUUGGUGGCCUUCAUCUUCGCCCAAUACGUCUUCACACGACCAAGGGUCAUCCGUGCACCCUCUAAGCACGUUGACCGCUUGACAGCGUUGAUAUGCGACACCGCAUGAACAAGUUGUUGCACUAAACCAAAAUAAAUAUUCUCAGUUGGUCCCUUAGGCCACAGCCGGUCCACGACAGCCUUCAUGGCAAGUUCGGAUAUCCUGUGGAGCUCGGCCCAUUCGACCAUCUGCUCAUUCAACAGCAGCAGACGCUCUGGCAUGCUAAACUGCGACCAGAAAAGGCGUUCAGCUUCAUGGCCUUCUUGGGCCUGGAAAAACUAUGUCGCAUCAGAAACACUCUUCGAUAAGUCCAAAUAUGUGUCCGGAGAACUCCACAUUUGAUCAAGCGGGACAUACUUCGGAUCGCCGAACUUAGUUCGUAAUAAAAAGGGCGUCCUAGCCGUAAUCUCCCCGGCUUGCUGGAUCUCCUCCCGUGCCGCUCUGGUCUCUAACCGGGUUUCCUUUGCCGCUUGUAAGGCUUUCUCAAGAUCAGCCUUUUUUCUUUGGUCUCUUUCUCGAGAAGUGCAUAUUGGCUAGCGGCAUCCCUUAGCUCACGCGCCAUGUUGGAUAUUCUCUCCUCACUCAGGCGAUGAGCAGCCUGUUCGGCUUUUAAUUCACCAACUGCCUUAUCGGCAGCCGCGUUGCUUAUCCUGGCUUGCUCCUUGGCCCGGGCAAGCUCAGCCCGAAGGGUCUCCAUGGCGGCAGCACCAUCUGCAGUCAAGCAUAUUAUAAAUUCCAGCAUCAUGCUCCUAUUUAUACUCACUGACCGCCCAAAAUACAUACCUUGCGCCUCGUCAAGCUUCUUGUUCACGAGGGUGCUGUCAUCAUCCUCUACAUCAAGUUGCUGCUUCAGUUCGGCAAAUUCGGCAGCCCGGGCAGUGGCCGGGGCUGCAGCCGCCUGUGUACAAAUUAGCAAAAUUAUUACCUGAGCUUAUUUAUCUUUUGAUCCUCUGAUCAACCCGUUCGGAGGGCAACCAGAGUCUCAGGGGCUACUAUCUAUACACAGUACACAUUGCGUACCUCAAAGCCUCUUAGCAGGCUCGUAAAGGCUUCAUUCAAUCCGCUUUUUGCCGACGAAAUUCUCUCAAUCACCGUAUCCAUUAAGGUACGAUGUUCCUCCAAGAUACGUGCUUGCCGCAGAAGACCCGUCCAUGUGUCCGGCUGUAUAUCGGAUAGUCCGGGGCUUUUUUUUGUUGUUGGUCUCUCUAGGAGCCGAACACCCCGGACCUCGGGCGGCCGAAGAGUCAUCUUCUGGCAUUGUCCUCCUUCGCGGAUCGGGAGAGAUCCUUCGGGACGACACCUCGGGGUCGUCCGCCUUAUGGGGCAGGGAAGUAUGAGGCGGUGUUUCGCUCUCCAUCAUCUCCAGAAGAAGAUCCCCCGAGGACGAAGAUUGUUGAGGGAGGCUAUAGGCCGAACUGUAAAACAUAUGUUUCAGAUAAUACCCUCACAAACAAGAAAAGAACGGGGUAUGCUUAUUAAAGCACCUUUGUUAACUUACAGUUCAGCUAAAGGCUGGCCCCCUUGUGGGAACUUUGCGGCAAUAUCGCCUCCCGAAUCCGGGGCCCCUGAUAGGGAUUUCUUCCCUUGCUUGGAGGCCUCUGCCUACAGGUCUUCGGGGGCGGCUCUCUUUUUCCCGUGGGGGGAGGGAAUGUUAGAUUCUCCUCCCCGUUCAUCCUCCAACACGGGAGUUCCGAUUUCCCCGGAUACGGUGCGUGAUGCACCUCCGGUAUGAAGGCCACUUUCGGCCUCUCCACUCCUCUCCUUUUCUUCCCUCAACUGCACUUGAUAAGGUGUCGGAGCCAGCAUCCUGGUUAACACUGGGUCCGCUGAGUUUUUGGGAAGUGGGGCCGAACACCUGAUCCUCUUCGCCUUCUUUACCCAGCCCUGGGCGAGUAUGGUUUUCUCAGUUUUUUUAUGGGAAACUUAAACUAAAAACAUGUUCAGAAAUUGAGUGCUUACCGGGGAAUCCGGAUGGUUGCAGUCGAGGCCUGCGUCCUCAGUGGUGUCCGGACACCUUUUUCAUGACCCGAAGAAUAAUUCAUACAUCCCUUUGAGCGUUGUGCCAAAGAAGCGUUGAAUGGUGCGUGGUCCUUCCGGAUUGAACUCCCACAUACGGAGAGGUCGGCGCUGGCAUGGCAAGACCCGACGGACUAACAUAACUUGGAUUACCUUGAUGAGAUCGAUGUCCUUCUUAAUAAGGUCUCGAAUGCGGCUUUUUAGUAUUUGAACUUCAUCUAGCGAUCCCCAAUCCAGCCCCUUGUUGAUCCACGAUGCAAGCUGUGGCGGAGGGCCUGAUCGGAAGGCGGGUGGAGCCACCCACUUUGUACCACGAGGCUCUGUGAUAUAAAACCACUCCCGCUGCCACAUGCCGGAAGCUGCAGUGAAGGAACCCUUUGGCCAUAUGAUAUCGGCCAAUUUGCUUAUUAAAGCACCUCCGCACUCUGCGUGUCUCCUGUCUAUUAUCUUCGGCUUUACAUUGAAGGUCUUGAGCCAUAAGCCGAAGUGUGGAGAGAUACGGAGGAAGGCCUCACAUACGAUAAUGAAUGAUGGGAUGUAAAGGAAGGAGUUCGGAGCUAGAUCAUGGAAAUCUAGUCCAUAGUAAAACAUGAGCCCUCGAAUGAAGGGAUGAAGAGAGAAACCUAGUCCCUGGAGGAAGUGAGGGAUGAAUACGACCCUCUCAUUAGGUCUAGGAGUAGGUAUAACAUGCCCUUGGGCAGGAAGCAUGUGAAGGAUCUUCGCGGUCAAAUACCUCACCUCCCCGAGCUUCGUGAUAUCCUCCUCGGUGACAGAAGAAGCCGUCCACCGGCCUUGAAAGCUGGAUCUGUACAUGGCCUGAGGUUCGAAGCGACUGGUUAAACCUUGGGUGUUCGAACUCGAGGUGGGAGGAGGAGGGGAGUAGCAUAGAGGGGAAAGGCGGGUCUCAGCCUCCUUAUAAAGAUGACAAAUAUCAAACAUCCCCUACGUGGCCUUAAAACAUGCCUAUUCCCAAGGAAUCAUACCAACGGGACGGUUGGGUUACCCACGCCCGUGUUGAUGAGAAUCCCGCAAUAAAGGGACACGAUCUCCGCUUCGACAAGAUGUGCCAAUAAGACCGCCUCGCGAAGCAUGGAGCAGCAGGUUGGAAAAACGAUUUGAAAUAAUGGUCGAACGAUGACGUAAUGUCGUGUUGCAAAAGCUGUCAGCGGAUUGGACUCGUGAAAACAUUAUGCUCUCCACGGUGGUAUAUGGAAUUUGUUUUGCAGAGCCGGACACGAUUCUUACGUUCAAGAUCUACUUUGGAGUAUUCGGAGAAGGAAUCCACCUUGCAAUGCCGAAGACAAUCUGCGCGUCGGACUCAUCGUCAUUGAAGCCUGGUUCAGGGACUACUAAGUGAGUCCCGGAUUAAGGGGUCCUUGGACAGCUGGACUAUAUGCAUAUGCCGGACUGUUGGGCUAUGAAGAUACAAGAUAGAAGACUUCGUCCCGUGUCCGGAUGGGACUCUCCUUUGCGUGGAAGGCAAGCUUGGCGGUUAGGAUAUGAAGAUUCCUUUCUCUGUAACCGACUCUAUGUAACCCUAGCCCCCUCCGGUGUCUAUAUAAACCGGAGGGUUUAGUCCGUAGGAGAACAAUCAUAAUCAUAGGCUAGCUUCUAGGGUUUAGCCUCUACGAUCUCGUGGUAGAUCAACUCUUGUAAUACUCAUAUCAUCAAGAUCAAUCAAGCAGCAAGUAGGGUAUUACCUCCAUUGAGAGGGCCCGAACCUGGGUAAACAUUGUGUCCCAUGCCUCCUGUUACCAUUAGCCUUAGAUGCACAGUUUGGGACCCCCUACCCGAGAUCCACUGGUUUUGACACCGACACACGUAUCUUGCAUAAGGUGUCUUGUAUAUCUUCUGCUUCGUUGCACCACCAUCUUCUUAGUUUACUCAUGAUAUAUGUGAAGAUGCCAUGCCCAUCCAUUAUCAAUACAUAUUCCCUUUGUUGUCAUACCAUGUUUUUUCAUUCAAAUGUUGUUCUUGUGUUUCAGACAUCCAAAAGGAAGAGGGUGAUUGCAGAACCUAAAGGAGUACAAGCAAAGUCCGUGAAAAAGGUGGUGGUACCGGAGAAAUCAUAUAGCACCCCACUUAUAUUGGUGAUAGAACCAGCGCCACAAAACCUAGGAUAUCGCAACUAUGAUGCUCGCUGCUUUGCUCUUGUUAGUACCUGUUGUCCUAUCACCGUACUUACAGUCAUACCUAGUGGAUUAUGUAACAUCAUUGUGCAUUAUAGCUUCCUUAUCCACUGUUUGCUCAAAAUAAUCAGAUCUAUAUGAAUGAUUACAUUAAUGUAGAAUAAACCCAAUGCCUUAUGAAGAAGUUUAGCUCUGCAUUGUUCUUGUAAGUAUUUGUUGUCCUUCAUCAUUGUACUUAUAUUGUCAGAUAGUUGUUCAUGUACACUUUGCAAUGUAUUUUCCCUUGCCCUCCAUUUUCUACAGAUCAGAUCUAUAUUUACCCUUGACAAAAUGUUGAAUAGAACCAAUGCUACUGAAGAAGUUUAGCUCUGCAUUGCUCUUGGCAGUGCCUUCUGCCUCUGUGUUGUACUUACAUUUAUAGUCUGCACCUUAGCUUAAAUAAUCUCCAUUUGUUCCUAUAUUAUCACAUCUAUAUUUACUCUUAAAAAAUGUAGAAUAAAGGCAAUGCUCAUGAAGAAGAGUCUGUGGUAAACUUCUUGAAUCCCCCCCAUCAAUAUGGACAAGGGCUUUAUAAAGUGGUCUUCACUACUAACAUAAGUUUGUCCUCCUCGAGCCUUCAAACUUUUUUGUGUAUAUUUGUAUAGCUAUGAAUGCAAAUGUUGUUUAUUUUUGUUGUCUGCAUCAAAUUGCAUGUUCAAAGUUUAUUAUGAAGAAGUACAUAAACAUAAGUUUGUCCUUCUCAAUUUUAGUUUUUAGUUGUACACCCUAGUUCCUUAUUUAUACCAUGUAAAUUAAACUAAACAUAGCAAGUUAUCUUCUUUAGCACUGCAUGUACGCUUGUGUUCUUGAUAAGUAAUCGAGUGGUGUGGUGAAACUGCCAACUCCAGCACAAUCUCAUAUCCUGAUAUGUCUUAACUAUUGACAAUGCCAUAUUAUGUUAAUGUUAUUUAAAUCACUUCUCUUUAUUAACCAAUCUGAAAUGGGAUAAAUUGAAAGUACACUCACCAUUCAUGCUUAUACGUUGUUUAGCACUACGUGUAUGCUUGUGUUCUGAUUUGUAAUCCAGUGGUGUGGUGAAGCUGGACGCUCCUGCACAAUUCCAUUUCCUGCCAUCUUAAUUAUGAACAAUGCAUGUUAUGUUAAUGCUAUUUUAAACCGUGUCUAUUUAUUUCUGACUAAGAAAUGAGAUGAAUUGACAUCAUUUAUGCUUAUACGUGCAAAACAUGUUAUCUACCUACUUGUUUCUCUUUCAGAGUGACAUCGCUGAUGCUAGGAAGAACUGCCACAAUGAUAGUGAUACGAACCCAUUCCUUGUCCCUCUAACAUAUAUUCCAGAGAAGAAGGCAACACAUCUUGAGGAUAGCGAUACAACCCCAAAGUCAUGUCUUGAUGUAGUGCCGAACUUACUCGCUCAUAGCAGUGACACAAGCUCAAUGAAGUCGUCGCCUGAAUUUGUUUGACUUCUUCAGUCUGAAAUUGAAGCAGAAAGACAUGCUUCCGCUCAAAUUCGACUGGAACUCCAAUCUCUAUGCAAGAAUAACCAUAAGUAGAUGAUGUCUAUUUGAUGUUAUGCAGCUUGAGCUGGUGGAUAUCAGUGUCAAACAAGCGCAGUCUCAUAAGGUUGCUAAGCUGCUUGCACUGCAGCUCCUGGGCAGGGCUAACCUUUCUUGACCUAUGUUGAAGUUCUGUCGGUUAUGUCUAUUAUUUUGUUGGCAUAUUUACUUCCACUGGUGGUGACCUUUGAUGCCCGGUGUAAGUGAUAUGAUGUCUGGUUACCCUUUAUUAUCACUGGCGUUGACAAAUAUUGAUGCCCAGGGGAUGUAAUAUGCUCUAGUUUCUUUGUUGUAUAGCCUUGGUUUAUUCUUCGUCAUGAUGUUGUACUUUAUUUUCUGUAUAUGCUGGCGUCGCUCUGUGAAAAGGUCAUAAGCUUCGAAAGGAGCAUAAUAGGCCAAUACGAUAGGCUUAUAUAUAAAAAAAUCGGUACUAGAACUGGUCGACCGCCAAUCACAAAAAAUGGGUCGAACCAUGGGCUUAUCUUGGGCCAUUAGUGGGCCUAGACUUAAUCUGGCCCACAUUAGUUUUGGCCCUUAAAAACGCCAAGCAAACCGCUUGCCUUAAUUGGGCCAGAAAAUAAAAUGGGCUUUUAAUAGGCUGAGUUGUAGAUUGAGCCUGAAUUGUGCCGAAUAAAUCACGGGCCGACAGUAGGCUGGAAUGUACAUCAGCCCAUUAUUGGCCUAGAGGUAUGACGGGCCAUUAACAGGCUUAAAUGUAGUUGGGCCUUGGUUGGCCCAAUCACAUGAUAGGCUAAUAGCAGGCCAGAUGCAUAGGGGCCAAUAUUAGGGCCUUUAACGGGCCAAUAAGUAGUUUGGGCUAAAAUGUAUCCAAGAAGAAUAUGCACCAUUGAGAGGCCGAAAGUCACCACGGACUAGAUUUAGGCCCACAUCGAGCUCGGGCCUUUAAAUGGCCAAAACUAUAACCAGGCCUAAAGCGGCCCAUAUUGCAGGGCCGCUGACAUGUCGAAACUAAUAUCAUGCCAAACUAUUAAACAGGCCAUUAAGAGGCCGAAGAGCAAACCAUGCCCCCAAUGGGCCCAAAGGCACAGUAGCUGUUAACGGGUCAUAUCUAUUAUGGUCCGUAAUUUGUCCCAAACUAUUGCAGACUGUUAACAGGCCUGAUCUAAUAUUGGCUGUAAACUAGCACAAAAUAUUGCAGGCUUUUAAUUGGUCGUAUCUCAUGUGGGCCAUCAUUUGGCCAAAACACGACAGGCCGUGAGUGGGCCAGAUCUGAUAUGGGUCGUAAUUUCACCCAAAGCAUGGUGGGAUGUUAAUGGGCUGGCCCACUAGUGUCUGAAAAAAUAUUGUGGGCCUUUGGCUGGGCCAACCUUUUUAACCUAAAUGGGCCGCUAUUGGGCCUUGUCAUGUGUCGACGUAUCAUAGCUGUGUCCCAUCCAUUGGCUGGAUGACAUCUAUCCAAACGCAGAGUUGACAUGUGGUUCCUUCGGCCAAUGAGAAUAUUACACGUGGAAGAUCGCCAUUGGUCGUUGCUGUUAGCGGGUUAUCGGAUCCAAAACUGGACCCGGUAGCUUAAUGGCGACCCAUUACGGUGGAAGCCACAUGUCGGUUACCCUUGACGAAAGCACUUCCAUGACGGGUCAUUUAUCGUCAUGGAAGUGAACACUUCCGUGAUGAUAAUUUAAGUAUUGUCAUGGAACACUUCUAUGAUAGCACAGGUAUGACCAUCUUGAUUCUAUCAUAAAAUCGUCAUGGGUGUACAUGCAUGACAGAAAAUGUGACCUACUGUGACAAACACGUAUCAUCACAGAAUUGUUUUUUUGGUAGUGGUUCUUCAGACGAGUAGUUCCUCGUAUGCCUUCUCUUUCCUUUUUGACAAUUGUUGACAAAAGGGGGAGAGUGAUAGAUCAGAGGGCAAUUUGCAGGGUGUAUUUAUUUGCCAUUUUCUUUUCUUCCGAACAAUUUGGUUUCGUCGAACAGUUGCUUCUGAAACUUAUUGCACCGCAUGUGAUGUUGAAAUACCCGGUCGUCAUGUACUGUUAAUAACCCCCCUGCAAUGCUAUUUAUCGACAACUCUAUGUUUGCAGGUGCUAUCAAAAUUCUACUCCCUAGUAACGAUUAUCCUUGAUAAUUAUCCAUCAUGCAGGGAAUGUGAAAGUGUUUCAAGGAGGAUUGGAAAUCAUGCCUCUCCAAACGAGAUAUAUUUCUCCUUGAAUCUAUAUAUAUAUAUAUAUAUAUAUAUAUAUAUAUAUAUAUAUAUAUAUUUGUUCGUUGGAUAUUUUCUGAUGAAUACCUUUUGCCAUCUAACCUUGUAGAAGAAGAAAGAUGCAUCAGAUUAUUUUUCUUGUGAUUCAAGAGCAAAUUCUUUCUAUCUAUCAAGUUGUUUUCCUCGCACUUCUCCUUUGUAAUAUCUUUGUUGAAGGAAAACUACAUCUGAAGCCUAUCUACUAUAAUCAAUAUAUCUAUAAUUCCUUUGCUCUGUUUUCCCUCGUAUAUCUAAAUUGUAGAGAACUCAUAUCUCGUCUGGAUUUAAAAUUGUGCUCUGAGAAAAUAUUCAUGGCUUAUCCUUCAUCACAAAUCAUUUAAAAGUAUCACUUUAUCUAACAAAUCUACUUCAAGGUUGUGUGUGGCAGGAAAUACCGCAGACACUAUCGAGUGAAUUGGAAGAGAUCACGAAUGAGAUCAUACAUCAAUAUCACUCGUACGAAGAUUCAUCUCGCUAUCCUCCAUUUUUAUCACAUAUGCAUAAGAUGCAUAUCUUUAGGGGAGCGUGUUUUAUCUUCCUAAUUAUCUCUCAUCUUUCAUUAUCCUUCGCAUUCCAUUUCAUUCCUUUAUCUAUCCUGCGAUGUGGUCUAUUUUGUCAACAAUCAUCCAAAAAGGGGGAGAUUGUUGGUGCAAUAUUUACCCUCUUGUGUGUUGGAGAUUGUUGACAGAAACAGGCAUGGACUGAUUUGUUCGCUAGUGCAUACAGAGAGAAAUAGUUCAUGCAGAACCGAAGAGAAUGUUGUCUCAGGUGUCAAGUUCGAGGAACUUCACCAAAGAAUACCUGCGUUGCAGAGAAGAAUGAGCUACAUAUAUUUAAGACAUGUAGGCAAGAAGAUCGACAUGAAGGAGUUAGCCCCUCGGAAGGUAUUGCUGACGUGAAGCAAUUGGUUCGGAGAUUCUGUCCGAAGGAAAAUGACUACAGUGAAUGGAAGUCAAAGACAAAGAGAAGAUGUAGCAUUCAUUUCGUUAUUCUUCUUUCAUUUAUUUGAGCCAUAGGACCUCCGCACUAUUAAGAGGGGUAUAGGUUCUCGAAGCUUAGAUCCAUGGUGAUGCUUAGCUCAAAAACCUAUGAAAGAUGCAAGAGAAAUAUCUUUAUGCCUCAAAUGAUUACUUGGCAGCAGUAGAUGUUGUUCUUCGUGUUGUGGGAGAUAUCCUUCAAACUGAGGAGUUAGCUUUACUUGCUCCGCAAGUAAUGUUACUAUCGUGCUCAAUUUUUGACCGUUGGACUCGUGUUGCUCAGCCAUUGGCUGCUCCACAUGUCCAUUUCGGUCAUUUCCCUUUAAGGAAGGCCAUGGCUAUAAAUAGCCACCCCGCUCUAGCGUUGUUUGUUGGCUGCUCUGCUUAAGAUUUCUGAGAAGAUCAAUUGAGCAUCCCCUCUCCGAGUGAUUUGAGUUUAAGAUCCAUCGAGAGAAAAAUCAAGAGCCCGAACUUAGACAGUGGUUGAGCAUCACAGUAGUCCCGAGUUAGAGUUCGUGUACCUAUUACUCUUAAGAGCUGCUCAAUCUCUAGACGGAUAGGUUUUGGCUUGAAUGUUGAAGAGUUGUUUGUCUUCACUGAGCUAGAUCUUUAGCAACCAAGAGUGAUUGUGGUUUGCGAAGGUUGACUGAAGGUUUGGAGAUCACCAACAAGUAUAUACCACGAGCAAAAUCAACUGGAGUUUGAUCAGCUUCGAGUUGAAGGAAAAUAGGGCGAAGAGAGUUUAUAUUCCAUGUUAGGCCAGAACCCCUCCAACCAAACAUAGUCCUUUGGCAGAAGGGCGAACCGGUCUACCAAAUCUCUUUGUCGCCAUCGAGCACCACUGGUUCAAUCUACUUUACUGCAUUUCCUUCAGCAGUUUACUUUUGUUCUCUAUGUAGAUAGUUUAUCUGGUCUUUCACUAUCUGUUGCAAAUCAUUCGUCCCUGUCAUUUCCCUCAGUUAUACUUCUAUCCAUGUCAUAUUGUCUCAUCAUUCUGCUAUGACGUUUUAGUCUCUUUCAUAUUCUGUGUUGUUAUCAUUUACCUCGGUAGAGUUCUUUCUCUUAGUUAUCGUUCGUCCUUCAUAUCUCAUUCUCUGCCAUGAUACUCUACCAGUUUGCAUAUUGCAUUAUCAUCAUAGCCGUCAAACCAGUGAUAUCCUAUGCUCGAGCCAUAAUUGCUUCCUACAUUGAAGGUUUUGUUCCUCAAUAGUUAUCUUGUUUGAGUUUGUUUCUACCAAAACUUUAUUUCCACUGCUGUGAUUGGGAUCAGUUCAAAACAUUCACAAUAAUUUUUUUAAUCUCCCAUUCAACCCCCUGAGGGAUUCCUAGAUAAGGGGGUAUCCGGACAGCCGGACUAUGUACUUUGGCCGGACUAUUGGACUAUGAAGAUACAAGAUUGAAGACUUCGUCCCGUGUCUGGAUGGGACUCUCCUUUGCGUGGAAGGCAAGCUUGGUGAUUCGGAUGUAGAUCUCCUUCUCUGUAACCGACUCUGUGUAACCCUAGCCCCUCUGGUGUCUAUAUAAAUCGGAGGGUUUAGUCCGUUGGACAAGAACAAUCAUUCUAGGGUUUAUCCUCUACGAUCUCGUGGUAGAUCAACUCUUGUAAUACUCAUAUCAUCAAGAUCAAUCAAGCAGGAAAUAGGGUAUUAACUCCAUUGAGAGGGCCCGAACCUGGGUAAAACAUCGUGUCCCCAGUCUCCUGUUACCAUUAGCCUUAGAUGGACAGUUCGGGACCCCCUACCCGAGAUCCGCCGGUUUUGACACCGACGUUGGUGCUUUCAUUGAGAGUUUCUAUGUGUCAUCAUUGUAAGGCUCGAUGGCUCCUCCAACCUUCAACAACGCAGUCCAGGGUGAGAAUUUUCUUCCCGGACAAAUCUUCGUGUUCGGUGGCUUCGCACUGUGGGCCAAUUCGCUUGGCCAUCUGGAGCAGAUCGACAGCUACGCCCCUGGCCAUCAGGUCAGGUUUGGGAACCUGAAUUACACGGCCGAUGUCUGCAGAGACUUGAUCUUCGACGGAUUCGGGCCUGCACCGGGAGUACCGAACAGUCACGACGAGCAUGACUUAAAUCUGCUAUCGGACAGUAUUCGGGAUAUCGCCCCUGCAGCCUCUCCAGACCUAAAUCCGGGGCUGAUCGCGUCGACCGAGGACGGGUGGCUGGACCCCGCCAUGGAGGCCGCAUACUCUUCGGCGGUAGAGCCGAACACAGACUCCGCCAUUAAGGGGAUUUGUGUCACCGGACCCCGGGACCUGUGUCCGGACGUGGGUUCCGAACUGCGCACGCCCGGGCCCAUCAAGUCCGAUUGGGCUCCAGUAAUGGAGUUCACCCCCGCGGACAUCUUUCAGCACUCCCCCAGUGGCGAUGUGCUAAAUUCAUUAAGGUCUCUCACCCUUUCAGGAGAUUCCUGGAUGAACUAUGUCCGGCUCGAGUGGGAAGCAGGCGACAAAGAAAUUCGUUACCCACACACACCACCCACUUCAUAGCCACGGUCGAUGAUUUGACCGACGUGCUUAACUUCAACUCCGAAGACAUCGACAGUAUAGACGAUGAUGCAGGAGAAGAACAAGAACCACCGCCCACAAGGCGCUAGAUUGCCACCUCUUCAUAUGAUAUAUAUAUAUAUGGUGGACACCCCCAAAGAAAACAAUGGCGAUGAGGCAACAGAUAACCCCUCAGGGAAGAAAUCAAAGCAUGGGCGUCAUCAACGCCGCUCUAAGCCCCGCCACAGCAACACUGGCACUAGAGAAGAAAACAAUCUAGAGGGUACCGGAGAGGAAUACAAUCCUGAUCAGCCUACCUUCGAGCAGGCAGAACAAGAACAAGGGUAGGUCAGCCCAGAUAAACAGGCGACGGACGGAUACUUGGAGGAUGACAACUAUAUGCCUCCCUCCGAAGAUGAGGUGAGACUUGGCGACGACUAAUUCGGCGUACCGGAGGAUCCCAUGGAGCAGGAGCGCUUUAAGCACCAGCUUAUAGCCACUGCAGGAAGCCUGAAAAAGAAGAAGCAGCAGCUCCAAGCUGAUCAAGAUCUGCUCGCAGACAGAUGGACUGAGGUCCUGACAGCCGAGGAAUAUGAACUCGAGCCUACCACCAAGGGCUACCCAAACCACAAGUUGCUACCUCAGCUGGAGGAAGAGCCCGUAGAGCCUGCAUUACCAGCACAAGACGAGGCUGACCGGCCACCUCAUGGCUAGGAUAAAAUGACGUACCAGCCCGCACCCCCACGCCAGUUCACUACGGCCCGGGGCAAUACGCAGGACCUGCGAGAUAUAUUGGAAAACAAUGUAGGACAACCAAGAUCAAUCUGCGGAUCACGGGGGCGCACCACAGCACAUGACAAUGACCGUCAUACCGAAUACACUAGUAAUAAGUCCGGCCGGGCCGAACACAACCGACCAGAUCUAGUCAGAUUGCGUCGUGACAUAGCCUGGCACAGAGGCGCCGCACACCCCCUCUGCUUCACUGGUGAAGUAAUGGAUCAUGAAUUACCAGAAGGGUUUAAACCCAUCAACAUCGAAUCAUACGACGGCACAACAGACCCCGAGGUAUGGAUCAAAGAGUUCCUUCUCCACAUUCACAUGGCCCACGGUGAUGAUCUACAUGCCAUCAAGUAUCUCCCCCUUAAGCUUAAAGGACCAGCCAGACAAUGGCUGAAUAGCCUACCGGUGAACUCCGUCGGCAGUUGGGAAAAUCUCAAGGACGCAUUCCUCGACAACUUCCAAGGUACCUAUAGGCGACCGCCGGAUGCUGAUGACUUAGAUCACAUUAUCCAACAGCCCAGAGAGUCGGCCAGGAGACUCUGGACCCGGUUCCUACUAAAAAAGAACCAAGUCACCGACUGUCCGGACACCGAAGCCAUAGCAGCCUUCAAACACAGUAUCCGGGACGAGUGGCUCGUUUGACACCUCGGCCAAGAGAAACCAAAGUCCAUGGCGUCCCUAACAACACUCAUUACCGACUUUUGCGUGGGCAAAGAUAGCUGGCUGGCUCACAGCAACAAAGCAAACACCCCUGGCACAAUAGAGGCCAGAUAUAGCAUCCAUAAACAUCGACGCAACAAGCAUAAGCGUCCCAAGACUAAUGAUGAUGCCCGCGAGAUGGUAGUCAACGCCGGAUUCUGCGGCUCCCAGUUCGGUCAGUGGAAAAAGCCACUUCAGCAAGGCAAUUCGGGCCCAUCCAGCCUGGACCACAUCCUCAAUCGACCAUGCCACAUCCACGGUAAACCAGGAUCGGCAGCUAAACAGACAAAUAGAGAAUGUCGAGUCUUCAAAAAAGCCGGCCGGUCAUACAUCGAAAACAAUAAAGGGGUCUCAAAGCAAUGCAAUACAGAGCAAAAGAAACUCCUAUGCAAUCCAACACGGUGAGCGCUAUAAACAUCACCCUUGAGGUUGUCUCCGGAUCACCGAAUGAUCACCAUACCGAAGAAUCAGUCUUCGACACUAUCCCCCUAUACAGUAACUAUUACAUACUGCCGGGGUGAACCACGGUGGCUAGAUUCAACGUGGUACCAUACCAGGCCCACGUGACAUGGUCACAAUUAUGGGCAUGGCCGAACACCACUUCGGCGCCGAAAAGCAUAUGGCCACUGAAGCAGUGAAUUGUGCCACCUUGCCGAACCUCGAUUUGGCAGCCAACCCCUCGGACACCAAUAAAGCAGUCCAAACUACUUCAUGACAGGAUAGCUCGGCUCGACCAGCCGCCAGUCAAACACCCCGCUACAAGUUGGAAAGGGUCACGCCCUGCGGUUCAACCGCUCUGUGGCGCACAUACGUCUCUCAGCAUUUUCCUUGCAGGAUCUCUUCUGCGGAUAAUAGGACCGGCGCUAGGAAAUCAGCCCGGACGCGCAAAGGGGGAAUCUUUGAACAUUCCCCCGAAGACAAUCCGGACAUACUUCGGAUUCAUACACAGGGUACGCCGUCAUACCUCCUUUUUACAACAUGAACAGUACCCAUACGCAUAAACGUAUUACUUCAAUACAACAUGUAGAGAUAUAUGACACUUAUCCGCUAUCAUCUAUCAUUGACAUUUUUAGUCAUAAAAGGCAUCCGAAUAUCGUGUUAUGCCUUAAAACGCCAAGGGGCUUCAUUAUACCCGCACCAUGGCAACAAAGUCCGACCACCUUCUCAGUCGCUCGGCACCCCGAACUUAUAGCAUUAUAUGCAUUAGCUCCGAAUCAUGUCUUGGGUCAUUAGUUGGGUUUGCCCGGCUCCCAUGUUUUGGUACCUUAUGUUCCGUAAUAUCGGCUAAGGUAGCGUUGGGAGAACUACUGCGAUUGUGUCCCGGUUCUUCUGGACGAGCACCUCGGUAGAUAAAGCCGAAAACUGACUGUCAUGAUACGGCAAGAGCUGCUCAGCUGUUCGAGAGGUUAUAAAAUCUUUAAAGAUUCAUUCCGCAUAAUGCCAUAAUAAAUGCAGAGUGCGACAGAUUGGUUUAUCGAUCAGGUGCAGUUAGAGCCCCACGUGCGGUCUUCCGAACACCAGGGGCUGCGCCUACCAUACUUGAGAUCCUAUGGCUAAGUGCGAGUGAUAAAGACCUAUAGUCUGAUUCCCUGGUUCGCUGCGCUGAACAACUCCUUUGUGGACCCAAGAAUGGGGUUAAGAGUGUUCAGGUGUAUCCCGAACACCCCUGUAUUUCCUACGUGGGGGCAGAAGCUGACGACUGGCCAACUCUCAAGAUUAACAUAUAAAAACGGCCGCGAAGGAAGAAAAACUUUUUAUAUAAAAGGCAAGUAAAUAAAUAAAGGUGACUCUGUUCCGCCUUACAAAGGACAGCAUAAUUUCCUUCAGGGAAAUACAAUGUCUUUGGUACACUGCUCCGCUACAAGGCGGGCUCCUUUCAGGACACCAUCGUAAUAUAGUUCGGGCUUGCGGUGCUCCUUCCCCUCGGGUGGUCCCUCGGUCAUCAGCUUUUCAGCAUCCAGCUUUCCCCAGUGCACUUUCGCGCGGGCAAAUGCCAUUCGCACACCUCCUAUACAAACUGACCACUUAAUGGUGUCAAGCCGAGGACAGGCACUCACAAUUCGCUUCACGAGCCCAAAGUAACUACUCAGAAUAGGCUCGGCGGGCCAUAGCCGGACAAUCAGAUCCUUCAUGGCUAGUUCGGCCGCCUGGUGUAGUUCGACCAGCUAUUUCAGCUGAUCAACGAAUGGCACCGGAUAAUUCGGCGCCAAAUACUGUGACCAGAAAAGCUUGUCCGCAGUUUUCUUCUCCUCAGCUAGAUAGAAUUGAGCAGCAUCAGAUAUGCUGCGCGGAAGAUCCGCAAACGCCCCUAGAGAAAUCAGAAGUCAAUUUGUCACCUCGAAUUUUUCUAUUACGGCAUCAACAAAUGCUCUAAAUAGGAAAAGGCCUUACCAGCCGUAAUCUUCCUCGCCUCCUGAAUGUCCUUUAGAUCACCUUGGGCUUCCUCACGAGCAUCAGCUACGGUUUGGAGAGCUUGGGUGAGUUCGGAUUCUUUCAAUAAUAGACCCUGCUCCAAAGUCUCGCUUUUCUGCACGGCCUCGUGAAGCUCUCGUUCAACUUCAAUGACCCUGGCCACGUGCUUCUCGCGAAGGGCCUGUUCCGCGGCUGCCUUCUUUUUGGCCAAGUCCACAGCCUUCUUCAAUGCCAAAAUUUCGGCAUUCGCCCCUAGAGCAUGCAAUAUACAUACUUUCAUUAGGCACACCUACUUUAUUGUGCUAAAAUUAAACAAGGUUUCGACAUACCUCGGUGGUCCUCCAACUGCUUCUUCACCUGGCCAAGUUCUUCUUCGGACCGCUCCAGACUCUGCUUCAGUCUGGAUACUUCCGCAGUAUGAGAGGCGGCAGUCGUCGCAGACGCCUGUUUUUAAAGGAAGAGAUUUAUGUCAUUGAGUCUCUUGUGGGAGGAAAUUUGAUCCCAUGUCCGGUUCCUUCUUUUACCGGACACUGUAUCAGGGGCUACUAUCUAUACUAUGACAAAUCUUCUAAAAACUUACCUCCAAGCCUUUUAUAAGGCUGAUGCAAGAUUCAUUCAGUCCGCUUUCAGCGGCCUGAACCUUCUCAAUCACCACGCCCGUAAGGGCGCGAUGUUCAUCGACGAUGGAAGCGCUCUUUAGCGCCAUCAAUAAGAUGCCCUGCACCUCUGGUCGGGCAGAGGUUGUCGGUGGAGCAGGAUCACCUCCUCUAGUCAAGGGGAGCUGCCCGUCUAAACCCAGAGCCUCAAAGGUCUCUGGGACUGUGUCCGACUGUGGGCCGAAUCCAAGAUCACCCCUGCCAUCGACACUCAGUGGAGCCGCUGCUCCCGUAUGUCCGGCCCCUGAGGUACGCCCCUCUUGGUUUAGCUCCUUUUGGGAUGACACCUCGGUGUCAUGCCUGAGCUUCGGGGAAGCGUCCCUCAGGGGUGUCUCGCUCUUAAGGGCAUCUAAGCUCAACGAAUCCUCCGAUGAGGACUGUUCGGCGCGAGACCUGGCCGGGCUGCAAAAAAUAUGGCACCAAUUAAUUUAUUCGCACCUUGAUAAUCCUGCAAGCAUAGACAUGUUUGGGUUUUGUACACUUACGAGUUUUCCAGGGGCUGGGCCCUGGGAUCCCACUCUGGGCUGUUGUCGGUAGCCGUAGUGGACGCCUCUGGCAGGGGAUUUUUUCCCCUCUUAGGCAAUUCGGCCUCCAGGGAUGAGGAGGUCGUCCUUUUCUUUCCUCCCCCCGUAGGGGAUUCAUCUUCCUGUUCAGAGGGGAGAGGGGUAUUGGAGUCUUCGGAUUUUGUGUCUGAAGCCCCACGACGACGCAGGCCACCCCUGGUCUCCUUGGCCUCUUUAUGGGCCUCUUUCUUUGGCGCCUUGUAGGGCGCUGGGACCAGCAUCUUCGUCAGAAGAGGUCUGGCUGGUUCUUCUGGCAGCGGGGUUGGACAGUGUAUCCGCCCCGCCUUCUUCGUCCAUCCCUGAGAUAAUUGCGAGAAGCGCGUUAGGGCAUCUUCCCCGGGAUAUGACAAUGGAACUUAUGGAUGGACAAAAUAUAAUGACUACUUACCGGACUUGCGGGGCAGGACAGUUGGUACCCGCGGUCCGCGGCGGAGUCCGGCCACGGUUUACCAGACUUAAAAAGCACCUUCCAGAUAUACUUGUGUGAGGAGCCAUAAAGUUCCCGCAGGAUGUGGUGCUCGGUUGGGUCGUACUCCCACAAAUUGCAGGCCCGGUGCUGACAGGGAAGAACCAGGCGGACCAGCAUCACCUGGACUACGUCAACAAGCUUGACGGCCUUGUCUUCCAUACCUUUGACACGUGUCUGGAUCACCGACAGUUCGUCAGGUGAAGACCAGUUCAAGCCCUUCUCGGGCCAGGACAUGAGCUGCAAAGGGGCUCCGAAUUGGAACUCAGGAGCUGCGGCCCACUUUUCGCCGCGUGACUCAGUGAUAUAGAACCAUUGUUGCUGCCACUCCUUGACAGAAUCAUUGAAAGUACCUGUCGGCCAAGUUACCUUGGGCAUCCUGCUCACCAUGGCACCUCCGCACUCGACAUGCUCGCCGUUCACCACCUUGGGCUUCACAUUGAAGAUCUUCAGCCAUAAGCUGAAGUGUGGCGUGAUGCGGAGAAAGGCCUCGCACGCGACAAUGAGCAUCGAGAUGUUGAGAAAGGAAUUGGGGGAUAGAUCGUGGAAAUCGAACCCGUAAUAAUACAUGACGCCACAAACAAAUGGGUGAAGGGGAAACCCGAGCCCGCGGACAAAAUGAGGGAGGAACACGACCCUCUCAUGGGGCUCCGGAGUAGGGACAAUCUGUCCCGCCGCCGGAAGGAGGUGGCCGGUUUUCGGGGCCGGGUACCCGGCCUCCCGAAGCUUUUUGAUAUCCUUCUCCUAGACGGUAGAGGCCAUCCACUUGCCUCCUGCUCCGGAUCCAGACAUUUUCAGAAGAACCUUCGUUGGUGGAGAAGAUGAACGCUCGGGCGUUAGGGCUCAAGCGAAAGAAAAUGGACGAGAAGAAGGAGAAGGCGUGAGUAAAAAGGAAGAGGCCUUUCCUAUUUAUAGAGGCAAUGAAACCCUACGCCUCCCCGCUGGCCUAAUGAAACCUGCUCGUUCCCCACUCACCAUGUUUGGUGGUGCGGUUGGGUUACCCACACCCGUAUUGAUGAUAAUCCCGCGAUAAGGGGGACACGAUUUCUGCUUUGACAAGAUGUGCCAUAGAAACCGCCUCGCAAGGUGUGCGGUGGCUGGUUAUAAAAAACGGUUCGAAUAAAAGCCGGGCCAUGGCGUGAUGACACGCUACGAAGAGUCGUCAGCAGAUUGGAUUCAUGGAUUAUUGUUCUCUCUACGGUGGUAUGUGAAAUUUGUCUUGCAGAGCCGGACACGGUCCUCCUGUUCGGAAUUUAUCUUGGAGUAUUCGGAGAUGGAACCCGCCUUGCAAUGUCGAAGACAAUCUGCAUGCCAGACUCAUCGUCAUUGAAGCCUGGUUCAGGGGCUACUGAGGGAUUCCUGGAUAAGGGGGUAUCCGGACAGCCAGACUAUUGGACUAUGAAGAUACAAGAUUGAAGACUUUGUCCCGUGUCCGGAUGGGACUCUCCUUUGCGUGGAAGGCAAGCUUGGCGAUUCGGAUGUAGAUCUCCUUUGUAACUAACUCUGUGUAACCCUAGCCCCCUUCGGUGUCUAUAUAAAUCGGAGGGUUUAGUCCAUGGGACAAGAACAAUCAUACCAUAGGCUAGCUUAUAGGGUUUAGCCUCGAUGAUCUCGUGGUAGAUCAACUCUUGUAAUACUCAUAUCAUCAAGAUCAAUCAAGCAGGAAGUAGGGUAUUACCUCCAUCGAGAGGGCCUGAACCUAGGUAAAACAUCAUGUCCCCAGUCUCGUGUUACCAUUAGCCUUAGACGCACAGUUCGGGACCCCCUACCCGAGAUCCGUCGGUUUUGACACCGACACCCCCCUUUGGUCGAUAUAGCACUACUGCAGGAUGCUGCUAACACGACACUACGAUCAGAGACCCUUCGACGAAACUGUGUGUGAUGCAAUAAUCGCAAACGGUGGUGUAAAAAUACCAUCAAAAAAGGUGGAAAACAUUUGCGAUGGCGGAGACAUCAAAUAUGGAUCAGAUUUUACUUGUGUGUGUGAUGAUGGGCAUACGAUUGAUCCAGCAGAACUGUUCGCGAUGAGGAAGAACAACAGAAAUGGGCAGCCAUAUCAAUGUGUGUGCGAUAUACGGCAUACAGUUUGCUCCGAUGAACUGUGUGCUAUUAGGGAAUGCAACAGAAACAGUCAGCCAGAUCAAGGUGCGUGUGAUAUACAGCAUACGGUUCACUCGGACAAACUGUUUUCGAUUAGGCAAGAGAACGGAAACGGUUCAUCUUACCAAGAUGUGUGUGAUAUGCGGCAUUUGCGAUCAGCCAAAAGAACACAAACGAUUCAUGUAAACCAGAUGUGUGUGAUAAGCAGCAAACAGCCCACUCGGAUGAACUAUCUGUGAUGAGAAAUUAUAACACAGACAGUUACUAUAGUAAGUUCGUGUGCGAUUCUGUUCGUACAAAAAACUUUGAAAAAUGCAAAGUAGUUACUUGCAUAUAAACAAUUAUCAAAAAGUAACGAGAUAGACCUUCUUCAAGCCAAUCAACAUGUGUUCAAAAAACAAAAAAUGUAAAAAAUUACAAAACAAAGACCUUGAUAGACCUUGCUGAUGUAGAUCCCUCUUUGCAACCUUUAUUGCGCAACACAACAGAAACGGUUCAACUGAACAAUAUGUGUCUGAUACGCGGCAAACAGGUCCGUGAUCAGAAACGUGUGCGCAGACCAAUAAUAACACAGAUAAUUGCUGCUAAUAAGCCAUGUGAUUUGCUAUGUCUACAGAAGAAUAACAUGUAUAUAUAUAACUGAAAUAAACAUCCAAUUACAUAAGUGACUAUACAGAUCAUUCACAUAUACCUCAAUAAACAAUUGCAUGCAUUCUAAAGUAGGAGAAAUGAUCGUCUAGUCAUCUACUUCUUAUGACACUCCCGCCACUGCUCUGUGGCUCGAUCCCUCGUCUGAGGCAUGAAGAAGACACUUCCUCAUGUCAACGAUCCGCCUGUACAUCUUGUAGCUUGUGUACGCAUCCUUAGCCGCGUACUUGAUGUGUUGUUCAUCCAGUCUCUCAUGCCAAACACUGUGCCAGGCGAUCUUGUCCUUCUUGCUCUCAUCCUUCAUCUUCAUGUAGUAGGGGUCGACGAUGGCCGAGGCGAGGUCAAGCGAGGAGUUCAUUUUGUUGUUGUCACUGCCCCAAACCUUGUAGUGGUCCUGGAUGUUGACAAGAUUCCGGCAUUUCAAGCCCGAAACCUUGAGCACUUUUAGAUCAUUGGUGGUGUCCACCGUAGCGAAAUUGUAGUCAGAGCUGUUGAUAAACCUGGAGAAACGCUCGCAAGGCCUUGUGGCCAGGUGGUAGUGGUAGACGAGGACGUCAUGUCGCAUGCACAAAUGGGCGACGGCAACCUUCUAAUAUUUCCCGGCACGACCGAUGGUGUACUCGAGGUCGAAGCCGACCACUUGGUACUUGUCCUCGGCAAGGAACUGCUCCAUAGUUUAGAUGGAGCUGUCCACUGACACCGGAUCAUUCGUGUACACCACCGAGAGGGCCUUCCCCCUCACGUGGGUGUCCACUAUGUGAUGCAUGUUGAACUGCCCGCCGUUGUCGUCGUCGGCUGCUAGGAGCGCCAUUGGAGCCACAGGGAUCGCCAUUGGAACCGCUGGAUGUCCUUGUUGUAUGUGUCGUUGUGGAGGUGCUUAUUGUGUCGUGUGACGCGAGAGAUGAAGGUAAAUGACCACAGGAAUAAAUGGGGGGCGGGCAGCCUGGACUCUCAGCACGUCCAUGUGGCAGUUUUUGCAGUGGGUAACUGCAUUGUCGAACCGCGCCUGGCGCAACCGCAUGCACACGAACGUGCGUGAUCAUGCACCGUCCCCAAACACUGGCAGCGCACGUGGAGGGAUGAGGGCAAAGCACCUAGAGGGACGCGAGAGUAGAGUGCAUGCGGCGGGACGCGAGAAGAGCGCACCGCGGCCGCCUCAACCGCAAGCAACCACACGCAUAGAGCAGUUGAACACGCAGGAAAUGGUCACCUACAAGCCGGCCGACACUUGUGUCGCUGCGUAGAGACCGGCCGUGUGCUACUACCUCCAUCUUGGUCUAUAGUCCCCUUUAUAUUAUGUGCCAUACUUUGCCCUCAAAUUUAAUCAACAAAAUGUUAAUGCGUGUUAUAAAAAUUAUAUAAUUGGAAACUAAGUUCAAAUACGAAUCCAACUAUAUAAUCUUUGGUGACAUGCAUUCUUAUUUUAUUAGUUAAAUCCUACUUAUAAACUAGGACGGGUGUAUAGUAGGUAAUUCAAAUGCAAACAUUUUUUGUAUUAACCGUAUGUGUAGGUGGCCUUUCAUCCUCCUCUCGCACGUCUUGUCACCCUGCUGCCGCAGACGGCUUACAGCACAAGCUUGCGCAGCACGGAGGAGCAUUGGCGCCAAUGAAUCAUCGGUGAGCCCAUUCCCGCGCAACCUAAAAGGUUCCCGCGCAAGCUUCCCGCCCGACUAGAUGAAAUCCCCCAAAAUCCCAAUACUUACAGGCCUGCUAUAAAAACCCUCAUGGUCGGGGAGUCCUGCGAUGCAUUUCCCCUUCCUCCCUGUAGCUUAUCUCGUCUACUUAUCCCACAAUCGCCAAUGGCACCGGUCCGUCAUGGUCACUCGGCCACUCCACCGUCAUCAGAUGACAGCUCCAGCUGGGAGGCUACACCACGGCGGUGGCGCAGUCCUCAGUGAAGUGUAGUGCGCGUGGCAUCCCUGUUGGAUUUGCGCGGAACACCCACCACACGCUCUGCCGCCGGUGCCCGUCGGUAGCUGUUGUCGGCCGUCGUUGCCGCCACACCACCAUCGAAAGCUAGGGCCAUCGCCCGCUCCGCUGCCGCGGCCUGAAGGAGGGAGGUGGCUGUCAUGGCCGCCACCCCACUGUCGGCCACUGUGGCCAUCACCCGCUCCGCCAUCGCGGCCCGAAGGCGGGAGGUGGUGGUCGUGGCCGCCACCCCAUCAUUGGCCGCCGUGGCCGCCAGCCCACCAUCGACUGCCGGGGUCAUCACCCGCUCCCCCACCGCCGCCUGAAGGCGGGAGGCCGAGGUGGAUGCCGGAACGUGUGUCAGCGACCUUGCGCACUACACCGAGUUCCUGCGGGAGGAGGAGGAGCGCCUCGUCAAGCACGCAAAGAGCUUUACCACCGCCAUGGCUGCCGCACACGCCGCCUCGGAGGCGAGGAAUCAGGAGAUCUACGAGGAGAACCACCGCUUCGAGAGGGGUGGUACGUCUCCAAUGUAUCUAUAUUUUUUUAUUGUUCCAUGCUAUUAUAUUACCCCUUUUGUAUGUUUAUGGGUUAUUUUACAUUUAUAUCAUUUUUGGGACUAACCUACUAACCGGAGGCCCAGCCCGUAUUGCUGUUUUUUUGCCUAUUUCAGUAUUUCGAAGAAAAGGAAUAUCAAACGGAGUCCAAACGGAAUGAAACCUUCGGGAGCGUGAUUUUUGGAACAAACGUGAUCCAGAGGACUUGGAGUGCAAGCCAAGAAGCAGCUGAGAAGGCCACGAGAUAGGAGGGCGCGCCCACCCCUACAGGGCGUGCCCCCCUGUCUCGUGGGCCCCUCGAGCGGCCACCGACCUACUUCUUCCUCCUAUAUAUACCCACGUACCCCGAAAACAUCCAAGGAGCCAACGAAAAACAAUUUCCAACAUUGUAACCUUCUGUACCCGCAAGAUCCCAUCUUGGAGCCUUCGCCGAUGCUCCGCCGGAGGGGGGAUCGACCAUGGAGGGCUUCUACAUCAACACCAUAGCCCCUUCGAUGAGUUGUGAGUAGUUUACCACAAACCUUCGGGUCCAUAGUUAUUAGCUAGAUGGCUUCUUCUCUCUUUUUGGAUCUCAAUACCAUGCUCUCCCCCUCUCUUGUGGAGAUCUAUUCAAUGUAACUCUUUUUGCGGUGUGUUUGUCGAGAUCCGAUGAAUUGUGGGUUUAUGAUCAAGUUUAUCUAUGAGAAAUAUUUGAAUCUCCUCUGAAUUCUUUUAUGUAUGAUUGAGUUAUCUUUGCAAGUCUCUUCGAAUUAUCAGUUUGGUUUGGCCUACUAGAUUGAUCUUUCUUGCCAUGGGAGAAGCACUUAGCUUUGGGUUCAAUCUUGCGGUGUCCUUACCCAGUGACAGCAGGGGUUGCAACGCACGUAUUGUAUUGUUGCCAUCGAGGAUAAAAAGAUGGGGUUUAUAUCAUAUUGCUUGAGUUUAUCCCUCUACAUCAUGUCAUCUUUCUUAAUGGGUUACUCUGUUCUUAUGAACUUAAUACUCUAGAUGCAUGCUGGAUAGCGGUCGAUGUGUGGAGUAAUAGUAGUAGAUGCAGGCAGGAGUCGGUCUACUUGUCACGGACGUGAUGCCUAUAUACAUGAUCAUGCCUAGAUAAUCUCAUAAUUAUUCGCUUUUCUAUCAAUUGCUCGACAGUAAUUUGUUCACCCACCGUAAUACUUAUGCUAUCUUGAGAGAAGCCACUAGUGAAACCUAUGGCCCCGGGUCUAUCUUUUAUCAUAUAAGCUUUCCAUCUACUUUUAUUUGCAUCUUUACUUUUCCAAUCUAUAUUAUAAAAUACCAAAAAAUAUUUAUCUUAUCGUAUUGUCUCUAUCAGAUCUCACUUCCGCAAGUGGCAGUGAAGGGAUUGGCAACCCCUUUAUUGCGUUGGUUGCGAGUUCUUUGUUUGUUUGUGUAGUUGCGUGGGACUUUUGAGGAGCCUCCUACUGGAUUGAUACCUUGGUUCUCAAAAAUUGAGGGAAAUACUUAUGCUACUAUUGCUGCAUCACCCUUUCCUCUUCAAGGAAAACCAACACAAGAUCAAGACGUAGCAAGAAGGAUUUCUGGCGCUGUUGCCGGGGAGGUCUUCGCUCAAGUCAAGACAUACCAAGUACCCAUCACAAACUCAUCUCCCUCGCAUUUACAUUAUUUGCCAUUUGCCUCUCAUUUUCCUCUCCCCCACUUCACCCUUGUCGUUUUAUUCGCCCUCUCUUUCCCAAUCUUCUCCUCUCUUUUUGGCUUGCCUUUUUUCUGUUUGCUUGUGUGUUGGAUUACUUGUUGCCAUGGCGCAAGAUAAUACCAAAUUGUGUGAUUUCUCCAAUACCAAUAAUAAUGAUUUCCUUAGUACUCCGAUUGUCCCUCUUAAUGAUGUUGAGUCUUGUGAAAUCAAUACUGCUUUGCUGAAUCUUGUUAUGAAAGAUCAUUUCGCCGGCCUUCCUAGUGAAGAUGCCGCUACCCAUCUAAACAACUUUGUUGAGUUGUGUGAUAUGCAAAAGAAGAAAGAUACGGAUAAUGAUAUUGUUAAAUUGAAAUUAUUUCCAUUUUCACUUAGAGAUCAUGCUAAAGUUUGGUUUUCGUCUUUGCCUAAAAAUAGUAUUGAUUCUUGGAACAAGUGCAAAGAUGCUUUUAUCUCUAAGUAUUUUCCUCCCGCUAAGAUCAUCACUCUUAGGAACGAUAUUAUGAAUUUUAAACAACUUGAUCAUAAGCAUGUUGCCCAAUAUUGGGAAAGAAUGAAAUUGAUGAUUCGCAAUUGCCCUACUCAUGGUUUGAAUUUAUGGAUGAUCAUACAAAAAUUUUAUGCCGGUUUGAACUUUGCUUCUAGAAAUAUUUUAGAUUCGGCCACGGGAGGCACGUUUAUGGAAAUCACUUUAGGAGAUGCUACAAAACUUCUUGAUAAUAUUAUGGCUAAUUAUUCUCAAUGGCACACCUAAAGAUCUUCUAGUAAAAAAGUGGAUGCUAUAGAAGAAAGCAAUGUCUUGAGUGGAAAGAUGGAUGAACUUAUGAAGUUGUUUGCUACUAAAAAUACUCCUAUUGAUCCCAAUGAAUCUAUGGAUGUGAAUUUUGUUGGUAGGAAUAGUUUUGGAAACAAUGCCUAUAGAGGAAACUUUAAUUCUAGACCGUUCCCUAGUAAUUCCUCUAAUAAUUAUGGAAAUUCCUACAAUAAUUCUUAUGGUAAUUUUAAUAAUAUGCCCUCUGAUUUUGAGAAUAGUGUGAAAGAAUUUAUGAUUUCUCAAAAGAAUUUUAAUGCCUUGCUUGAAGAAAAAUUACUCAAAGUUGAUGAUUUGGCUAGGAACAUUGAUAGACUUUCGCUUGAUGUUGAUUCUCUUAAACAUAGAUCUACUCCUCCUAAGCAUGAUAUCAAUGAGUCUCUGAAAGCCAUGAGAAUUUCCAUUGAUGAGUGCAAGGAAAGAACCGCUAGAUUGCGUGCUAAGAAAAAUUGCUUUGUAAAGGCAUGUUCUUCUAGUUUCCAUGAAAAUAAUGAUGAAGAUCUUAAAGUUAUUGAUGUGUCUCCUAUUAGAUCUUUGUUUUGCAAUAUGAAUCUUGAUAAUAAUGGGACUGGAUAUGAGUCAACUUUAGUUAGAAGGCGUCCCAAUAAUUCGGAGUUUUUAGAUCUUGGUGCUAAAUUUGGUAAAAGUGGGAUUGGAGAGGUCAUGACUUUAAAUAGCAUUGAACCCACUAUCUCAGAUUUCAAGGAAUUUGAUUAUGAUAAUUGUUCUUUAGAAGGUUGUAUUUCCUUGUUGCAAUCCGUUUUUAAUUCUCCUCAUGCUUAUAGUCAAAAUAAAGCUUUUACCAAACAUAUCAUUGAUGCCUUGAUGCAAUCUUAUGAUGAAAAAAUUAAUUUGGAAGUUUCUAUACCUAGAAAACUUAAUGAUGAGUGGGAACCUAUUAUAAAGAUUAAAAUUAAAGAUCAUGAGUGUUUUGCUUUAUGUGAUUUGGGUGCUAGUGUUUCCACAAUUCCGAAAAUUUUAUGUGAUAUUCUAGGUUUCCAUGAUCUUGAUGAUUGCUCUUUAAAUUUGCACCUUGCGGAUUCCACCAUUAAAAAGCCAAUGGGAAGGAUCAAAGAUGUUCUCAUUGUCACAAAUAGAAAUUUGGUGCCCGUAGAUUUUAUCGUUCUUGAUAUAGAUUGCAAUCUUUCUUGCCCUAUUAUUCUUGGUAGACCUUUCCUUAGAACGAUUGGUGUGAUUAUUGAUAUGAAGGAAGGGAAUAUUAGAUUCCAAUUUCCAUUAAGGAAAGGCAUGGAGCACUUUCCAAGAAAGAAAGUCAAAUUACCUUAUGAAUCUAUCAUGCGAGCUACUUAUGAAUUGAGUGCCAAAGAUGGCACUGCUUAGAUCUAUCUUCGCUUUUAUGCCUAGCUAGGGGCGUUAAACGAUAGCGCUAGUUGGGAGGCAACCCAAUUUUAUUUGUGUUUUUUGUUUUUGUUUCUGUUUAGUAGUAAAUUUUGCAUCUACCUUCUGUUUAGAUGUGUUUUUAUGUUUUAAUUAGUGUUUGUGCCAGGUAGAACCUAUAGGAUAACCUAUGGUGAUAGUUAAUUUGAUUCUGCUGAAAAACAGAAACUUUGCACGCACGAAAUUAGUUUUGUUAAAUCACAGAAACGUGAUUUUGUGUUCAUUAUUUUUGCUGCUUAUCAAUAGACAAAUUUCCCAGGACUUCCUAUUUUGGUAGGAUUUUAAAGUUCCAUAAGUUUGCGUUAGUUACAGAUUGCUAUAGACUGUUUUUUUUUACAGAUUCUGUUUUUCGUGUGUUGUUUGCUUAUUUUGAUGCAUCUAUGGCUAGUAUUAAGAGGUAUGAACCAUAUAGAACUUGGAAUACAAUAGGUUUAACACCAAUAUAAAUAAAGAAUGAUUUCAUUACAGUACCUUAUGUGGUGGUUUUGUUUUCUUUCACUAACGGAGCUUAUGAGAUUUCCUGUUGAGUUUUGUGUUGUGAAGUUUUCAAAUUUUGGGUAAAGAUUUGAUGGACUAUGGAAUAAGGAGUGGCAAAAUCCUAAGCUUGGGGAUGCCCAUGGCACCCCAAGAUAUUAAAGAAUAGCCAAAAGCCUAAGCUUGGGGAUGCCCCGGGAAGGCAUCCCCUCUUUCGUCUUCGUUCAUUGAUAACUUUACUUGGAGCUAUAAUUUUAUUCGCCACAUGAUAUGUGUUUUGCUUGGAGCGUCGUGUAUUAUAUUAGUAUUUGCUUUUUAGUUCCCCACAAUAAUCCUUGCUGUACACACCUUUUGGGAUAAUCCUACUUGAUUAGAAUUUAUUAGAAUACUCUAUGUGCUUCACUUAUAGCAUUUUAGCUAGAUAGUUUUUGCUCUAGUGCUUCACUUAUAUCUUUUAGAGCACGGCGGUGGCUUAAUUUUCUAGAAAUUGCUACUCUCUCAUGAUUCACUUAUAUUAUUUUGAGAGUCUCUUAGAACAGCAUGGUAUUUGCUAUGGUUAUAAAAUUGGUCCUAGAAUGGUAGGCAUCCAAGUUGGGUAUAAUAAAAACUAUCAUAGGAAGUGAAUUGGAUGCUAUGAUCAAUUUGAUAGUUGAUAAUUGUUUUGAGAUGUGGAGGUAGUGAUAUUAAAGUCAUGCUAGUUGGGUGAUUAUGAAUUUAAAGAAUGCUUGUAUUGAAGUUAGCAAGUCCCGUAGCAUGCAUGUAUGGUUAAAGUUGUGUAACAAAUUUGAAACAUGAAGUGUACUUGGAUUGUGCAUCCUUAUGAGUGGCGGUCGGGGACGAGCGAUGGUCUUUUCCUACCAAUCUAUCCCCCUAGGAACAUGCACAUAGUGCUUGGUUUUUGAUGACUUCUAAAUUUUUGCAAUAAGUAUAUGAGUUCUUUUGACUAAUGUUGAGUCCAUGGAUUAUACGCACUUUUACCUCUCCAUCAUUGCUAGCCUCUUCGGUACCGUGCAUUGCCCUUUCUCACCUUGAGAGUUGGUGCAAACUUUGCCGGUGCAUCCAAACCCCGUGAUAUGGUACACUCUAUCACACAUAAACCUCCUUAUAUCUUCCUCAAAACAGCCACCAUACCUACCUAUUAUGACAUUUCCAUAGCCAUUCCGAGAUAUAUUGCCAUGCAACUUUCCACCGUUCCGUUUAUCAUCAUGACACGCAUUACUUUUGUCAUAUUGCCAUUGCAUGAUCAUGUAGUUGACAUCGUAUUUGUGGCAAAGCCACCAUGCAUAAUUUUUCAUACAUGUCACUCUUGAUUCAUUGCACCAUCCCGGUACACCGCCGGAGGCAUUCAUAUAGAGUCAUAUCUUGUUCUAGUUUUGAGUUGUAAUUCAUGUGUUGUAAUCAAUAAAAGUGUGAUGAUCAUCAUUAUUAGAGCAUUGUCCCCAAAAAAAAGAAAAAAAGGAUAAAAAAAGGAAAGGCCAAAAGAAAAAAAAGGCCAAAGAAAAAAAAUAAAAAAAUAAAAAGGGGGCAAUGUUACUAUCUCUUUUUCCACACUUGUGCUUCAAAGUAGCACCAUGUCCUUCGUAUAGCGAGUCUCAUUUAUUGUGCUUCAAAGUAGCACCAUGUUCUUCACAUAGUGAGUCUCAUAUAUUGUCACUUUCAUAUACUAGUGGGAAUUUUUCAUUAUAGAACUUGCCUUGUAUAUUCCUACGAUGGGCUUCCUCAAAUGCCCUAGGUCUUCCUGAGCAAGCAAGUUGGAUGCGCACCCACUAGUUUUCUUUUGUUGAGCUUUCAUUCAUUUAUAGCUCUAGUGCAUCUGUUGCAUGGCAAUUCCUACUCCUCAUAUUGACAUCAAUUGAUGGGCAUCUCCAUAGCCCGUCGAUUAUCCUCGUCAAUGUGAGACUUUCUCCAUUUUUUGUCUUCUCCACACAAUCCCCAUCAUCAUAUUCUAUUCCAACCAUAGUGCUAUAUCCAUGGCUCACGCUCAUGUAUUGCGUGAAAGUUGGAAAAGUUUGAGAUUAUUUAAGUACGAAACAAUUGCUUGGCUUGUCAUCGGGGGUGUAGAAUUUAGGAACAUUUUUGUGUGACGGAAAUGAAGCAUAGCCUAACUAUAUGAUUUUGUAGGGAUGAACUUUAUUUAGCCAUGUUAUUUUGAGAAGACAUGAUUGCUUUUAUUAGUAUGCUUGAAGUAUUACUAUUUCUUAUGUCAAUAUGAACUUUUAUUUUGAAUCAUUUGGAUCUGAACAUUCAUGCCACAAUAAAGAAAAUUAUAUUGAGAAUUAUGCUCGUAGCAUUCCACAUCAAAAAUUCUGUUUUUAUCAUUUACCUACUUGAGGACGAGCAGAAAUUAAGCUUGGGGAUCCUUGAUACGUCUCCAACGUAUCUAUAAUUUUUGAUUGUUCCAUGCUAUUAUAUUAUCCCUUUUGGAUGUUUAUGGGCUUUGUUUUACACAUUUAUAUCAUUUUUCGGAAUAACCUACUAACCGGAGGCCCAGCCCGUAUUGCUGGGGUUUUUUUUUGCCUAUUUCAAUAUUUCGGAGAAAAGGAAUAUCAAACGGAGUCCAAACGGAAUGAAACCUUCGGGAGCGUGAUUUUUGGAACGAACGUGAUCCAGAGGACUUGGAGUGCAAGCCAAGAAGCAGCCGAGGCGGCUACGAGAUAGGAGGGCGUGCCCCCCUGUCUCGUGGGCCCCUCGGGCGGCCACCAGCCUACAUCUUCCUCCUAUAUAUACCCACGUACCCCGAAAACAUCCAAGGAGCCAACGAAAAACAAUUUCCACCACCGUAACCUUCUGUAUCCGUGAGAUCCCAUCUUGGAGCCUUCGUGGGCGCUCCGCCGGAGGGGGAAUCGACCACGGAGGGCUUCUACAUCAACACCAUAGCCCCUCCGAUGAGUUGUGAGUAGUUUACCACAGACAUUCGGGUCCAUAGUUAUUAGCUAGAUGGCUUCUUCUCUCUUUUUGGAUCUCAAUACCAUGUUCUCCCCCUCUCUUGUGGAGAUCUAUUCGAUGUAACUCUUUUUGCGGUGUGUUUGUCGAGAUCCGAUGAAUUGUGGGUUUAUGUUCAAGUUUAUCUAUAAGAAAUAUUUGAAUCUCCUCUGAAUUCUUUUAUGUAUGAUUGAGUUAUCUUUGCAAGUCUCUUCGAAUUAUCAGUUUGGUUUGGCCUACUACAUUGAUCUUUCUUACCAUGGGAGAAGUGCUUAGCUUUAGGUUCAAUCUUGCGCUGUCCUUACCCAGUGACAACAGGGGUUGCAACGCACGUAUUGUAUUGUUGCCAUCGAGGAUAAAAAGAUGGGGUUUAUAUCAUAUUGCUUGAGUUUAUCCCUCUACAUCAUGUCAUAUUUCUUAAUGCGUUACUCUGUUCUUAUGAACUUAAUACUCUAGAUGCAUACUGGAUAGCGGUCGAUGUGUGGAGUAAUAGUAGUAGAUGCAGGCAGGAGUCGGUCUACUUGUCACGGACGUGAUGCCUAUAUACAUGAUCAUGCCUAGAUAAUCUCAUAAUUAUUCGCUUUUCUAUCAAUUGCUCGACAGUAAUUUGUUCACCCACCGUAAUACUUAUGCUAUCUUGAGAGAAGCCACUAGUGAAACCUAUGGCCCCGGGGUCUAUCUUUUAUCAUAUAAGCUUUCAAUCUACUUUUAUUUACAUCUAUACUUUUCCAAUCUAUAUUAUAAAAUACUAAAAAUAUAUUUAUCUUAUCAUAUUAUCUCUAUUAGAUCUCACUUUCACAAGUGGCCAUGAAGGGAUUGACAACCCCUUUAUUGCGUUGGUUGCGAGUUCUUUGUUUGUUUGUGUAGGUGUGUGGGACUUUUGAGGAGCCUCCUACUGGAGUGAUACCUUGGUUCUCAAAAACUGAGGGAAAUACUUACGCUACUAUUGUUGCAUCACCCUUUCCUCUUCAAGGAAAACCAACGCAAGCUCAAGACGUAGCAAGGGGUUGUCUGGAGUGGCAGAGGGUGUUCGAGGUGAGCGUUGCUGAAGUUGCAGCAGCGGCCGGCACCGUAUUGCAGUUGUCCAGCUCGUCGGUAGGCUCCUCUAAACUCGGGCAUGGGCAGCCCGGCCCGACGACCCGGCCCGAGCCUGGCCCGAAAAACCCGGUCUGGGCCGGGCCGGGCUUGACAUUCGGGUCGGGCUCAGGCUUUGUUUUGCAGCCCAAAAGAUAGUUCGGGCCGGGCUCGGGCUUCAAUUUUUCCAUAUUUCGGGUCAGGCUUGCACGUGCGCGUACUAAAAACAGCAUUCGGGAUGGGCUUUCGGGCUUUGGGCUUGAUUAUGGGCCGGGCUCGGGCUUGAAAAUAUGGAGUAUUUCGGGCUUCGGGCCGGGCUCGGGCUUGAGAAAUGAAGGUCGGGCUUUUACAAGCCCGGCCCGAAACCCGGCCCGGCCCGACAUUUGCCCAGGUUUAGGCUCCUCCUCCUCUUCCUCUUACUGAGCACGCUCGGCAGAGGAGAGCCUACCGGAAAUAGUGCAAAGCCCCUUCGUAGUAGUAUUUAGGGGCUAUUUUGUUCAGUUCAUGUGACUAUAGAUGUGGUGGAACUGUACAACGUACUUCAAAUUAGCUAGUAUAUAAAGUAGAACUAGCUAUUUCAGUACGUGGUUGGCAACAAUUGGGGAAAAGUUUGAUCGGUUCAGCUGUCGAGUUGAACUGUUUGUAUAAAUUAAGCAUGACUGCUUAAUCUAUGAAUGAAAUUUAUGCUUAAUUACUAAAUUUUAGUUGCAAAAAUUAGAUACUUCUAGUGAUUUUUAGCUGCAUAUUUUGACAAAUCGCAGUGUUAAAAGGUUGACAAAUGGCAAUGUUACUAGCUCAACAAAUGUCAAUCUUUCAAGUUUGACAAAUGGCAACAUACCCAAUAUGACAGAUGCAAAUCUUACCAAAUUGUUUGUAAGUGGUUGCACACGGGUAAUCCAAAACAACCUUUUGCAUUGAAGAGAUGCACAGAUCCUGCUCUCGCUUUGCAUACGGGUGUUCUAUCUAAAACGUUUGCGAUCAAGAGCUGCACAAAUCAUGCUCGGCACAUUUUCCCUUUGCUUCCUGGGAAAGUUGUCGGUUUGCAUACGGGUGUUCUAACUAAAAAGUUUGCGGUCGAGAUACAAUAUUAAACCCAAGAAAAAAUACUAUUUCCAGCGGCGGCGGAGGUGGCGUGCCGCGCCGUCCAUGUCGUUGUCGUCCUCUGGGAGGCCGUUGUUGAAGUCUUCAAGGAAGCACAAAAUGUUCUUCACUUGUAAAUAAAACAUCAUGUAGUCACGCGAUCGACGGGCGGGGCGCGGGAGGAUGGCAGCUGGCGGCACCAAGAUGUAGCGGUCGACGGCGGCGUCCCAUGCCGCUGAGGGGGGCGUGCGCACGGGCACGGGCGCGGCGGGUGCAGCCAAACACAUGGGGACCGGCGCCGCGGUGGGUGGAGGGGCGCGCAUGGGCACGGGCACGGGCGCUGGCGCUGGCGCUGGCAUGUACACGAGCUCGCGCGGGUCCGCGGAGACCUCAGUGAUGCCUGCGGCUUCCAGCUCUGCGAUAGUGCUCAGCGACCAGCCCAUCAAUGCUACGGUGAUGGUCGCUGGCGCGGGCGCAGGGAUGGGAGCUGGGACAGGAGCGGGGGCAGCAACAGCCGCGGCCAGCUCGUUCUGGGCCAUGUCCAUGAGGCCCCAUUCCUCCCAUUUUUCUAUCUCCUCCGGCUCAGAGUCAACUUCACCAAACUUGAAGACUAGUGGUAGAUGAUCCUUUUGCGCCAUGGCAUUGGUGGAGGUCUACGGGAGGGAGGGGAAUGUGAGGCGAACAGUAAGGUCGCCUGUAUUAAGCAGCGGCUCGGGCACCAUUAAUGGAGAGGAAGGCGGGUGGCCAUGGAAGUCAAAGGGCUCGAUUCCCAGUGAGUUUGUGCAGCAUACAGCUUGCAUGCUUCCCGGUGAGCCUGCGCAUUGGAGGACAGCUUGCACACCUCUUGGUCAGCCUGCACACCGAACUGCGCUCGCACGUCUCCCGUUCAGUAAAGCAGUUAUCCGCACGGUACCUCCUAUAGCCAUUAAAACCAAGACACAUGGUGUCACAUGAAUGGUUAACAUAACGCACAUGAUUUGAAUUAUACAAAGGUUUGCGAUGUUAGAGUGGCAGCUAUUUGUUUGAAAAUACCUUUGUUGGCUGUUAUUCGAGUGCUUCUUCUCUCAAAAUGGACACGAAAAAUACCACAGCCUGUCGGGUGCCAUUCCAUGAUAACAUGCCAAGUUUCAUGAAUUUCAGACGAGUUUUGGAUUUGCAAGAAUUUAAAAACAAAGUAUCCUAACGUUUUGCUAGCAAUCAAUAGUGCCCUGGUGUUUAAAAUUCAUUCCAAUUUCUUGCAUGGGACCUAAGCAUGCACCCAAGGACAAAGAUUUUAUUUUUCAACCAAUUUAUAUGCACUGGAGCAUGUGCAUGUAGUUCAAAUUUGAAUUAUGCACAUAAAAUGCCUAGAAAACCCAGUUAAUGUAUAAAAAUAUCCAAACGAACCCCAAAAAAAUGCAAAAUUUAACACAACACUCCUGCUGUUCUAUGUUGACACUAGAAAAAAUUUGACAACAAUAAGAGGCAGUGGAUAUCAUUUUGUCCCCGAAGGUGGGACGUUCCCUACCGAAACCAUCAGGCUCGUUCUGAGAAGCUCUGGUUUGUGAGAAGCUUAUACCCAAACCUGCCCCAAAUGGGACAAAGAAAUUACCACGGCAUGUUGAUGCCGCUCCAUGAUAGCAUGCCAAGUUUCAUGAAUUUUAGACGAGUUUAAGAUUUACUAGAAUUUAAAAACCAGGAAUCUCAAUGUUUGAAGCCGAGUGACAGUGGCAGGGUGUUUGACAUUCAUUCCCAUUUCUUGAAUGGGACCUAAGCAUGCAACAAGGACACAGAUUUGAAUUUUCAACCAAUUAUAUGCAUUAGAGCAUGUACAUGUAGUUCAAAUUUGAAUUAUGCACAUAAAUGCAUUGAAAACUCAAUUAAUGCAUAAAAAUGUCCAAAUGAACCCCGAAAAAUCCCAAAAAUUGACACAACACUCCUGUUGUUCUAUCUUGACACUAGAAAAUUUCUGAAAGCAAUAAGAGGCAGCUGAUAUCAUUUCGUCACCAAAGGUGGGACGUUCCCUACCGAAACCAUCAGGCUUGUUGUGAGAAGCUCUGGUUUGUGACAAGCUUAUACCCAAACCUGCCCCAAAUGGGACAAAAAAUUAUUACGGCAUGUUGAUGCCGCUCCAUGAUAGCAUGCCAAGUUUCAUGAAUUUUAGACGAGUUUUGGACUUACUAGAAUUUAAAAACCAGGAAUCUCAAUGUUUGCGGCCGAGUGAAGGUGGCAGGGUGUUUGACAUUCAUUCCCAUUUCUUGCAUGGGGCCUAAGCAUGAAACGAAGGACACAGAUUUGAAUUUUCAACCAAUUUAUAUGCAUUAGAGCAUGUGCACGUAGUUCAAAUUUGAAUUAUGCACAUAAAUGUGAGGCAUUGAAAACUCAAUUAAUGCAUAAAAAUGUCCAAAUGAACCCCGAAAAUCCCAAAAAUUGACACAACACUCCUGUUGUUCUAUGUUGACACUAGAAAAAUUUUGAAAGCAAUAAAAGGCAGCGGAUAUUGUUUCAUCCCCAAAGGUGGGACAUUCCUUACCGAAACCAUCAGGCCUGUUGUGAGAACCUUUGUUUGUGAGAAGCAUAUCCCCAAACCUACUCAAAUGGGACAAAAAAUUACCACGGCAUGUUGAUGCCGCUCCAUGAUAGCAUGCCAAGUUUCAUAAAUUUCAGAUGAGUUUUGGAUUUACUAAAAUUUAAAAACUAGGAAUCUCAAUGUUUGUGGCCGAGUGACAGUGGCAUGUUGUUUGACAUUCAUUCUCAUUUCUUGCAUGGGACCUAAGCAUGCAACCAAGGACACAAAUUUGAAUUUUCAACCAGUUUAUAUGCAUUAGAGCAUGUGAAUGUAGUUCAAAUUUGAAUUAUGCUCAUAAAUGCAUUGAAAACUCAAUUAAUGCAUAAAAAUGUCAAAACAAACACUGAAAAAUCCCAAAAAGUGACACAACACUCCUGUUGUUCUAUGUUGACACGAGAAUUUUUUUGAAAGCAAUAAGAGGCAAUGGAUAUCGUUUCGUCCCCAAAGGAGGGACGUUCCCUACCGAAACCAUCAGGCUUGUUGUGAGAACCUCUGGUUUGUGAGAAGCAUAUCCCCAAACCUACCCCAAAUGGGACAAAAAAUUUACCACGGCAUGUUGAUGCCGCUCCAUGAUAGCAUGCCAAGUUUCAUGAAUUUCAGAUGAGUUUUGGAUUUACUAUAAUUUAAAAAACAGGUAUCUCAAUGUUUGCGGCCGAGAGACGGUGGCAGGGUGUUUGACAUUCAUUCACAUUUCUUGCAUGAGACCUAAGCAUGCAACCAAGGACACAGAUUUUAAUUUUCAACUAAUUUAUAUGCAUUAGAGCAUGUGCAUGUAGUUCAAAUUUGAAUUAUGCACAUGAAUGCACAGAAAACUCAGUUAAUGUAUAAAAAUGUCCAAGCGAACCCCAAAAAAUCCCAAAAAUUGACACACCACUCGUGUUGUUCUAUGUUGACACGAGAAACAUUUUGAAAGUAAGAAGAGGAAACAUAUAUCGUUUUGUCCCCCAAGGUGGCACGUACCCUACUGAAACCAUCAGACUUGUUGUGAGAGAAGCUCUGGUUUGCGAGAAGCUUAUACCCACACCUGCCCCAAAUGGAAUAAUAUUUUUACCACGGCAUGUCGCUGCCGUUCCAUGAUAUCAUGUCAAGUUUCAUGAAUUUCAAACGAGUUUUCGGUUUACUAGAAUGUUAAAAGCAUGUAUCUCAAUGUUAGCGGCUGAGUGACAAUGUCAAGGUGUUUGACAUUCAUUCUCAUUUCUUGCAUGUGACCUAAGCUUGCAACCAAGGACAAGCAUUUGAUUUUGCAACCCGUUUUUAUGGACUGGAGCAUGUGCUUCAAUUUUGAAUUGUGCACCUCGAAUGGCUAAAACCAAUUUAAUGUAUAAAAUUUCCAAACGAACCCUGAAUAAUUCCAAUUUUUUUACGACACACAUAUAGUUGCAUGUUUACUGCAGAUAAAAGGUCUAGCAACUCAAACACCAUCCAUUGUCGUUGUGAUCCCAUUAUGUAAUUCAAAUCAAAAUGAAAAAUCAAGUAGAUCCCACACAGUUUAUUAUCACCAACCAUGUGAGAUGUAGUACAAAAUAUCCUGGAGCACCGUCGGUGUAUAGUAUGCCUAUGGCUUACGCGAGAAGGUGCGUCGGCUACAGUCCAUAGCUGGCGCGUCAAGCACACUAGCUCGCUCCCCAAAUAUUAUUUCAUUGUUUAAUUGUCGCACGUGAAAGAUGGGGACGUGGACCCGCGUCGUGAGGGCAACUUCGGCGGGCCACUCCGGCGAGAGCAUGGCCGCAGCCGCCAUGCGUGUGCUAACAAGGUGCAUGAGCGCAGCCGCAAUCUGCGAACGGGCGGCCAAGACAGCCCAAACGGCCGCUGUUUCUUCUCAGGUGGCGGCAGCAACAUCUGCCUCAGGGGUAACAACUGACGAGAGCAGCACAGCAGCUGUCCACUCCACAGUGGCGGCCUUAGCCCUGAUGGAGGCUUCCCCAUGACCAUGUCGAGGCUGCCCACGCCCAGCUCGUGGCGGUCACCGCACAAAUCAAACGAAGCUUCUUCGACAACAGUCGGCAACCCACGGUCGAAGAGUUGGCAAUCGCCGAGAGCGUUCGAGCAGUCGUCCGUUCCUCCACCGCAUACCUUGCAAUGACGGAGCCCGUCCAAGCCCAUAUCGCGACCGCCCACGCCCAGCUCGUGGCAGCCUUUUCCAAAGAGAUGGCGGACGCGGAUGGCGAGAUGCUUGCCGAAUAUGGUGUGAUGGAUGCCAUGGAGCUCCUUCCCCAGAAGACCGUCGGGCACGAGAUGGACAUGGAGGAGGUGGCGGAGAUCGACGAGCACCAGCCGUAGUAGUUCUUUGUUUUGUUUAAUUAAGAGCAUCUAUCUUCAAUUUGUUAGAGUAAUGUUUAGGCUAGCUAGCUCUGUUUAAUUGCUGAAAUUGCUCGAUUAAGAAGUGUGGGUGUGUUGUAGUCUCCUUUGUGUACCCAAAUUAUGCAAUGACAUGGAUGAGCACUGUAACCAGGGAAAUUGGAACCAAAAUUUUUGACGUUCAAACUCAUCACACACGGGUUAAGCUAUCUGAAUCGUUUGUGAUGUUCACAUAUCGUACACAGUUCUGAAUAAGGGAUCGUAUCUGAUGAGACUUUGCACGCCCGUUUUCUCGCUGAACCGAUUCAAAAUUUUCGGCUUCCGCGGAAAUAUCUACCUCCCCCCCCACCACCACCAAAAGCCACAUUUCCCCUGUUUCUGCCUUCCUUUCCGAGCUGAACCUUCACUCCUUGCUUGCAGCUCCGCCCCCCUUGCCGACGACCCUCCUUCACAUUGCUCGGCCUCGUCUAUCCAGGCAGGUAAUCCACACCAGACCCCCAUCCUCCUCCUCCUUCCACAUCCCACAUGCCCCGACCGCCGGCGCGAGCGCGACACCUUCCACCCAAAUUACCGACCCCUCCACCAAAUAAGCGCCGCCCUAAGCCAUGGUGCACGCAGUAUAGCCAUGAGCUCAAGGAGCAUUUGGCAGCGGAGAAGCACAUCAUGGCCGCACGCGCGGAUGAGGUCGCGAUGGCUACCAUUCGUGCCGACCCCCAAAUCUUGGAGGAGCACCUUGCCAUUUGCUAGCUACGUCGGUUAAGCAUGCUCGGUUUACCCAUUGCGUGUGCUGCUCCUGCCUUUCCUUAACAAAUUCUAUCUAAUUUUACCAUGCAAUUUGUUGCUCCUGUGUAUAUAUGUCAUGCAGUGUGGUGCUCACUUAUUAAUUGUUUGGUUAAUUAGUGGUCGUCUUCAGGUAACUGUUUGGUUCAAUUCUGCAAAUGUGAUGUUCAAUUCUUCAGGCUGCAAUUUUGUAUUGUCUUCCAUGUGAGAAAUAAAUCAAAUUUAUCUUUACAAAAUACAUGAGAAACGAAUACAAUUGCUAUAUUUCCAAGUUGUCAAGCAUGCUUGAUUUGGUUAUACAUUGUGCAAUGUGGUGCUCAGUUAACAUUUGGUUCAUUUGUGUUUUGGUGUUUAGUUAACUGUUUGGUUCAAUUCUUCAAUGCAAUGUUCAAUAGUUGUGGGUGCAUUCUGCUAUUGUAUACCAUGUGAGAAGUAAAUCUAAUUUGGUUGUACUAAAUACAUGAGAAACAAAUAAAAUUGCUAUAUUUCCAAGUUGUUAAGCACGCUUGGUUCGGUUAACUGUCUGAUCUUCUAUUAGGAGUAUAUUAUAUUGUGCAAUGUGGUGCUCAGUUAAUGUUUGGUUCAUUUGUUGUGUUUAGUUAACUGCUUGGUUCAAUUCUGCAAUGCGAUGUCCAAUUGUCGUGGGUGGAAUUUUGUAUGUUGUGCAUGUGAGGAAUAAAUCGAAUUUGGAUGCACUUAAUACAUGAGAAACAUAUACAAGUGUUAUAUUUCCUAGUUCUUAAUCAUGCUUGGUUUGGAUAAAUGGGUUUUCCAUGUGGCUUGAAUUAAUCUGAUGAAUCUCCAAUGUGCUUAUUUUUCAUCAACAUAUUUUACUGAUAGCAUGUGAACCCUUACUUAACCUGAUGACUAACUACCUUAUAUGUGUUGCAGGGAAACAAUGGGAAGCACUGAGGUUUACGAUCGAAGUUAGCACGUGCAUGGUCCAUUUUCUAAUAGAACAUUAUUGUGCAAUUGCAGGAACCAUUCUAAUAUUUAGGUUUUUAACAAUUUGGUCUUGCACAUGUAGGUCCUGCUGUCAGAGGUUUUUACCCACUGUUCGACCCUUUUUGCAUAUGGGGAAAUGAGUUGUCCAUGAAUAUCAAUCAAGUCAAGAAACUCAGAAAGAUUCGUAGGAUAAAGAAAUUAGCGACAAAAGACAACAAGAUCUUUGUCUACACAAUGAAGAAGACAUCAGUUCACUACAAGAUGGUACUAAUUAUUAUACCUUGCCUUUUUUAUUCCUUUGCCCCAUUUCCAAUAUAGAGAAGAUAUUUAUGCACAUCCUUGUUUUUGGGCCUUUCCAAAGCAGUUCACUAAUGAUUACCUCUCAAACCACCUCUAUGGUCAGGAGGCGAGGAAGGUUUUCAUACAACACCCACGGUUCAAUAUUGAAGUGUUCCUGAAGAGGAUGAAGGAUGGAAGGUCAAUCAUCCACAGGCACUGGCCUAAAGUUGCAAAGACCUUCAACAUCAAUUAAGGCUCAAUAUUCACCUUCCGCUUCAGUAGUUUUCCUGAUGAGAUGCAUCUGUCUAUGUACCGUCUAUGAUGCUAAUUUUGAAAGGUUCUAAAUGUUGCAUGUGAAAAUUGGUGCUAGUGCAGUUGUGUGAUGGGGUAGCUGAGUGAUGAAGCUAUACCAUGUUGUACUCUGAUGUACUUCAAUUAUGAAAUCCUGCUUCCUUAAUAUGGGAAUGAAAUAUAUUAUGUGUUUAAUAUGAAUGUCAAUUAGAUUAAUAAAUGGAUUAUUAAUAAUAGGGAAAUUAGCCUGUUAAUGGUGAAUUAGCCUGCUAAUUGGUUUUUUCUAUUGCAAACGGUUAUUGAGAAAAAUACCGUGGGCAAUGACCUAAGGCAACGCACACAAUUUCUAUGAAUAAACCGUGUUGGAUCGAUGAACAAUCACACACGACAUUCUCUUCAAAACUGUUUGCGUUAGGCCACCUUGCACAAACGUUUACCGCAUAAAAACUGUGUGUGCUGGAUAGCCUUUGCCACACAGUUUCUUCUACGCACCGUGUGUGAUGCAUUCAUUAACACAAACGAUGAAAUUAUUAAUAUUGUGUGUGAUGGGAACGCUAUCACAAACGAUUUAAUGGGGAAAACUGUGUGUGAUGUACCUACGAACGGAAACGUUUUCCUCGUAGCGACUGCGUGGGAUGUAUAUAUGAACAGAAACGUUUAGCGGGGACUGACUGUGUGGGAUGUACUUACGACCGGAAAUGAUUUCGCCUGUAUAAUUGUAUUUUUUAGCACUACUGUAUGUAUAACCGUGUUUACUCGCUCGCCGGUCGCACACAACCUCAUUUUGCCGAGCAUGUGUGCCAGGAGGGCAUAUCCCUGACGGUUUCUAGGUCGUGUGGGAAGGACCCCCCUACCGCCCACACUCACUUGGCAACGGUCCAAAUGUCGUCGCGGAAAGGGGUUAAAAACCAUUUGUAUAGCACCUCGCUGUACCAGUGCACUCUCGGUCCUAACAACACCCCUGCAGGGAAGUAUAUCUAUUUGAAUAGUCGUGUCCAUGGUAACGGACGCUUGGAGUUUUAUCCUGAUCUAUUACAACUAGAAGCUAGAACUAGAUACUGGAGACACUAAAUGGAUAUGAUGGCUUCGGGAUCGCUUCCUUGCAGGGAGUCAAGGAAGGAUCUCUGGGUGUUACUAUAUACUUUUUACUUUAUAAUAUGCUAAUCUGCACUCCUCUAAUGUUGCAAGACGCUGCAAGAUGCUAGUCUUCGAUAGGCUAGGCCUUCCCUUCUAUUCUAGCAUUUCUACAGUUUAGUCCAAAGAUAUAGCCUCAUUCAUUUGAUACCGAUGCAUACUUAGUAUAGAUGUAAUGUAAUUAAGUAUUGCGGGUACUUUGGUUGAGUACUCAUGGUUGCUUUGCUACCUAUUUUCCUCUUUUGCCCGAUUGUUGUGAUCAGAUCACGGAGCCCAGGAGACCACCGACGAACAAGAGUAGUUAGGAGGCACCCAAGCAGGAGGCAUGCGCCUUUUUUGAUCUAGAUGUCAUUUUUUUGCUCAGCCUUCUUAAGGCAAACUUGUUUACUUAUGUAGCGUUGACUUAUGUAUUCGAGCCUUUGUGGCUUUGGCUUGUAGUAUAAAGCUUUAUGUUUGAAUUUAUGUCUAGAGUUGUGUUGUGAUAUCUUCCCGUGAGUAUUUAAUCUUGAUCAUGCACAUUUGCGUGUAUGAUUCAUGAUUGAGUCGGUGUGUCACACCCAUGGACUAGGCCAGCUAGGCUAGGACCCCCUAGUACAGGACACCGCCAGGUGUGUUUGUUGGUAUCCGAUGAAUUGUGGGUUUAUGAUCCGAUUAUUCAUUGAAAGUAUUGAGUUUUUUCUAAACUUUAUUAUGCAUGAUUAUGACAGCUUUGUAUUUCUCUUCGAUCUAUCUGUUUGGUUUGGCCAACUAGAUUGAUUCAUCUUCAGUGGGAGAGGUGCUUUGUAAUGGGUUCAAUCUUGUGGUGUCCUCAUCCAGUGACAGAAGGGGUAGCGAGGCACGUAUUUGCAUUGUUUCCAUUAAGGGUAAAACGAUGGGUUUUUUCAUAUUGAUUGAGUUUACUUUGUCUAUAUCAUGUCAUCUUGCUUAAGGCGUUACUCUAUUUGUCAUGAACUUAAUAUUAUAGAUGCAUGUUGGAUAGUGGUUGAUUGGUUGAGUAAUAGUAGUAGAUGCAGGGAGGAGUCGGUCUACUUGUCACGAACAUGAUACCUAUAUGUGUGAUCAUUGUCAUGAAUAACAUCAUAAUUAUGCGCUUUUCUAUCAAGUGUCCAACAGUAAUUUGUUUACCCACCGCAUGCUAUUGUUUUAAGAGAGAAGCCUCUAGUGAAAACUAUGCCCCCUGGGUCUACUUUAAUCAUAUUACAUAAACCAAAAAUACCUUGUUGUAAUUUAUUUGGUUUUACUUUGUUUUGCAAUUUAUCUAUCUACCACUCCAAGAUUUGAUCCUUGCAAGUAACGAGUUCAAGGGGAUUGACAGUCGACUUGCCCGUGCUAGGUGCAAGUAUUUUCUUUUGGGUGUGCAGGUGUUGUUCACUAGGAUUUACGUGGUUCUCCUUUUGGUUCGAUAAAACUUGGUUCUCGCUGAGGGAAAUACUUAUCUCUACUAUGCUGCUUCACCCUUCCUCUCCGAGGAAAAUCCCAACGCGGCUCACAAGUAGCACCUCCAUGUGAGCCGACAUGUCAAAGUAGGUCCUCGUGUUGGAUGUUGGCUUGAAGAAGAGGUGGCACGGUGAUGCCGACGCAUGUCAAAAUUUGUGACGCGGUCGAUGCCGGCUUGAUGAAGUGACCACGCGACGAUGCCAGUUUGCCCGCCCCGUGUAAUCCAUGAGGAGGUGAUGUUGGUGAUUAUUUAGCCUUCAUGAUGUCUACUACGCAACUUUAUUUCUUGUAGACUUGGUUGGGCCUCCAAGCGCAGAGUUUGGUAGGACAACAACAAAUUCCCUCAAGUGAAUAACCUAAGGUUUAUCAAUCAGUGGGAGGUGUAGGAUGAAGAUGAUCUCUCUCAAACAACCCUACAAUCAAAUAACAAAGAGUCUUUUGUGUCCCCAACACACCUAAUACAAUGGUAAAUUGUAUAGGUGCACUAGUUUAGUGAAGAGAUGGUGAUACAAGUGUAGUAUGGAUAGUAGAUAUAGGUUUUUGUAAUCUGAAAUGAUAAAAGUAGCAAGGUAGCAAGCGAUAAAAAGUGAGCACGAACGGUAUUGCAAUGCUUAGAAACAAGGCCUAAGAUUCAUACUCUCACUAGUGCAAUCUCUCAACAAUGCUAACAUAAUUGAAUUGUAUAACAAUCUCUCAAUGUGCAACGAAGAAUCACUCCAAAGUUCAUAUCAAUAUCAGAGAACAUAGGAUGAAAUUGUUGUAGGUAGCAAACCACCUCAAAGUUAUCCUUUCUGAUCAAUCUAUUGAUCCAUCCCUAUAAGUGUCACAAACAAUCCUAGAGUUUGUACUAAAAUAACACCAUAUGAUAUGCAUCAAUUAACUCUAAUGUCACAUAGAUGCUCCAAUGUCACCACAAGUAUCCCUGAGUUAACUAUUCGGUAUGCAUCAAACAAUUUCAGAUUCAUAAAUAAAUCCAACACAAAGAAUUUCAAAGAGCACCCCAAAGUUUUCAUUGGAGAAAGUAGAACGAAAAUGUGUAUCAACCUAUGUGCGUAGAUUACCACAAUGUCACCACGAGAAUCCGUAAGCUGGUUACCAGAACAUAUAUCAAGUAACUCGAUAGAAUACCCCCAUUGUCACCACGAGUAUCCACAUGCAAGACAUACAUUAAGUGCUCUCAAAUCCAAUAUAUUCAAUCCGAUAAUAGUGAAACCUCAAAGGGUAAAACUCAAUUCAUCACAAUAAGACAGAGAGAGAAGAACACCAUAUGAUCCAACUAUAUUAAGAAAGCUCAUGGUACAUCAAGGUCAUGCGGGAUUGAGAACACGAGAGAAAGAGAUCAAACACAUAGCUACCGGUACAUACCCUCAGCCCGAGGGUAAACUACUCCCUCCUCGUCAUGGAGACUGUCGGGAUGAUGAAGAUGGCCUUCGGUGAUGAUUUCCCCUCCGGCGGGGUGCCGGAAAAGGCCUCAAGAUGAGAUCACUUCGGAACAGAGGCUUGCGGCGGCUGAGCGGAAGUUUUGGGUUAAGUUUUGGGGGUUUCCCUAUUUAUAAGAAUUUUUGGCGUUGACUUCACGUCCAGGGGGGGUCCCGUGGGACGCACGUGCUCAGGUGGUGCGCCCUAGGGGGAGGGCGUGCCUGGUGAGCUCGUGACUCCCCUGGAGAUCGUCUGGUGCUCCUCCGAUGCUUCGUGGGUUUAUUGUUGUCCAUAAAAAAUCACCAUAAAUUUAUGUGGCAUUUGGACUUCAUUGGUAUGGAUUUUCUAGAAAACCAAAAACAUGCAGAAAACAGCAACUGGCAUUAGGCACUAGGUCAAUAGGUUAGUUCCAUAAAAAUCAUAUAAAAGUGCACCAAAAGCAUAUAAAAUUAUUGUAAACAUGGCAUGAAUACUUUAUAAAUUAUAUAUACGUUGGAGACAUAUCACUUCACGAUGCCGAACUCUUGGUCGGUUUGCCGGGGGUGAUGAUCCAAUGACGUUAACCUCGGCUCGACGAAGCGACGACCUGUCUAGUGCAGGUCGACAGCCGUGGAGCAGCGUUGUCGGGUUGAUUUGACACCGGCAUGACGGUGAAGAUCGCCUUGGAAAAGGCUUUAAAAUUUUGGGCACAGAUUUUAGGAACAAAACAAAAUACUCUAGGAAAAUUUUCCUUCAAAAAUAUGUCUGAUAACCCAUUCAUGAAAAAAGAUGUCCGAAAAUUGAUGCACUCAUCGGACGGUUCCCGGAGUUUGAACAGCUGGAUCGAGCUGAAGUUUUGAGGGGUGGUCUAUAUAGGAAUUCCAUAGCCGAUGAACUGUUGGAUCUUCCAAAAUAUUUUCGAGCUUGCCGCUGUACCCUUCGCCCCAAACUUAUCCAGAUUCCCGUCCAGAUUCAACAGGGCUUCGGUGCGUCGGAGAUUGCCGGAGAUUCCUCCAUCGGAAUAUGAUAAAAUCUUACAGGGUUGUUAUAGGCUCAAUUCCUCACAGUUCGGCGCUCGAGGAGGCGGGGACGGCGAACACGAAUCCGCUCUCCAAAAAAAACUACACGACCGCACGAGGGAAAAGUUGACGUUGAGCCCCCGAGCUCCAUGGACGAUUUUUUCAUGAUCUCAUUUGCAAUUUGAGUUGAUGAUGAAGGCACCCAUUCAAUCUUGACGAUCCGACACGAAGCAUAGUCCUCGGUCUAGCCAAGAUGACGAGUCGAGCUGGCGACGAAGAUGCCAACGUCGACGAUGAAAUUCGUUGUGUUGGAGUCUAUCCGAAUUCCCAUCACACCGCGGCGAUUGCCAGCGGGAACCUGCAUGGGCCACCAAUGUCGGUGAUAAAUCCGACAUAUCUCAAGGCAGGGGUCCUAAGCUAGGCAUCUUGGAGCGAUGGUAACAUGGACAUAGGAUUUGACCAGGUUUGGGCUCUCUUGAAGAGAUAAUAUCAUGCAUAUGUCCUGCUUUUCAUUGUAUUGAUAGAGGGUAUAGUACAUAGACAAGUAUCAACCACGAGAUUGCUGUAAUGAAUAUGAGAUUCGAUGAUCUAUUGAGUAACCUGGCAUCGGCUUAGAUAAUGCACCGGAGGCCUAGAAUUUAGAAGAGUCCUGGUCGGCUACGUCGGUGGAGAGGAGUCUUUGUCUUAACCACUGUCUUGUGAAUCUUCCUCGUAUAUGUCAUGGGCUGCCCAAAGUGGACCAUUAGCGAACCAUCACGGGAGUCAUUGGCCCGACCCACCUGGUCGAAAGACGACGUGGUGAGUACCCCUAGUCCAGAACACCAUCACCGGUGCCGUAGUCACCUAAUUAAAAAAACAGCGCCAUAGACUGACCCAAUGGUUUUGCAUCGAUGAACACAUAUCUUUCUUAGCACAUAUAUUUCUUAAAAAACAAAAUAAGAAUAAAAAUAACUAUUUGCACCUAUUGAUGAACUAGCUUUGCAUUGGCUUUGUAAUGCAAGUAGAUAUCUUGUCUCAAUCAUACAUGGCGCUCAGUAGAGGAGUUAGCAUUGAUUCGGUGCACGGGGUGGUAGCGAUCCGAAUCGCGUCGGGGGGCAAGCUUGGCUUCUCCACCAAUAUUUUUCGAGGAAUCUUCUCCACCGUAAUGGCGGCAGAGGGUAUGCUCAGCUUUUCCGCCAUUAUAACGGCGAGGCGGCACCGAACAAUGAGGCGAUCCUCCAUGGCCGACGUGCUUGGCUCCAGCCUGCAUCUAUAUAAGUACAUUUUGUUGGCAUGGUUGAACGUGUGAGUCAUCUUUUCGGACUCAAAAUUGACCACCCCCUCGAGCUCAAAACUGAACUCCGCCGUUGUCGGCGUCGUGCCAUUACUCACGCGUACAAGGCCAAUUAGCCCAUUGCCAUUGGGACAGAAUUGGAAGUACCAUCUGCACCCUGCCACAGCGAAGUGGGUGGAGUAGGUGCACUCCCCUCCCCGGAGCGCGGCCUUGAGCUUGGAGAAGCUGCCGAUGGUGAUCAUGUUGGAUCCGGCCAUGGCGACCUGCGGCUCCAAGACCGCGAGCUCGUCAGAUUUGGAGAAGAGGCGCCACCACUUUGUAGACCGCUGCUUCGUCAGAGUGCACCUGACGGUGAAGCUGUCGUCGCGGACGCACGACGAUGCCUCCAGCUCCCUCCUGGACAGGAAGAGAUUCAAGAACCUCGAGGAUUCCAGCAUCCCGCUGCUCUCCCGGUGGAAGACGGUGUUCUCGCCGGCCUCGUCAAGGACUUCCAUGGAGAUGUCGAUGCCUUCGAGCACCACGUCUGGUUUGUACCUGAAUCGGGAGUGGAGGUCGACCGAGACGUGGAGGCCGUCCGCUAGGCCUUCGUUGAACCCCGUCGGUUUCACUGUGACCUCCCACAAGAUAUCACCGAAGGAGAAUAUGCGGACAGUCUCCGGGCGAGGCAGAGGCACCCGCAUCAGGUUGGAGUAGCCGGAGAUGCUCACGUGGAGCGGCAUCUCGUCCGCCGGCGACGAGUGGCUGGGGGUGGCGCCCAUUGACCGGGAGAUCGACGACGAGAGAUCCAACAAGCUCUCCGAUGAGUAGGUAGGUAGGUUAUGUUACCCGUAUGUGUUAUGUAUGUCCACGUGCCUGUGUAUAUGUAGCGUGUAGGGAUCGAUCCCCGAUCGAAUCCGGCCGGACUCUGGAGUCCUCUUCUAAAAACAAGUCCGAGUACCUUCCAUCGAUACAAAACCAAACCGGAUUAAAACCGGCCUCGCUUGGAAGUUGGUUUCCUAUCGUAUUCGUAGCUAGUCCAAGGUCACGUCCUUGUGCACCCCUCGUCAUUUUGUUUAGCCACGCAAAGAAGAUGGGAUCGACUAUAUAGUACUUCCUCCGUCCCAUACGCUUUUAUAUUAUGGGACAGAGGGAGGGAGUAAUUCUUUGAUCUGGGUCAGUUGUGAGUUCCAAUCCUGGUGUGGCAAGCCAUACCGACAGCGUUAGAUCUGUUUAUUCCUCCUAAUACCUGAACCGCUAAUUUGUACUGUAGUAUCAUAUAGGUAUAGAAUAUCUAUACUACUCUAUAGUGUACGAGUUUUGAAUUUGGUUCCCUUCGAUCUCCUCCUAUCAUCCCAAACCAAAUAUCAACCAUUGAUUCAGCUCGCUGUGCUAAAAUCUACCGUCAAAUCUUAACUAGACCCAAUCCAACGGCUAAGAUCUCACGGAUUCGCACUCGUCCCGCGCGCGCUCAAGUUUUGGGCGCCAUCACCGCGCGCGCGAAUAGUUUCUAAGAAGCACCCAGAGUGUCCCCACCUAAAUAAAAUACCGAUACAAAAAACAAGUCCCGCACCAUCUCUCCUCGCUGAAGCAGACUCUGUUUCUUCGCAUCAGCGCGCCCCCGCUGUCGCUCCGUACUCGCGCCGCCACAACUCGACAGCUCGGCCCUCCACCGCCGGCCGCCGGCCGCCGGCCGUCGGCCGCGACAAGAGCUCCCCAGUUUCUCAUCUGUGCCAAUUCGAUUCCAAUCGCUCAAACUUGGGCUGCCCAGAAGUUUUCCCUCAGGCGCUUACCAUCCCUGAGUACUGUUCCACGUGCUCACCGCCACCGCUUCCUGGCAUCUCCGCCCAUACGUGCCUCAGGCUAAUCCACCCCCGAAGUUGCUGCUAAUCCACCCCGGAAGUUGCUGCCGCUGCAGGUGCUAGCAGCCGGAUGGUAUACCAGUGCAGCCCAACCGAUAUGAGCACAACCUCACGCACUGGCUGAUGGGGUUAUGUACCUAGGGUAGGGUCAUGGACCAUUCAGCCUUCGCAGUCAGAGGCUGGCAGAGGUUUGCUGCAGAUCAGGGAUCUGCUCCGGGCAGCAGGAGAUCAGAAUUCAGCCGUGUCUCAGUCGCGCAACAGAAUUCACAGUCGAUCUGUCACUGUGAAUACGGUUCAGUCGGCUCACAGCCCCAGAUCGCCUCCGCGACGCGAAGGGUGUGAGAAUCGGCGAGAUCAAUAUGGCGACAGACUCGACCAAGAUGAUAGGCGUCGAGUGCCCUAUUCCCCUCCGAGGGGUGGGUCUUACGCUCCUCGGCAGCCAGAUGAUAGGCGUCAGUACGGUACAGGGCGUAGGGUUCCAGUUGACCCCAGAGAGCCAGGCUUCGACGCGCGAUCCAUUAUCGUGCAAGGGUUGGUCGACCGGAACAGAGCCCAUCGAGGCGCACUCGACAGAGAUGUGCCCACGAGCAGUCGAGUACAUGUUUCUGGUCCUGAAUGUUUCAGCAGAGCUAUCAGAGCCGCAGUUAUUCCCCCCAAUUUCAGGUUGGCAACAGGAGUCAGCAAGUUCACUGGUGAGUCUAAGCCUGAAACUUGGCUUGAAGACUACCGAGUGGCAGUUCAGAUCGGUGGUGGGAACGACGAGGUGGCCAUGAAGCAUUUGCCCCUCAUGUUGGAAGGUUCUGCCAGGGCAUGGUUGACUCAAUUGCCUCCUAGCAGCAUUUACACUUGGGAAGAUCUGUCCCGAGUGUUCGUCAGAACGUUCGAAGGGACUUGCAAGCGACCAGCGGGAUUGACAGAGUUGCAAGUCUGCGUGCAGAAAACCAAUGAGACUCUCAGAGAGUAUAUUCAGAGGUGGAUCACUUUGCACCACACUGUGGAAAAUGUCUCUGACCAUCAGGCAGUAUGCGCCUUCAAAGAUGGUGUCAAGAACAGAGAACUGAGUUUGAAAUUUGGUCGAACCGGUGACAUGACCUUGAGUCGGAUGAUGGAGAUUGCUACCAAGUACGCCAACGGCGAAGAAGAAGACCGACUCCGAAGCGGCAAGCACAAGCCGAGUCAGUCGGAAAAAGGAAACACCAGUCGGAAACAGAAGCGGAAGGCUGAACCGGCAGCUCCUGGAGAGGCUCUGGCCGUGACUCAAGGAAAGUUUAAGGGGAAACCAAAAGGAUCCUGGAACCCCAAGAAGGUGAAGGAUAAAGAAGGGAACGACGUGAUGGAUAUGCCGUGCCACAUCCACACGAAGAAAGAUGAAGAGGGGAAUAUCAUUUACCCAAAGCACACCACUCGCCAAUGUCGACUCCUGAUCCAACAGUUUCAGGGAAAACAAUCUAAGGACAAGGAGAAGGAGCCGGACAAGGCCGAAGACAAAGAGGACAGUGAGGGAGGAUAUCCGCAUAUCAACUCCACUCUGAUGAUCUUCGCAGAUGUGGAAAGCAGAAGUCGACUGAAAGUGAUUAACCGAGAGGUUAACAUGGUUGCCCCAGCAAAGGCAAAUUAUCUGAAGUGGUCUCAAACACCCAUCACAUUCGACCAAUCUGAUCACCCGACUCAUAUUGCCACCCCUGGGAGGCAAGCUUUGGUGGUCGAUCCAGUUGUCGAAGGCACUCGACUGACAAAGGUGCUGAUGGACGGUGGGAGUGGGCUGAAUCUGUUAUAUGCAGACACGUUGAAAGGUAUGGGCAUUCCGAUGUCCCGGCUGAGCACUAGUAACAUGAGCUUCCAUGGAGUUAUACCAGGGAAGAAGGCCGAGUCACUCGGCCAGAUAGCUUUGGACGUAGUGUUUGGCGAUUCAAAGCAUUUUCGCAAAGAAAAGUUGACGUUUGAGGUCGUGGAUUUUCAAAGUGCAUAUCAUGCCAUUUUGGGGAGACCAGCCUAUGCACGGUUCAUGGCUCGACCAUGUUACGUGUACCUCAAAUUGAAGAUGCCCGGUCCCAAAGGUGUGAUCACUGUCACCGGUGAUAGGAAAAAGGCAGAGGAGUGCUUUCAGAAGGGCUCCAAAAUUGCCGAUUCCCAAGUGACAGCGGUCGAGUUCGAAGAAUACAAACAAAACGCAGAUCCGAGUGACUUGCUGCGAUCCAAGAAGCCCGCCACAGAAUCUGCAUUCCAGUCGUCCGGUGAGACGAAGCCUGUUCACAUUCACCCGACCGACCCCGAAGCAGCUCCGACCCGCAUCUCCACAACACUCGACCCAAAAUAGGAAGAAGCGCUCAUCCAGUUCCUCCGUGAGAACUGGGACAUUUUUGCAUGGAAGCCCGCUGACAUGCCAGGUGUUCCCAGGGGACUGGCUGAGCAUCGCCUAAGAGUCGACUCGUCUGCAAAGCCAGUCAAAGAACAUCUUCGGCGGUCCGCCGUCCAGAAGAGAAAGGCCAUCGGUGAAGAAGUGGCUCGACUGUUGGCGGCAGGAUUUAUCCGAGAGAUAUUCCACUCCGAGUGGCUCGCUAAUGUCGUCAUGGUUCCUAAGAAGGACAAGUCGCUCCGAAUGUGCAUUGAUUUCAAGCACAUCAACCGGGCCUGCCCGAAAGAUCACUUUCCUCUCCCUCGCAUAGAUCAAAUUGUUGACUCGACCGCGGGAUGCGAGAGGUUGUCUUUUUUAGAUGCUUACUCCGGGUACCACCAGAUCCGUCUGUAUGGGCCCUAUGAAGUAAAAACAGCUUUCAUCACUCCAUUCGGGUGCUUCUGCUAUAUCACCAUGCCAUUCGGCCUCAAGAAUGCCGGAGCCACAUUUAUGCGAAUGAUCCAGAAGUGUCUACUCACUCAAAUCAGUCGGAAUGUGGAAGCUUAUAUGGAUGAUAUUGUUGUCAAGUCACGAAAAGGUUCCGACCUGCUCGCUGACCUCGCCGAAACAUUUGCCAACCUCAGAAGGUAUGAUAUCAAGCUCAAUCCAUCAAAGUGCACAUUUGGAGUUCCUGGUGGCAAGCUACUCGGUUUCCUCGUUUCCGAACGGGGAAUCGACGCCAACCCAGAAAAGAUAGGCACUAUUCUCCGAAUGAAACGCCCUGUGCGAGUGCACGAUGUCCAGAAGCUUACUGGAUGCUUGGCCGCAUUAAGUCGAUUCAUCUCACGACUCGGUGAAAAGGCAUUGCCUCUUUACCGACUGAUGAAGAAGGCUGACAAGUUCGAGUGGACUCCAGAAGCUGAUGCAGCGUUUGCCGAGCUAAAAGCUCUGCUCUCCACCCAGCCGGUGCUUGCUGCUCCAAUCAGCAAAGAGCCUCUGUUGCUCUACAUCGCAGCCACAGGACAAGUCGUCAGUACUGUGCUAACGGUCGAGCGGGAAGAAGAAGGAAAAGCUCUCAAAGUUCAGCGCCCAGUGUAUUAUUUGUCUGAAGUCUUGACUCCAUCCAAGCAGAGAUAUCCUCAUUAUCAGAAGCUUGUGUAUGGAAUAUACAUGACCACAAAGAAGGUUGCUCAUUAUUUCUCUGACCAUUCAAUCACAGUCGUCAGCGACGCUCCACUAUCAGAGAUUUUGCACAACAGAGAUGCAACUGGUCGAGUGGCCAAAUGGGCGAUUGAACUUCUUCCCCUUGAUAUCAAGUUUGAGGCAAAGAAAGCCAUUAAGUCCCAGGCAAUAGCAGAUUUCCUCGCCGAGUGGAUCGAACAGCAGCAGCCGACUGAAGUUCACUCGGAGCAUUGGACCAUGUUUUUCGAUGGUUCUAAGAUGCUGAAUGGUUCCGGUGCUGGGGUUGUCCUGGUUUCCCCCAGAGGAGAUAAGCUCAGAUACGUGCUCCAGAUUCACUUUGAUUCCUCCAACAAUGAGGCAGAAUAUGAGGCCCUCCUAUAUGGGUUGCGCAUGGCCAUUUCACUCGGCGUCCGUCGCCUAAUGGUCUAUGGCGACUCGGAUUUAGUGGUCAAUCAGGUGAUGAAAGAGUGGGACGUGAGAAGCCCAGCCAUGACUGGAUACUGCAGUGCAGUGAGGAAGCUGGAGAAAAAGUUCGAGGGGUUGGAGCUCCAUCAUAUACCCCGACUGAAAAAUCAAGCAGCUGAUGAUCUAGCAAAGAUAGGUUCCAAGAGAGAAGCCAUUCCGAGUGGUGUGUUCUUGGAGCAUAUACAUACUCCGUCAGUCAAAGAAGAUCCUUUCACCGAAGAAACUCCGCAGCCCAAGAGUGCCACAGAUCCGACUGAAGUUGAAGUCCCAGCGGUGGUCGACUUGAUCAGGGAGGUUUUGGUAGUCAUUCCCGACUGGACGAUUCCGUAUGUCGCAUAUAUCUUGAGGAAAGAGCUUCCGGAGGAUGAGGAAGAGGCUCGACAGAUCGUCCGUCGAUCUAAGGCCUUUACCGUCAUCAAAGGACAAUUAUACAGAGAGAGCACGACUGGAGUCGGUCAGAAGUGCAUAACACCAGAAGAAGGUCGACUCAUCCUCAAUGAUAUUCACUCGGGGACCUGUGGUCAUCAUGCGUCCUCCCGGACCAUCGUGGCCAAAGCAUACCGAGCCGGAUUUUACUGGCCCAAGGCGAAUGAGAUGGCAAAGGAGAUAGUGGAUAAGUGCGAGGGAUGUCAGUUCUACUCGAAUAUGUCGCACAAACCUGCGUCAGCUUUGAAGACCAUCCCACUCGUCUGGCCUUUUGCAGUUUGGGGGCUGGACAUGGUCGGCCCUUUGAGAACAGGACGAAGUGGCUUCACGCAUGUACUGGUGGCAGUCGACAAGUUCACCAAGUGGAUCGAGGCUAAACCAAUCAAGAGCCUCGACACCGGUACUGCUGUUAGCUUCGUCGGGGAACUAAUAUUCAGAUAUGGAGUCCCGCACAGCAUCAUUACGGAUAAUGGGUCGAACUUUGACUCAGAGGAAUUCAGAACCUUCUGCAACUCCCAGGGCACACGGGUCGACUACGCAUCAGUCGCCCAUCCGCAGUCGAAUGGACAAGCAGAGCGAGCUAAUGGACUGAUUCUCAAGGGACUGAAGCCGCGACUGAUGCAUGAUCUCAAACACGCGGCUGGAGCUUGGGUCGACGAACUUCCAUCUGUACUCUGGGGACUGCAGACCACGCCCAAUCGGUCGACCGGAAGAACUCCAUUCUUCUUGGUCUAUGGAGCCGAAGCAGUCUUGCCGAGUGAUCUUCUCCACAAUGCUCCUCGAGUCGAAAUCUACAACGAAGCAGAAGCUGAACAAGCGCGGCAGGACGCAGUCGACCUUUUAGAGGAAGAAAGGGAGAUGGCUCUGAUCCGGUCGACCAUCUACCAACAAGAUCUGCGCCGUUUCCACGCCCGAAAUGUGAGAGGUCGAGCCUUCCAGGAAGGGGAUUUGGUUCUCCGAGUGGAUCAGCACAAACCACACAAGCUUGCUCCUUCUUGGGAAGGCCCCUUCAUCGUCACCAAGGUUCUCCACAAUGGGGCGUACCGUCUUUACAACGUCGAGCAUAAUAUCGACGAGCCCCGAGCUUGGAACGCGGAGCUACUCCGCCCAUUUUACACUUAAGUUUUAUCACUCGGAUGAGUUGCAAUAAAGUACUUCUGUAGUUCAUGGGUUUAGAAAUAAUUGUGUCAUCACUUUUUAUUUUUGUCCACAUAAAAACUCCCCCUCAGUGGGUGGCUUAGCCGCGAAUCCGUUUCGCCUAAGUUUGUAAAAAUCCUAUCGAGUGGUGAGCCAGACUCUCACUCGGAGGCUUAGCUGCGAAUCCGUUUCGCCUAAGUUUAUCAAAAUCCUACCGAGUGGUAAGCCAGCCUUCCACUCGGGGGCUUAGCUGCAGUCCAAGGACUCGCCUAAGUUUAUCAAAAUCCUACCGAGUGGUAAGCCAGCCUUCCACUCGGGGGCUUAGCUGCAGUCCAAGCACUCGCCUAAGUUUAUCAAAAUCCUACCGAGUGGUAAGCCAGCCUUUCACUCGGGGGCUUAGCUGCAGUCCAAGCACUCGCCUAAGUUGUGAAAAUCCUACCGAGUGGUAAGCCAGCCUUCCACUCGGGGGCUUAGCUGCAGUCCAAGGGCUCGCCUAAGUUAUAAAAAUCCUACCGAGUGAAGAGCAACCCUCUCACUCGGAGGCUUAGCUGCAGCCUCGUGCUCGCCUAAGUUAUAAAAAUCCUACCGAGUGAAGAGCAACCCUCUCACUCGGGGGCUUAGCUGCAGUCCAAGCACUCGCCUAAGUUGUGAAAAUCCUACCGAGUGAAGAGCGAUCCUCUCACUCGGGGGCUUAGCUGCAGCCUCGUGCUCGCCUAAGUUAUCAAAAUCCUACCGAGUGGUAAGCCAGCCUUCCACUCGGAGGCUUAGCUGCAGCGUCGUGCUCGCCUAAGUUAUAAAAAUCUUACCGAGUGGAGAGCAACCCUCUCACUCGGGGGCUUAGCUGCAGCCCUGCGCUCGCCUAAGUUAUAAAAAUCUUACCGAGUGGAGAGCAACCCUCUCACUCGGGGGGCUUAGCUGCAGCCCUGCGCUCGCUUAAGUUACAAAAAUCCUACCGAGUGAAGAGCGACCCUCUCACUCGGAGGCUUAGCUGCAGCCCAGUGCUCGCCUAAGUGGACUAAAGAAUAAGUCGAUUGCGGUACAGGCACCUUGCUUUGAACCUGCAAAAGACAUUCCGAGCCGAAGGCAAUCAUAUUCAAGCGCCAAAUUCAAGUUUGAAUCGAUAUCUAAAGGAACCGAAAGUGCUCGGGCGUCAAGCCUGUUAAGGUUUGUCGGUUACAAUUCCACUCGGCAUACCGAGGCAAAUUUAAAGUGUCGAGCCAGAAGAAGUUUUUUACCCCUCCUGUGGAGGGCUGGAAGGUGCAACAAAUUCAUCAAGGUCAAUUCCGUCGGCGAUCCGAGUGGCAGCUGCAAGGAAAGUCUCCAUAAAGGACCUGAAGUCGUGCUUCUUGGUAUUGGCCACCCGAAGGGCCGCCAGCUUCUCCUCUCGUGCAUCUUUGCAGUGGACUCGGGCCAGACACAGAGCGACAUCUGCACCACACCGAGCCGAGGACUUCUUCCACUCUUGCACUCGACCAGGGAUCGUGUUCAAGCGGGCCAUCAGCGACUCAAGGUCAUUCUGAAGUGUCUCCUCAGGCCAGAGCGUCGAGUCGAUGCGAGAUGUGGCGGCCUUCAGCCUUGCGAGAUAGUCCACGACAGCUGCGACACGAGACUCCAGUCGGAAAACAUCCAUGGCAACUUCGUCGUUCACCGGAGAAUUGACGGGGUCAAGGUUUGGCUCCAGUCGGCUGGUUUCCUCUUCAAAGUUUUGACAAAAUUCUGCAAGGGUGAUCACUAAGUCAAGGGGAUAGUCGAAUGGAAGAAGCCACAGUUGAAAAUAUUUGCCAAACAUGGAGGUUUACCUUCAAGCAUAAGAAACAGCUUCUUGGCAAGGCCACUCAGGAAGGCCUCCAGUUCAGUUUUCUUCUCAGUCAAUUUGCUGACUUGGUCGGUCAAGGCAGCUUUGUCAGUUCUCAGUCGACUGACUUCCUUGUUGGCAAUCCCAAGAGCAGUUUUCAGAUUGGUAUUGUCUUGUUCGAGCUUGGUGACUGAAGCUAACUUCUCGUCAGCAAGCUUGAUCUUCUCAGCUAGCUCAAGGUCUUUCUUCUGCUGGGCCUCCCUUACCUUACCUGCAAGUUACAGCGAGAUCAGAUGCCGAAACAAGCAAGGGGAAAAGCAGUCGUCAGGGUCUCACCAAACAUACCUUCGGUCUCCUCCUUUGCCUUUGUCAGCUUCUCCUGAACUAGCUUCAAGCUCAGCUCGACUUGAGUAUGUUUUUGUUCCAGCUCUGAGUAGCGAGCCACAAGAUCACAGGAGUUCUGCGAAGAACCAAUCGACUAAACGUCAAAUGUAACUCACUUUCGAGUGAAAAAGGGAAAAACACACGUUUCUAAGACUACAGCCGAAUACAAGCAUUCGACCGUAGUCUCGGGGACUACACCCAGUGGGUGCACUCAGCGUGCCCCCACUAAUCCUGUUGAAGACAAAGUCGACCAGUCGACCUCAAAAAAAAAAACAGUGUGCGAGACGCAUUCUCUAAGACUGUGAUCAACUGCAAGCAGUCGACCACAGUCUCGGGGACUACACCCAGUGGGUGCACUCAGCGUGCCCCCACUGGUUUGCGAAAUCCAGUCGACCAGUCGACUGACAGAAAGAUUGACAUCAUAAAGCCUAAGGCCGACUGCCAGCAGUCGACCUUAGCCUUGGGGACUACACCCAGCGGGUGCACUCAGCGUGCCCCCGCUAACACGGAGUUUAUUCGACACACCCAGUGGGUGACUAAUAUAAAUUCCGGAAAAGAAAAGUUUUUGGUAGCAUAUCCAACAGAACAAACAGCGGUCGACUGACCUGGACAUUGCUUUGGAGGGCAGAACUGGCGUCAUAAGCGGCCUGGCUCGCGUCCCGGAUGGUCUUCAGCUGCUCCAUCAUGAGUCCCGCCUGGCGUAUCGCCUCCUUCGCUGCGCCAGCUUGGUCCUCUGGGACGUGGUGCGUCAUGAAGAGGGAAGGCUGCUGAGCACUCGUCAGUGGAGUCGCGAAGGUCACCGUGUGUCGAGUGGUAUUCUCUUCCUCCACAGUCAGAAUUUCAGGCGCUGACACAUCCUGAGGCACCUUACUGGCGGACGCUUUCCGACUCCUCCUGUGCUUCAGUGGCUCUUCAUCCUCAUCAUCAUCAGGAAGAUCGAUAACAGUGUUGGGUGGAGCUGCGGAGAAGGGUCAGGAUCAGAGAUCGCGAGUCAGUCGACUAAGAAUGGUAUUAAGAACACAGUACCUGGAUUCGAAGUUGCUGCAUCCUCCAUCUCGUGGUCAUCGGCCCGGGCCGAGGUCUCAGAAGUAGCAGCACUGCAACUCCAAAGGAUCAGUCGACUAACCUCAGCGUCGACCAGAGAUAAAGUUCGCACAGAAUAAGAAAAUAUGAGCAACACAAUUACCCUGAUAUGGUGGGGAUGGACACCUUCAUCUUCGGCAGGAGCUUGGUCGGCUUCGAUGAGGCCGCCCUGGGCUGCUUCGGCGCCUUUUCAGUCGGCGCCGGAGAGGUGGUCCGAGGGCGCUUGGUCGACUGAGUGGCGGUCGCAACCCCCUUACCACGUUCGGUCGAAGGGUCGUGGACAAGCUUCGACCGCCUUUCUGAGCGCGGUGGAACGACCUCCUCCUCCUCUUCUUCCUCGUCCUCGAUGUCAUCUUCAUCACCUUCAUCAUCAUCAUCGUCGUCAUCAUCCCCUGCAGCAUCCGAGUCCCAUUCCUCCUCUUCCUGGCUCUCGUCCCCGCUCGCCUCGCCCCCGCUCGCCUCGCCUUCCUCAGUCGAAGCUUGUGCCCCAUUGGGCAUCGAGUACAGCUCGGUGAAGGCCUAGCAGGUGCCCAAACAAGGAUCAGUCGACCAGUCGGCAUGGUUAGCAGAAAUGAAUACGACAAGGACACAAUGGAAAGCAGAGCAAGUGUACCUUGUUUGGGUCGCUGUUGUGGUCGAGUGGAGGAAUCCUUCUGGCUCCGCGCGGGUUGUCCCUGUUUCCGGUAACGGCUACCAUCCAUCUUUCCAGAGUGGCAUCGUCGACUUCUUCUGGAUGGACUCUAGUCUCGUCUUCGGGCCCACAGUACAACCACAUGCAGUGGCUCCGGAAUUGAAGGGGUUGGAUGCGACGCCUGAGGAAGACCUCCAGAAGAUCCAUGCCCGUCACCCCCUCCCGAACCAACUGCACCACGCGCUCCAUCAACAUCUUCACGUCGGCUUUCUCCUCCGGAAUCAGCUUCAGAGGGGAGGGCUUGUUCACUCGGUCCAUGGUAAACGGAGGGAGUCCACUCGACUGCCCUGGCGUCGACUGGACCUGACAGUAGAACCAAGUCGACUGCCAGCCUUUGACGGACUCGGGAAAGGACAUGGGCGGGAAGGUGCUAUUAUUCCUCACCUGAAUCCCCAGGCCCCCACACAUUUGGACGACUCGGGUCUUCUCAUCACCUGGGCUCGCCUUCUUCACGGUCUGAGAGCGACACGUGAAGAUACGUUUGAACAAACCCCAGUGCGGUCGACAGCCCAAGAAACCCUCACACAUGGACACGAAUGCAGCAAGAUAGGCAAUGGAGUUUGGGGUAAAGUGGUGGAGCUGCGCUCCAAAGAAAUUCAAGAAGCCACGGAAGAAAAUGCUUGGCGGCAAGGAAAACCCACGAUCAACAUGAGUGGCCAGAAGCACACACUCACCCUCUUCUGGCUAUGGCUGCCACUCCUUCCCCGGCAACCUCGCAGCUCCGUGAGGGAUCAAGCCCUCGUUGGCCAUGUCGAGGAGGUCCUUCUCCGUGAUGGUCGACUGGAUCCAGUCUCCUUGGACCCAGCCUUUCGGCAGGCGGGAUCUGGACGAGGACCCUCUGCGGCUGGUGGAUCUCCCCUUCGCCUUCUCUGAUGCCGACGCCUUCUUGGCACGCUCCAGCGCCGCCGUCUUCUCCUUGGCCAUGGUCGCCGGUGAGAUGCACGAGGGGAAGUGGUGCGGAGGCGAGAGCGAGCACGCUGAGCAGGGAGGAAGGAAGCAGAGGGAGAGAGGGAGAAUGCUGAGGCGCAGCACAGAAAUCCUCGCCGGGCACAUUUAUAAGGUCCCUUCCGAGUGGCUGACAUGUGGGCCCGGUCAAUCUAAUCAUAUCUGGAAGCAGUUAUGAGGACUGGAUACGUGGCGAAAAAGGCGGCGCGGAGAUCGAGGCGUCUAUGCCCCGUCCCAUCCGAACGCCGCGGUCUGCCCCGCUUCACGCGCGCCCCAAAAUUUCGCACCCCGCGGAAUCCGCGAGCAACAAAUCAGUCUGUCAGACGCGGUGUUUCCGGCGAUCCGUCGCUCGGAGAUCGUCGAAGCUCGAAAGAUCACUCGACGCAAAAAUAGAAUGGAUCGAGUCGACCGAAGACAAAUUGCUCCCUAUCAACGAAGAGAUUCUUUGAUCCAGAACAGCGCACAACUAGAGCGCAAAGGUUAAUCGGAAACGACAUCAACUCCUUCUUCACUCGAAGCCUCAAUCCAUUCGGGGGCUAAUGAUGGGGUUAUGUACCUAGGGUAGGGUCAUGGACCUGUUCCAAGUAACUUACCCUAGGACAUCCCUAGAAGAGGUCGCCUUCCAGUCGACCAACGAGGAUUCACUCGACUGGCCUGAAGGACUCGACCACGAAGAAUCACUCGACCACCAGGAGGUCAAAAGGCACUCUGCACCGCAACGGCCUGUAAUUAAGUAGACUUUAUGAUAGUAAAGGCACUUUAUGUGGGGCGUUACCAGUAACGCCCCAAACUUAACUCACCUUAAAUCCUCUCCUACGUGGGUUGGCUGGGGUCCUGGCGCACUCUAUAUAAGCCACCCCCCUCCACAGGCAGAGGGGUUCGGCACCUUGUAAUCCAUACAUUCAUAAUCCACUCGACCGCCUCCGGGCUCCGAGACGUAGGGCUGUUACUUCUUCCGAGAAGGGCCUGAACUCGUACAUCCUUUGUGCUUACAACUUCUCCAUAGCUAGGACAUUGCCUCUCCAUACCUACCCCCCACUCUACUGUCAGGCUUAGAACCACGACACUGGCAGCUUCGAUGUGAAGAGGUAAGAUACCAUUGAAAAAUUAUAGAAGUGGUGCUAACUUCUUUAAUUUUCUGUAUAUCUUCUAUUACUGUAUAUCAGAUGCCAUGAAUCUGAACCCAGAUUUUGUAUUUCAGUGUAGAAAUCAAGAAAUAUGUCAGAGCAUAUUCUGCCCACCACGUGUUUGAGUUUAUGUCCACAAAGUUUUUUUUUCGUUUAAUUUCUGAUAUACUUCCGUGUAAGUGUUAUAGCCAAUUUAGAAGCUCAUCUUCAUUGAUUUUAACGUUUGAUAUAUAUAUAUAUAUAUAUAUAUAUAUAUAUAUAUAUAUAUAUAUAUAUAUAUAUAUAUAUAUAUAUAUAUAUAUAAUAAAUGCGUGCAUGUUCCACUGUACCAUGACAAAAUGUGUACUGACCAAAGCAUCAAUACUGUCUAAUAUUGUUGGAGUUUGUAUCAAUUAAUAUGCAAAAAGAAAAUGGUUUGUUGCAAUAAUUUUGAUGUGACUUAAGCUUGGCGUGUAUACACUGCUGCAUUUUCUUCCUAUGCUUGUGCUAAUGGUGUCUACUAUGUUACUCAGUGACUUAUAUUGCGGACAAUUAUCUAGGAAGCAAGUGAAAGGAAAUUCAAGUAGCCAUACAACAUCCAUUGGAAUGCCAAGACGGGCUCCUUUUCAAGAUAUUACAAAUUUGGUUGACUCACAUAGUUUAUCAAAGAGAAAACAAGGUAUAUUUUUAAUAUUUUUGGUCACCAUAUUUUUGAAACAAUAUUACAGCUUCUUAGAUGUUGAUAUAUAAAUGAAAAUAACUUAUGCCUUGUGUGUUAAAAAGAAUGCUCACAGAUUGUUCGAAAUAUUCUAUUCAUUUCAGCGCAAAAUAUUCUUGGUUCAGCGGAUCAUCCAAUUACUGGGACGAAACGAUCAGUCAAUCCAUCUGGCAUAUCCAUACAGUCAACUACUCCUUCGGCUGGACACAUAACUCUACCAAUAGAUGCUUCCGAGCGUAAGCGUUAUCGUGAUCGGGAAAGAUACUUGCGGAUGACUGCAGAACAGCGCGCUGCCUACCUACAAAGAAACCGUGAGUACAAACGGAGAAGGAAAAAUCCCGUUGAAGUUAGUAAUAAUGUACAAUCUGGGAGUCAAACUUGUAACUGUACCAGUUUAAGCAUGCAUGCAACAACUCUCGCCAGUACAAGAACAGAAGGUAUAUAUUAAUGCAAUAAUAUUCUGUAUUAUUUUUUAAUAACAUGAAUGGUCACUCGAUCAGAUUAUGUUUUGUUUAUCUCCAGAGCGUGCAUUUCUGAUAAUUAGAACAUUAACAUCCAUUUACUACUCUGUUUUUAUUUGUCAAUAAAUAUUAUAAUAUAUGUUUUUUUCUUUUUUGCUGGAACACAGACCAAUAUUGGAGGUUUAAACUUUCUGUCCCACAAUAUCCUUUGAGUUGGCAUAAUCAGUUUGGUUGCUAAAAAUUAGACUGUGAUCAGUCCAUCUGACAUAUUAACAACAUGUAAUGUAUCGACAGGUACUGGUCAACAUAAGUGUAUAGCAGCAUUCCUGGACAAGGGCAGUGGACAUAAGAGAAGGAGACUGUCUAAUGGGGCAAGUUGUAGUAGUACUGGAAAGGAAACACAUGAACAUGUUGUAGCCAAUGAGCAUGAAGACCAUGACAGCACCAGCUAUGUCCCAAAUGGUUGUCCCAAAUGGGGAGUGUAAAUACCACUAUCCCCGGGCAUUCUCAGAUGCUACAUUGCAAGGCAAGGACUCAUAUCCAAUUUAUAGACGCAGGGAUGAUGUCCGUAAAGUGCGCAUUAGGGGAUCUGUUUUGGAUAAUAGAUGGGUUGUGCCAUACAAUCCAUACCUACUUAUGAGAUACAAUUGCCAUAUAAACAUUGAAGUUUGCUCCAGCAUCAAGGCUGUUAAGUAUUUAUUUAAGUACAUCUACAAGGGUCAUGAUCGUGCCUCUUUUAUCGUAGAAGCCGCAGGAGGUAGAGUUAUUAAUGAAAUUUGUGAGUAUAGAGAUGUCCGCUUUAUAUCACCUCCAGAAGCAAUAUGGAGAAUUUACUCUUUCAAUUUGAGUGGGAUGUCACCUCCUGUCCUACAGUUACAGGUCCAUUUGCCAAAUUUGCAUACGGUCUGUUAUAAAGACUGCGAUAAUUUGGAGAAUGUGAUUAGUAUAGAAUCAUCUUCCAAGACAAUGCUUACCGAGUUUUUUAGAAUGAAUUCCAUUGAUCCAUAUGCUAGAAAUUUCCUAUAUAAGGAAUUCCCUGAAUUUUGUACAUGGCAAAGGAACCGCAAAACAUGGAAACGGCGCACACAGAGAAUUCAAAUAGGUCGACUUGUUGCGGCUCACCCUGCAGAAGGAGAACGUUAUUACUUGAGAAUAUUGCUAAACCAUGUGAGGGGGCCCACAUCUUUUGAUGAUUUACGUACUAUUGAUGGUGUUAUUUUCUCCACAUUUAGAGAAGCUGCGGAGAGAAGGGGUCUCAUAGAAGCGGAUAAUAGUAUUUCUGACUGUCUCACUGAAGCUGCUACAUUUCAAAUGCCCUAUGCACUUAGAAGGCUUUUUGCUACAGUUUUGGCAUUUUGCGAAGUUACAAAUGUUCGUGCAUUAUGGAACAAACACUUUGAAGCAAUGUCUGGUGAUUUUCGUAGGGAGAGCAUAAGUGAUGAAGCAGUCGAGAAACUGGUGCUUGGAGAUAUUCAAGAUUUGUUAUAUUCCAUGGGAAAGGACAUCAAGACCUUUGAUCUUCCAAAUCUGUUGGAUGCUGAUGACCUAGAUAUCUUAGAUGCUAAAAAACUGACUGAAGAAAUGUCUAUUAAAGUUGCUAAAGAAGACCUGGAGCUGGAGGCAACUCUAAACAAUGAAUAACAACUUGCUUUUGAUGAAAUAAUGGACCACGUGUUGCACAGGAAGGGUAAGGUCUUCUUCAUUGAUGGUCCAGGAGGUACAGGAAAGACGUACCUUUAUAAAGCUUUAUUGGCUAAAGUACGAUCCAUGGGGGUGAUAGCCAUUGCAACAGCAACAUCUGGCAUUGCAGCUUCUAUCAUGCCUGGUGGCCGGGCUGCGCAUUCCAGAUUUAAAAUACCGAUCAAUGUUCAAGAGGAUAUUGUGUGCAACAUCAAUAAGCAGGGUGGGACAGCUGAAUUACUUCGAAGAGCAUCUUUGAUAAUUUGGGAUGAAGUCGCCAUGACAAAACGACAAGUUGUUGAGGCGCUGGAUAGAUCCCUGCAAGAUAUUACAGGUAAUAGAUCACAGUUUGGAGGAAAAGUAAUUGUGUUCGGAGGAGAUUUCCGUCAAGUCCUUCCAGUAGUUAGACGUGGUACUAGAGCCCAAAUUGUUAAUGCCACUCUUAAAAAAUCUUAUCUAUGGAAGGAUAUAAGACAAAUUAAACUCUGGCGCAAUAUGAGAGCACAAAAAGAUCCAUGGUUCUCUGAUUUUCUCUUGAGAAUUGGCAAUGGUGUUGAAGAAUCAAUUGGUGAAGACUAUGUGCAUCUACCUGAAGAGAUGGUUAUAGGUUCCACAACUUUAGGUGCCUCGGUUAGUAAGUUGAUAAACAAAGUGUUUCCUUCACUUGACAAGAAUGGAAUAUUGUCGUCUUAUAUAAGUGCUCGUGCCAUUCUUUCCACAAAAAAUGAAUACGUGGAUGAAUUAAAUGUGAAGCUUAUAGACCUAUUUCCUGGAGAAGAGAAGGUCUACUAUAGUUUCGAUUCAGCAGUGGAUGAUACUCACAAUCACUACCCACCCGAAUUUCUAAAUUCUCUCACACCUAAUGGCCUACCUCCACAUGUUCUCAGGUUGAAAAUAAAUUGCCCUGUGAUCUUGCUUCGGAAUUUAGAUCCUCAUAAUGGAUUAUGCAAUGGCACAAGGCUUAUUAUUAAAGCAUUUCAACAUAAUGUUAUUGACGCUGAAAUUAUCGGAGGACAGCAUGCUGGAAAGCGAGUAUUCCUUCCAAGAAUUCAUUUGUGCCCUUCUGAAGAUGAUGUGCUUCCCUUCAAGUUCAAGAGAAAGCAAUUUCCAAUUCGUCUUAGCUUUGCAAUGACAAUCAAUAAAGCUCAAGGCCAAACCAUUCCACAUGUUGGUGUCUACCUUUCAGAACCUGUUUUCUCUCACGGUCAACUAUAUGUUGCAUUGUCUCGAGGAAUAUCAAGGCAAACAACAAGAAUACUUGCCAAGCCAAAUAAGGAUAUUGACCCAUCGGGAAAAAGUACCAAAAAUAUUGUCUAUAAGGAGGUUUUGGCAUGAUUAGUGUACAUAAUGCAACACUGCCUUUGUUUCAUAUAUAUGAGCAUGCUUUGCUUUGUCUUAUAAUAUUGGUAUGUUGAUAACUGUUGCGAUCUUUUUAUAUAAGUAUACGCAUAUAUCAGAAUCAUGAAUAGCAAUAGGCUUUAUAUUCUAAUCUGUUCUACAAAUACAUGAACACAUACUGUUUUCUCUUCAGAGAAAGUAUGGAUGGAGUGUUGCGCUACUAUUGUCAACUUUUUUAUUGGUGUAGUUAUAGGUUUGUGUCUAUAAUAUCAUCUAUUAGAUACAGGUCCUUGUUCUAUGAUGAAUACAUUGAAUCAUUUUUAUGUGCAAGCCAUGAAUUUGCUUCACUAAGCUGAAAUUUAGACAUACAUUGUUUGAUUGUGCUAGCCUUAGAUUGCACAGAACCAUGUUCGACAUUGCAGACUGGUUUAUACUAUAGAAGGCGUCGUUUCUAUAUUGUCGUUAAAUACUUCUUCACCUAAGAUGUUUUUUGUCUCAUUAAUUAAUUUGACACUCUCUUUGUUGGCAGGGUCAAUUGGAAUCAUGUGCCUUUCUGGAUCUUGAACUGGCGAUCUCCGUGAAUAAGAGGGAUCUCUCCUCCUUGUGUUUCCUGUUCGACAAAGUAAAGAAGAAACUUGCUUCCCCAUGCUAUUUCAGGGUUUCUUUCAAGGGUAUAAGGAGAGUGUAAUCCUUUAGUAGUCCAUAGUUUAGCUAUGCAGGCGUCAUUGGUUUCUGGUUAGAUGAUACCAAGAGCGUUGCCUUGGAAUAUUUUGUAAAUUGUUUAACAGUGCGUUGCAAUAAAGUUUUCUCUUUCAUGUAAAAGAAAUGUUAGCCAUGUGCUUUUAUGAUCUGUGUGGUAAUGCCAAGCUGGUCAAACUACUCUAUGUGAGAGUGAAAUGUUAAACUGAGCAAACUGCUUUGUCAUGUUUCACUGAAUAUGCACCAUACAUCACGCCCAUUGCACCUACAGGCAGAAUCACUGGUAUAUUUAAUGCCAUUUUCAUUUCACACAAGAUAACUUCAACAUUACAAUUUCAUCAACAAAAUACUGGCAUUUCAUUCAUAUACUUUGGACCAUCCCCACUACCACACUUUGCCAAAAAAAUAAUAAUACCGUUUUCAUUGCAGAUCUCAGUAAUUCUUCGCACACAAAAGAAACUUUAUGUUCGUCUACAGGGAGUACCCCCCCUCCCUAUAUGAUGUGCUAUCUUUGAAACCUUGCUCCCUGAUGGCCUGACGGAUUUUCCCAAGCAUCAGGGUCAGCGGCUCAGGAUGGUGGGGGGUGUCGCAGUUUUGAGAGUGGCGAACCGUUCGUGCACUUUGACAAACUGAAUUUUCAGAAGCCACUCUCUUAGUAUUAUUAUUAUUAAUUUUAUUUGUACUGACGAACAUAUGGAGACGUGCAUUGCACGUGCACUUUUACUAGUAGAAGAUGAGAAAUACUCCCUCCGUCCCAUAAUAUAAGAGCAUUUAGAUGAGACUAGGCAAGACCGCAACCCAAGAUUAAGGUAGAGGAGCUGCGAGGUGCAACUGCAUAACUGAUGGGAACGGGUCUCCUUCAUGGAAGCACAACAGAGAUUCACAAGUCAGCAUGUAACUGCUUAAAUGAUUGGUUUCUUUCCCGUGUGCUAAACCAGGAGAGGAAUAAGAUGGGAUGGCCAACCCAGGAGGCGAACCCCAGCCUCUUACUCCAAUUAAGGUGUGUCCAACUGACAAAUUGAAGAUACGAGUAUUCAAACAAACAUAUCAGGUACGCCGACGUCUGAUCGCAGAUCAGAACUGCCUUUCGCGCUUUUUCUGUUCCAUACACUUACAGUACCAGAUCGAUCAGUGUGCAAACAUUGGACCUCUCCCGCCCAGGCACUCUGCUCGACAGUAAAAAUAAUUCAGGGCGUCGAAGGCCCGUCAGGCAGCUUUGUCUUCCUCUUCCUUCCAAGAAUGGACGCCUUCUGCAGCCUCGCACCCCCGACACGCCACUUCCUGAAGGCAAACAUAGAUUCCCUAGCAGAUUCGAACACUU